rnacentral:lncRNA from 1 species
AAUAUGAUCAGGUUCUUGGUGGAUAGCUACAACAAGCCAGUUCCUGCAAUCCUGGAGAUCCCUUCCAAGGACCAUCCCUAUGAUCCUGCUCAUGACUCUGUUCUCUCCCGUGUCAAGUACCUCUUCUCUGCGGAAUCUGUGUCACAGCGUUAAACAUAUACACAUUCUGCAAGCUCGCCUGAGCUUUUAUAUCAUUUCUUUGUUUUUGACAUUCUUGUGUUCCUCAGUUUUCAAUAAUGUGUAUCUCUUGAUUUUUGUUUGGAAAUGGAUGUUAUAUCAGUAAGAAGCAAUGAUAACACCAUCUAGUUCUUUUUGCAUUGAAUAAAGAGAGUGAGUCAUUGUGUAUUCAAGAGUCAAGAGCAGACUUUAAAGGUUUAAGUGAAGACUCCAUCUAUUCAAUGUGAAGCAUUUUGAGUCAGAGAAGCAACCAAAAGGAAGUUCAAAUCAGGUCCACCUGGAUUUAAGAAGAAGAAUAUAAGUACAAGGUGGACUUGGGUUCGCUAGCCAAAACACAUGUUAGUCGGAUAGAAUCAAAAAUUGUCCGAAUGUUUUAUUUAUCAAAUAUCCAGGCCUAUUUGUUCUUGGCAACCACAAAGUUCCAGCCCAUUUACUGUUAUUUAUUGUUUCUGGAAGAUAAAGAAGAAAUGGCAAAAGUGAAAUAAUCAGAAAAAGCAAGGGCCCUUUCACAAAAAAAGAUAAAUUUUAUAAAAACCAGAGCAUAAAGUUUCACACUUUUGUUCUGCUCCUUUCUCGUCUCUGUCUUCUUCGUCCUCGUUCAUCCUAACUCACCAAACAGCUUUAGAUUUUCUCUUUCAAAUUUCGAACUCGCUACUCAUUAAAAAAAAAGUCCAUUCUUUUUAAAAAUUCGAAACCAAAUGGCUAGUAACAACAACCCGCAUGAGAACCUUUCAGACCAAACACCUUCUGAUGACUUCUUCGACCAAAUCCUCGGUCUUCCCAACUUCUCUGCUUCUUCAUCCGACGGUGGGUUAAGCGGAGGAGGAGCACCGCCGAUGAUGCUGCAGCUGGGCUCCGGCGAGGAAGGAAGUCACAUGGCUGGGCUAGGAGGAAGCGGACCAAGUGUGUUUCACAACCAGAUGUUUCCUCUAGGGUUGAGUCUUAACCAAGGGAAAGGACCUGUCUUUCUUAGACCUGAAGGUGGUGGUGUUCAUGCAAGUGUGAAUCGAUCUUCUUCUUCUUCUUCUAUGAAAGGACCUGUAAGGAAUCAAUUUUUUUGUUAUGCUUUUUCUAUGUGUUCUUACAUCUUUUGUCUUGUUGUUGUAAGGUUUUUCAUGGGCAGCCGAUGCAACAGCCAGCUCCAGCAGCGCCACAUCAGCCUACAUCAAUCCGUCCUAGAGUUCGAGCUAGGCGUGGUCAGGCUACUGAUCCUCACAGUAUCGCUGAAAGGGUAAAACUUUUACUUCAGAUUCUCUUUUUGUGUGUUUUGUGGAAGGGGGUAAAGCUGAAAGAUUUGAACUUUGUUACAGCUACGUAGGGAAACACUGUUAUAUUUACAAAACAUUAACGGCUGUGCCUGUGUGGUGUUAUUUGUGUCGUUAUCAGUGAGGUCAUGGCUUGCUUCACCUUUUAAAUAAUGGAUCAAAGUUACUGUUAUUGUAGGGUAGUUUUUGUUAUCUUGUUCCCAUUAGCUGUGUGACUGAACAUAUGAUGAGGCCACUUUGCAUCAGCCUUUUAAGACAUACUAUUCACGAGUUUGAAAUUGAUUGAGCUCAUAACUUAUUCAAAGUCUGUUUCUUUCUUUAGUGUCAAAAAAAACAUGAUGAGAAAAUAUGGCAUAUGCGUGUAGGUUGCCAAUAUGAUCAGGUUCUUGGUGGAUAGCUACAACAAGCCAGUUCCUGCAAUCCUGGAGAUCCCUUCCAAGGACCAUCCCUAUGAUCCUGCUCAUGACUCUGUUCUCUCCCGUGUCAAGUACCUCUUCUCUGCUGAAUCUGUGUCACAGCGUUAAAACAUUUACACAUUCUGCAAAGCUCGCCUGAGCUUUUAUAUCAUUUGACAUUCUUGUAUUUCUCAGUUUUCAAUAAUGUCUAUCUCUUGGUUUUUGUUUGGAAAUGGAUGUUAUAUCAGUAAGAAGCAAUGAUAACACCAUCUGGUUCUUUUUGCAUUGAAUAAAGAGAGUGAGUCAUUGUGUAUUCAAGAGACUUUAAAGAUUUAAGUGAAGACUCCAUCUAUGUGAAGCAUUUUGAGUCAGAUAAGCAGAAGCAACCAAAAGGAAGUUCAGAUCAGGUCCACCUGGAUUUAAGAAGAAGAAUAUAAGUACUUGGGUUCGCUAUGACUAUUACCAAAACACAUGUUAGUCAGAUAGAAUCAAAAAUUGUCCUAAUGUUUUAUUUAUCAAACAUCCAGGCCUAUUUGUUCUUGGCAACCACAAAGUUCCAGCCCAUUUACUGUUAUUUAUUGUUUCUGGAAGAAAAAGAAGAAAUGGCAAAAGUGAAAUAAUCAGAAAAAGCAAGGGCCCUUUCACAAAAAUAAAAAGAUGAAUUUUAGAAAAACAGAGCAUAAAGUUUGACACUUUUGUUCUGCUCCUUUCUCGUCUCUGUCUUCUUCGUCCUCAUUCAUCUUAAAGGCAUCACUCACCAAACAGCUUUAGAAUUUUCUCUUUCAAAACUCAAACUCGCUACUCAUUAAAAAAAAUCCAUUUUUAAAAAAAAACUCAAAACCAAAUGGCUAGUAACAACAACCCGCAUGAGAACCUUUCAGACCAAACACCUUCUGAUGACUUCUUCGACCAAAUCCUCGGUCUUCCCAACUUCUCCGCUUCUUCCUCCGACGGUGGGUUAGGCGGAGGAGGAGGAGGAGGAGCACCGCCGAUGAUGCUACAGCUGGGCUCCGGAGAGGAAGGAAGUCACAUGGCUGGGUUAGUAGGAGGAAGUGGACCAAGUGUGUUUCACAACCAGAUGUUUCCUCUAGGGUUGAGUCUUGACCAAGGGAAAGGACCUGUCUUUCUUAGACCUGAAGGUGGUGGUGUUCAUGCAACUGUGAAUCGAUCUUCUUCUUCUUCUUCUUCUUCUAUGAAAGGACCUGUAAGGAAUCAUUUUUUUAGUGUAAAAAGGUUAUGCUUUUUCUUAUGUGUUCUUACAUCUUUUGUCUUGUUGAAAAGGUGUUCCAUGGGCAGCCGAUGCAACAGCCAGCUCCAGCAGCGCCACAUCAGCCUACAUCAAUCCGUCCUAGAGUUCGAGCCAGGCGUGGUCAGGCUACUGAUCCUCACAGCAUCGCUGAAAGGGUAAAACUUUUACUUCAGAUUCUCUUUGUGGAAGGGGUAAAGCUGAAAGAUUUGAACUUUGUUACAGCUACGUAGGGUAUAAUUUUUUUAAAUAAAUAUUUUGAAAAUAUUAUAGCAUUAUCUUAAUUUUCAAAAAAUUUAUGUAAAUAUUUCAACUAAUUUUGUAAUUAGCAAUGAACUAUAAUUAUGCAUUAUAUAUAUAUAUAGUAAUCAUUUAUAAAAUAAAAAAAAUACAUUUUUAUCAUUUUAUAAUAAUAAUAGUUCAUAUUAAAUGAUUUUAUUAUAUUGAACUAAAUAUGAUAUAACCCAGCCAGUUCUUAUUCUUUCCUGUCUGUUCAUAGGAUUAGAGAUAUAAAAAUCAUGUCUUUGAAAUAACUUAGUUAUGUUAAAUUCUCCAUAUUGAUUUUUUUGGUCUUAGUUAUGGUCCCACCAUCACCUACCCUUCAACCCAAAUUUCAAUCUUGUUUUUUUUAAUGUGGUAAAGAAUAAUAUAGAAGUCCAAAAUGCUUUUGUUUCUUUUUUCUUUGGCACUUAGUCUAUCUUGUAAACACUUUUUGUUUUGUCAUAUAGAGAAGGCUAAUCAUGGUUUAGGAUUAAAAUAUCUGUAUAAUCAUCAUGCUCAGAUUAUAAUAUAAUCUCUUAGAUCAAACGCUUCUUAAUAUCAAAAUGCAGUCGGUUGCUUAAAGAUAAUGGAGACACUUUAGUAUGCAAUGAUGGAUUUCUGAAAAGAUGUUGACAAAAAAAGGAUUUCUGAAAAGAUAAUACAUUUUUUAUUUAUUUUGUGUGUUUCUUAUGAAAACCUUCCAUGCUCAUCUGAUAGUGGAGAAUGCAAUGAUGUAUUUCUGAUAAGAAUAAUAAAUGUUAUUUUUAUUUUAUUUUGUGUGAAAUCUUACAUGCUCAUCUGAAAAAAAAAGUAAAAAGUUUAUUUUCAUGGGAUAAAGCUUAUCUUUGGUCAACUUUUGGUAGGUUUUGAGCAUGAGUCGUCUUGGUGGAGCCGGUGCGGUUGCUCCACUUGUUACUGAUAUGCCUUUGUCAUCAUCAGUUGAGGUAAAUAAAAGAAAACAUCAAAACUUUUUAGCAAAGUGGGUUUCGACUCAAAACUGAUUAUUGUAAUCUCUCUCACUAGGAUGAAACUAGUGACGGUGGAAGGACACCACAGCCUGCGUGGGAGAAAUGGUCAAACGAUGGGACUGAACGUCAAGUGGCUAAGUUGAUGGAAGAAAACGUUGGAGCUGCUAUGCAGCUUCUUCAAUCUAAAGCUCUUUGUAUGAUGCCAAUCUCAUUGGCCAUGGCUAUUUACCAUUCUCAGCCUCCAGAUACGUCAUCUGUGGUUAAACCAGAGACUAAUCCUCCUCCACAGUAGGAUUUUUCGUGCAAGCAAGGGUUUGUACAGCAACUCAACGGGGUCUAAUAUGGCUUUAGUUUCUACUACUACAUCUCAUGACUGCUGGUUUCUUGCUGUUUCGUCUCCCUCCCACACCCACUUGUAUGGUAUGAUUGAAAGGUAAAACAAAAGGCGUUGGAGAUGGAAUCAAUGUAGGAUUUGCAAGGGAGAGUUUGUCAAAAAGCUCACUUGAUUAAAUAUGAUAUGUUAUCAUUUUAGGUGGACUUUGAUGAAAGCACCUUUUUGUUUUCAUGACUUUAGUGGGAGGUUGAGGAAGGAGCUUUAAGGGGUGUUUUAGUUGUAGUGGUGGUGGGAAGUGUGUGGGACCUGGUUGAGUUUAUGUACAAAUUAGAUGAAUAAUAAAAUAUUUGAAUUUGUUAACCGUUGUAUCUUAUAUAUUAAAAGAGAAGUCACAACCUUGAUUCAUGUGUGAUUUUUUUAAAAUUGGACCUAAUGGACCUAUUACUAGAAAAUCAUGUUACAUUUAAUUCUAAUAUUAUCAUUAUUAUAGAUCUAAAUAACUCAGUUUCUAUAUUAUAGGAACUAAAUAAUAUGUCUACUACAUUAUAGGAACUAAAUAACUAUCAAUCUUUAAAAAAAAAAUGAUCUGGAAACAACCAAUUCAAUACAAAAAAUAUACGAUAAAAUUAUUAUGUUUUAGAAAAUGAUAGACACUCAUAUAUAUUAAUAUAUACUAAUGUAGAAAUGAAAAGCAAUCAAUUUUACCGUGAUCUCGACCAUUUGAACAUAGCUAGAUCUCACAGGUAGAAAUAUUAACCCGUUGAAGAUUAACAUAGGAUAUAAUUCGUUGAAGAUUAACAAAGCUAGAAAUAUUUAAAAAGAUUCUAUGAAGAUUUUAACAAGAUUUUGUUAGAACAUUUUAAAUAUAUUCAUUUGUAUUUCAAAUGAAAAGAUAAAGAUAUUAAAAGAUAUAAUAAUGAACUUACGUAAAAUAUGAUAUUUUUUAGAAAUGGUCCAAACUAAAAAAAACACACAUGAAAAGAAGUCAUGGCUUCUGUUUUAAUAUAUUAGAUAUAAAUAAAUAUAUACACAUAUAUAUAUAUAUGUAUAAUUUUUUAAAUAUAUAUUUUGAAAAUAUUAUAGCAUUAUCUUAAUUUUCAAAAAAUUUAUGUAAAUAUUUCAACUAAUUUCGUAAUUAGCAAUGAACUAUUAUUAUGCAUUAUAUAUAUAUAUAGUAAUCAUUUAUAAAAUAAAAAAAAUACAUUUUUAUCAUUUUAUAAUAAUAAUAGUUCAUAUUAAAUGAUUUUAUUAUAUUGAACUAAAUAUGAUAACAUUAUAUUAAAUUAAUAAAAUUAUAAAAACAGUUUUUAUAAAUAUAAAAUAUUUAUGCUAAAAAUAUAAUACGAUGAUAUAACGACUUAACAUUCAAAACUAUAUAAUACAUAUAUAAAAUCGACAUAUCUUAGACUUUUGUAUAUAAUAAUAUAUUAUCUGAAAUAAAUAAAUGUAAAAAUAUUGCUAAUAGAAAACUUAGUUUUCAAGGUCUGUGGAUCAAAACUGAAUAUAAUUUUAAUAAAAAAAUAAUAUUUAAUAUGUUUUUAAUGCAUAUAUUAAUUUGUUAAAAAAUAUAUAUAUACCAUAAAUGAUGUAAAAAAAUAUUUAAAAUGAAAAUAAACACCCGCACGGUUGUGCGGGUCGAGAUCUAGUUAUUAUUUUAUUUGUGUGAAUUGGAGUGUAAUAGAUGAUCAAAUAAUAUCACUAGUUCCCUUUACUAAAACAGUAUUUUUGUUGAUGAAUUUGUCAAAUUUAUUGCUAUAGAAUUAUCCUGUUAUAAAAUCAUAGAUAUAAAAAAAUUCACAAUCUGCAACAGAGUGAUAAAUCAAGAAAAUAGAUAAUCAAAUAAUAUCACUAGUUCCCUUUACUAAAACAGUAUUUUUGUUGAUGAAUUUGUCAAAUUUAUUGCUAUAGAAUUAGUCCUGUUAUAAAAUCAUAGAUAUAAAAAAAUUUCACAAUUUGCAACACAGUGUGAUAAAUCAAGAAAAUAGAAACACUUACAAGUCUUUAUUACAACAAUUUUAAUUUCACCACAAACCUUGGAAUCUUGGAAGUGAGAUGAUAACAAAAGAGAACUCCUUUUGGUCAUUUGUUUUAAAAUGGGGUUUAACCUCCAAAACCAAGAAGACAGACUACAAAGAGUAAGCAAACUCAGUUUGAUGCUAUAGGCUUCAAACAUUCAUUAUGGCCUUUAGCGUUGUUAUUGAACCACAUAAAAAUUGUCGGCUUAAAAGAACUUAAGCUUAGCAAGCGUCAAGAUCACGGAAUUGUGGUGGCUUUGGCUCCCCAAGCAAUGUCUUGUUUCCCCCUUCAGGUCCGCACUUGAUCCUCUUUGGGUUUUGAGUUCCAUGCUGAAACAAAAGUUACAUAAUUAGAAUUUAGAUUUGGGUUUUGUGUUAAACAAAGAUUAAAGUAUACAAAUGCAAUGGGUUACUUCAAUGUCUUACCGGUGGCUUCUCUCCCUUUCUCAGCUUCUCAACAAUCUCUACAACUUUCUCAGGUGUAACAUCUUCCUGUUUAUUGUAGCAAUAAGACACAUGUGAAUACCAUUUUAACUCUUUGUCGUCUUACACAGUAUAAACGAAGGAAAAUAAUGCGGGAUGAAAGAGAAGUUAUUGGACAUACGAAAUAGUUAUAUGUAUAUCCUUCUGAUCCAUUGGAGUAAUCUGCCACAGUGAUCAUGGGCGCAUUGACACAGCAUCCCUGUCAAUAAAACCAAUUGUACAUGAGAUCAAGAAGUAUUAAUCUCGGCUAUGGUUAUGAAUUUACGGUUUCAGGAAAGUAAAGAGGUGAUAAGUAAUCCUUACCAUGCAUUCCAUCUCUCCAACAGAGAACAAACCAUCCUUUGUGACUUCUGCAACAUACAUGAUAAAAGCCAUAGAUCGUUAUGACUCAGGAACCAUAUGAUUUUGUUCAUGAAAGGUUGGUUAUUAGAGCUUUACCACCGCGCUUCACUCCCAAAUGGUCUAGCAAAGCUGAUUCGAUAUCUCGUGAACCACGGAUCAUGCAAGGUGUUGUGCCACAAACUAGGAGGUGGUACUUUCCGACCUGUAGGAGCACAAUUAAAGUGAAAAAAUGAGGGUGAGGGUGUUUGAGGAUUAAAGUAGAGACUUUACCAGAUGGGUAGUAAGUACUUCUUACCUUUGCCCUGUUGAACAUGGAAUAAAAUGUUGCAACCUCAUAAACACGAAUAGGAGCCACUUCUAUAACUUUAGCAACCUGCAAAAUUUUAUUGUGUUGUCAUUCAUGAUGGUAAAAUCAUAUCAACAGAUAUUGUAUUCCCAAAAAAAAAAAGAACUACAGAAAAUAAAGCUAACAGCUACAAUCAAACAAAAACGGAAAAUGGAAAAGAGAAAGAUAAUUAUAGAUGGUAAGAGUAUAGCUGAAAAAAAUAAUAACAAGAACGUACGGCAUUCAUAGCUGAAACAGGGAGCCAGCCUCCAUGCUGUUGUUGGGCGAGAUCCAGAAGGGGAAUCACAGCAGACUGCUUGUAGUUUGAUGGAUAGUAAGAGAGUAUCUCCUUAACCUAGAGAGUUUGAACAAAAUAAAAGAACUUUAGUAAAUCAUGUGGAAACAAAUUUCACUUGCUAUGCAAGAUUAGUGCAGCCAGACACGAAAGAAGAGUAAACGGGAACUAAAUGCAGAUGAAUAGAUUAGUAUUUUUUUUAUACUCUCCCAACAGUAUUUCCCCUACUUAUGUAAGUAGUUCCUUCCAAAACAGCCAAUUAAAAGCAAGUCAGUUAUUUCUAUCAUUUCUAGGGAACGCUAACUCACGGGAUCGUGAUGCCUGAUCAGAAGCCAGGGACUAUGUAUAAGAAGGGUACUGAAAAGCAUGUUAAACAUAUUCAGAGCUGCAUCUGGUCUGAGAUAACUAUUAGUAUUUUACUCUCCACAAAACCAGUUUACUAAUAAUCCCACUGACAGUCUUUCUUCUUUAUAUAUCAGUUCCUAAUUGUCAGAAACUCCCAUUACUAUUUUAUGAUUUAUGUAAGAGGGAACUGAAAGCAGGUUAAACAUAUUCAGAGCUGCCUCUGGUCUGAGCUAUGAGCUAUCUAAUCAGUAGGGAAUGAGAGAGCUCAUAGCUCAGACCAGAGGCAGCUCUGAAUAUCUAUCUAAUCAGAGCUACAUUUAUCCUAUAAAGAGUAAAAACAUUAUUUCCCCAUCUAUACUUUUUUUUCUUCUUAAAACACGAAUUUGGAUAAAAUUGCAAUUAGUUCAACAACGCAAAGUAACCUUAGAUUUGUUAGCGUCAGAGAACUCCCAUGGAAGAUCCGGUUUGUUGUCAGGAGAAUCCAGGUGCUAUAAUCAACAAAAAUAAUCAGAUUACUUAAUUAAUUAAUUAAAAAAAAGGAUAGAGAGAGAGAUCAAUCAAAAUAUCACCAAGACUCACGUAGUUCAAGGCUGUCGAGAAGCUUCGAGACGCCUAUGCAGAUAUAAAACACGAAACCUGAGGAUGAGAUCGGGAAAACGACGGAGAAAAAAUCUAAGGAAAUUUUUAAGAAAACCUGAGUGGGAGGUUGGCGGAUCUCGAGAAGACGCUUCGCAGCGAGCCUAGCCAGCAUUUUCGACGACUUUGACAAAACGAGAGACGAACGAACGCCUGGAUUUGAUUUGAUUGAAGAAUAAGAAGAGCCAAAGAGGGACACACGAGGGAGCUAGCUCACUAUCAUCACCUGCCUCAGGAGGAUUGACCACAUAAAUUUGGGCCUAAGCCCAUUUCUAGUUUCACUGUCAAACCUACUACUAUUGGAUUAUUAUUUCUUGGGUAUUCUAUUCAUUAUAGCCUUGUACGCCCAUUUGUAUUUAAAGAUUAGUUUAUUGAUUUUUUAUAAUUCUAGCACCUCCUUGUGAGCUUAAGAAACACUUUUGCGUCAAUGAACGUGUUCCUACCUUUGUUCAGUUAUGUCUAGAUAGGUUAAGCAUAUGAUGAGGAGGAUAUUUGGACCAAAGUUCAACUUAUCCCCAAAAGAGCAGCCAAUACCGAUUACUCUCUGUUCCUGAGUUUUCUAAUGAAGCUUAAGGGCAUAAUUUCAUCUUCCUCUUCUGUGGAGUUGGUAACGACUAACGAGGCGCCACUGGCUUCUGAAAUUUCUGCUAUCGCUUGUAUUUCACUUAGUUACGCAAAGUGCAAUAAACUCCAAACAACAUUUAUCAAAAAGGGAUAUGAACGUAGCUAAAAGCAGAUAUUAUCAAAUUCAUUAAGCCAUCUCCAAAUUCAUAUCCAAGAAACCAAAACCCCCCACAAGGUAGUUUGCAUCCCAAGAAAAAAAAAAAAGCACAAGACCGAAUGUCAAGGAAAUAACCAAAAAAAAAAAUUAAAAACAAAGUUUUUACUUAGGGUGGAAGUAUCCAAAUGAGAUUCUCAUAUACAAGCAGGAGAGCAGCUGAGAUGCUUCGAUUCAUUACCCCUUUCUUUCAUGAGUCAAACCACCUCCAUAGUUGUUUCUUUCCUUCUAAGCCAAGUACCUAAACAUGUUAGCGUUCUCCUUGUCCCUCUCCAAAUAAUCCCUCGUUAUCAAAUCCUCCAUACGCUUCUUGAUGGCUUUGAUAUCAGGCUGCAAAACACACAUAUCCAAUCAAGUUCCACGAAAACAUCAUCACUUAACUAUCUCCACAUGUUUCCUUAUAUAUAUAUAGAACAUACGUACCUUGAACAUUCGGCUAAGCUGCUCAACGCACUCGGAUACAAGCUGUUGAUGUCCCAACACUUUCCUGCUCUUCAUGAUCCUCACGAUCGCAGCAUCAAUCGCAUAGCGUCUGUCUUUGUCCACGUCUUCCACUACUUUCUUCCUUUCAUCGACAGGUGGGAGAGGGAUCUGUGAUGCAAAACCACAUAAAAGUUUAUAAUCUAAGAUAAUAACCAGUAGUAGUAACACAUGAAGUUUUGUGUGUUAAUGUUUUACAGACCUUUAUUCUGCGCAUUCUGUCGGUGAAUUUGGCAUUGAAUUCAAAUGAAUCAGUCUGGGAAACAAUCUUUGUGCUUGGCUCCUUGACAAGGAUCUUGUAUCUAGCACAUGACAAGGAAUGAAGCAACCUCACUAGAUCUUCAUGGCUUAGGUUCAGUUGAGUCAAGAUGUCGUUGUAGCUCAAUUUGUCUGUUGUGUUAAAGAGUAGAAGCACAGCAGCCUGAAAGCAAGUAACAAUUUGAAAAUUAGUAUCAGAAUUCAGAGGCCGUUUAAAGGAUCCAAUAUACCAACAGUUUCUGAGAAUACAAAUGAUACCUGGUAAGUCGACACAACUAACUCAAUGGGCUUGUGAUCAAACUUGCCGUUGAGGUGACAGGUUCCUAGUGAAUAGAUCCAUGUAAGUUUCCUGUGUUUCGUUUUAGUUUCAUAAAACCCUUUGAAAACUUCAACACACUUGACCUGAAACAAAGAAAUCGAUGGGAUUAGCUUCGCCUGGAGCAAACGUUUUUCCUUUUAGACAUACACUCAACAGAUACUUACCAUUUCACUGGGAAGAUUUAUGUCGAAUGAUUUGUAGCUUGGCCAGAAACCAGUUGUAAGAACAGUAACGGUCAAAUCAAUCCCUGGGUUUGCAGCGGGGUUAUUGCCUAGAUAUUCCUCGAAACUGGUUUGGUUUUCUCUGGCCAGUGUAAGAUCUGUCACCUGUAACCAAACAAAUCAAAUUUAUAGAAAGCAUAAAUCAUCAGAAAAAUCACCGUUCUGAGACAAUAAACAUAGGGACACGCAAACUAACCAUGCCCUCCAUCUUAGAAGUAAACUGCCCACCACAUUGCUGCUUGAGCUUUGUAAGAAUACUUCUCUCAUGAUCAUCAUUAGCACUGCGAUCAAAUAACAGCCUGCGUGCCAGCUUCUUCCUGAAAAACAGCCAAAAACAAAACCGCAUACAAUUUAUCCCAAUUUUGGUAAUUCCAUACUAUAUUAUUGGAAGGGACCUUAACAAAGAGCUAGAAUCAACAAACCAUAUAAGCAAAAAAAAUAUUAGAAUCCAAGGUAUAUAAAGAAAUAUAAGAAUGAGAGAUGAACCUGUAGAACUCGGCAAAAAGAUCCUUGUCGCUUAUAUAGGCAAGCAAUUUGACCACCUGUAACAACAUAAUAAGAUUAAACACCGGUUUAAGGAGAAACUGAAAAUGAAUAUAGCAAGCAACUUGACAAAAUACAAACCUUCUCAAGCGUGUCUUCAAUAGCUUCAUCACUCAGCUUCUCACUACCCCCCUUCUUGAGGAUGUUGUCGCAGAAUGUUGCAAGCAAUUCUGCACUUGAACUUCCAGCGACUGUUUUGUUACAGAAUAUCUCAAAUGCCUCUUUCAGAGCCUACAAUAGAAGAAACUUAAGUUAAUACAAACAAAUACACGCAUGCAAGAAGAUAUAUGCAUGACUAGUAUGCAGGAAGCACAUUAAACCUUGUGGAAGAGGGUGUGGUUCUGGAAGCACUCAACGACAUAGACCAUGUAUUUAUCAUGUAGCUCAAUCACUUUUCUGAUGAGAACCUGAAAGCAUAGAAAGAAAACGUGAAUUACUAAGUUCGAGAACAUCUUCACUAGUAGAAACAGUUGACACUGUUUUUACCUGUUCCUGCACGCUAGCAGUAUUUGCAGCCUGUGGAGUAAAAACAAAUCUUAGCGAUCACAGGCAAAGCGCGGAAAAGAUUUCAGAGUAAAAAACAAAAAAAUAUGAACCUGAUUAGUGGCCGUGUCUUCCGCCUGUUGGACGAGUGCGUUACCCUCGGCUGUGACAUGCUAUAUACAAAUUACACGAUGGAGUUAAUGCAGAACAGUAUUUAACAGAGUAAAAGUACACAAGGAAGAAAUGACUUCGCCAAUCUAAACCAUAAUAAUAAAGAUAGGUAAGCAACCUGCUUGAAUAUGUUUGCAACAGGUUCUAAACCUUUAGCAAUUUUAUGAUAAAGCCUGUACAUCCGGGAGAGAUCAUCAACCUGAAAGCACACAGAUACUCCAUCAAAGACAGAAAUAGAAAGACAAAAUAAUUAACAAUGAAACAAAGAGUAAGUUGCUCCACCUUGUCAUCUCUCAGCAAUGCACGGCACCCUGAGUGCUCUUUUUCUAGAAGCUGAUUUGCAUACACAACCAACAGCUCAUGUUGUACUUUCUGCAUCCAACAGAUUAAUAUAGAAGUCAAAUAGAUAUCAAUCAAAAUUAAUAUAUACUUUUCUGCAGAAGCAGGGUCUAAAAAGCAUGUCUCUAUGAAUAAAAAUGCAAAAUCAUGGCUUCUGUAAGUACACGCAUAAUGAAUGCUAUGCAUAAAGUCAAAGUGUCGUGCAUGAGGUAUCAUCAUAACUAACCUCAACCAGCUUUGGCUCGCUGCUUGAAUGAAGGUAGUGAGCCACUCUCUCCCUCUCCUUCUUCAGACAUUCUUCAGACUGCAACAUGAGAUUUAACAAGGAUACAUCAGACUAGUUAACAUAUGCAUUUUACUAAUUUGGAAUGACAACGCAAUCUAGAAAAUAAUAUAAGUAUUCAUACCUUCAGCAUGUAAUCAGGGCAAGAAUCUUCCUGGAUCCAGCUUGAUGCUUUGCGAGAAUAGUAAGAAGCUGAAUCCAAAAGCAUGAAGCUUUCAAAAUCCACUUCGUAUCUUUCCAUCUGUCCCAUUCCAAUCUCUACAUAGAUGUCCAAUACGUUUUUCAGAAGAGCCCUGUCAAUCUGCUCGCCCUCCCGUUCUUUAUCAACCUGACAUAGAAACAGCUCAUGUUAGACCUUGAAUAAGGUAAAAGCAAGAGUUGGAACUAAAUGUACAUUAUACACGCCACACUUACAAGUGCUAUUACAGCAUCUUUGACCUUGGAAUGCAACUCGUUAUAAACCUGAAAUAACAAAAUCAAUCAAGAGUUAAAAUAUCAUUGACGCCAUGUAAAGCCAUACAUAACAAGAACGAGCGCCAAACCCGGUCACGGAAGCAAGUCAGGCCAACUUCAUUCAGCGGUGGAAGUGAUCUCCGAGCAAUGAAGUAACGGUCAAGAUAGUAGAAGAAUCGGGAUAGCCAUCGAACCAUGACUUUAUGGUUAGACCAUCUCUUGACCAGCUCCCGCAGCAUGUACUCAUCAUGCUUCUCCUUCAAAGCAGGCAAAACCUAAUCACAAUAAAAAAAGAAAGAACGGUUUGAUCAACUUAUUGGCAUAUGAAACCAAGCACAAACCUCAAAAACUACAAAAUUGAUGAAUCAGACUCACCGUUGAGUUAAUAUACUCCUCAAACGCUUCACGAUACUUGUCAUAAAGCUGCUGCGAGUAAUCAUGAGGAGGCUUCUGGGUGCACAUGUUGUAGAUAGUCCUGAGAACCACACAAAACCCUCAACUUUCAUCACCAGUUACAAACAAAGCAAACACCUCUAAGACAACUCAAAAGACUAUAACAGAACGUACGUAUAGAGCAUCAUGUACUGCUCAGAGUCGAAUUGCGGCUCAGGCAAUCCCUCAAGAAUCCGUUUCAGUUUAGUGAUACCAGUCUGCAUAUAGUCCCAUCCUUGCUCCAAAUCAAUCGUCUUCCGCUCCAUUCUGAAAGAUUGAUUCCCAAAGCGCUCCUGGACCUAAGAACACGGAACAAAAUCGAAACUUUAGGGCAACAGUUUCCACAUUAUAGAAUCCCAAUCAAACUAUCGGAUGAUGAUAAAACGAACAAUCGAGAACGCUACACAAAAGCAAUCGACGUAACCCUAACAAUCAGAUCCCUAAAAAACUCGAAAACUAGGGAGCUAGACGAGAUCUUAGACCCUAAUUAGAGAAAGACGUUUCGCUUAACCUUGAGGAUUCCCGAUUCGAAAGGAUCGGGAGAGGUUUUGCGAUCGAGAGAGAAAGAUCAAAACCCUGAGAGAGUACGAUAAGAGAGAGGAAGAGGUGGAGACCUUUGAGCAGGACGGUGAACGAGGAAAGGAAAGGAUAUUUAUAACCCCCUCUCUUUUUUAAUCGCCUAUAACUCCUCCUCUAUUAUUCAGGCCGUAGAUUUUUAUCAUUUAUUUAUAAUCUUCGUUUAAUAUCUAUAAAUGUUUAUUUUCUAUUUAACCUUUUCUAAUUUAUUAGCCUGUUCAUUUUCCUAGUUACGGAUCUAUAAUCCUGUUUUAAAAAUCGGCUGCAUAGCUGUAUAGACGGCCGUCUAAACGUUACGCUUCACUCUUUCGUCCCAAUUUAUGAAAAAUUGGUUUAAAAAAUUAGAUAUCCGAUUUUUUCUGUUUAGACCGUCUAAAUAACCGUCUAGCCGCAUAUUCUAUUUUUUUAAUAAUAUUUUAUUUAUUUAUUUGAUCUGAAAUUUUGUAAAUAUCAUUUAUAUUCAUAAUUUUGAUGAAAAUUACAGUAUAUUAAUUUUAUAUAUUCUAUUUGUGUGUUUUAUACAAUCUUAAAUAUGAAAAUGUAUUAAUGUUAUACGCUAUUAAAGAUUACAUGUUUUACAAAAUUGUAAACAAUCUAAAAAUUUUGCCUCGCAUAAUUUCUGAUUAAUCCCCGAAUAACUGAUAUUGACUGUAUACAUAUGAAAAUAAUAUUUAGUUUUUUUAUAAGUGGUUAAAGUGUUUUAGUCCAUGUUCUCAAACGCGAACUCCUAACCGAGUAGGCGCUCGGCGGCACAAUUUUUUUCUCAAACAAUUAUGAUGAAAUACAUAUGUUACAUAGUUUGUGGAAAAUGCAUCAAUGGAAAGAGUUCAUUUUGAAAUUUUUCUUGUAGAACUAUAUACUUGUAAGCAGAUGCAGCUACUGAUUUUUCACAUAGCGUGAUGGAACUAACAUCCAAGGUGAUCAGCUGGUUUAAAUUUCAAAAAGAAGAAGGGAUUUGAUCAACAAAAAUGUUAUUAGAAAGACCGGAGAAAGUGAGCUGAAAAAGGUUUCCUACUAUAGGCAUACUCGGACCACAGAAAAAAAAUAUUAAUAGAAAUGUCGAGUUUGUCAAGAUAAUAAAGGUUUUCAAUCCAAGAAAGAAUAUGAUCCAAAAUUUUAUUAAAUGAAAUGUCAAAAGAAACGAGAUGAGAAAGAUUUACAAUUAAAGAUGGAAUCCGACUCAAAAACCAAAAAAAAAAAUAUUAUCGAAGAAAAAAUGCGACAGGUGAAAAACUAUCGUGCGAAAGGUCGAGCGACGUGAGUCCAGAAAGAUUUCCAAUUACAACAAGUCGUUAUUAGCCCAUGAGUCCGUCUGGGUUUAGUAUUGAUAAUAUAACUGUAAAGAAAGAGUUGAGAACCUUGGACUCGUUUCUGAAAUCGACAAGUGUGACCAUUUGCUCUGGGGCCGCAAACACGGCCUCGUAAUUAUAAACGAACAAGAAAAAAAAAAGACAAAGAGUGAUAGAAAUGGUAUUCAUUCCUUUCUGAUAGAAGAAAAGAAGAAGUGUUGAUGGUAUUAUUAGUAUAUAAACACGCUUCCAUGCCCACCUAUAUACACAAUAAUCUACAAAGAAAAAUUCCAAUCAGUUUGACUCAGUACUUUUCACACAUUUUUGGUCCCCGGCGGCUACAUUGAUUACAAGAUCUUUCCAAUCCAAACAAGAAAAAGUUACGAGUGUCUUAUUUUGCUCUAAAUAACAGCAUUUACAAGCUUUUUACAGUUUUUUUCAAAGAGUCUGUUUUGCAUUGUUUCGUGAUCAUCACAUGCACAGUCUUUCGUUUUGUUUUUCGGUAUAUGUUAAAACUUUAGUUUUUUUGCCAGCAAAGUUUUAAUUUGGGUGGUAAAUGUUUUUUCUUCUAAUUAUUAAAGAAGUUCAGAAUUGAGAUUCUUAAAAAGAUUGGUUAGUAAGACUGAUUCCAGCACCACUUGAAGUUCUAAACGUCUCAUGACAAAUAGUCAAAUAUACAGUUAACUGAAAGAAACCAAAGAAAUGCAAGCUAUGGCUAGCUCUCUCAAAAGAUUAUUUUAGCUAUUGGAUCUAACCUGAUGAUUAGGUUGCCUCAUUACAAGCCCUUAGUGUUCACUUAAUUCUUAUUUGGUUUCUAAAGUUAGUGUUCCCGUUCCAUUUUUGCAGAGCAAUUUUCAAGGCAAAACCUAGUUAGUCAUGCAGUUGCUAGAUUUGAGUAUAUCCAGCAGUGAUGGUAAUCAUCAAAGGAACAGUCAAGGGACAAUCCCUUGACGUGCUCCAUCAGCAUAUAACUCGCUCACUUUGCCUCUCUCAGAAAGAGACCAACAACAAACUAUGAAAAUAGGACAAGUUAGUUCAUCAGAGUCGAUCUAAAUAACCGUCUAGCCGCAUAUUCUAUUUUUUUAAUAAUAUUUUAUUUAUUUAUUUGAUCUGAAAUUUUGUAAAUAUCAUUUAUAUUCAUAAUUUUGAUGAAAAUUACAGUAUAUUAAUUUUAUAUAUUCUAUUUGUGUGUUUUAUACAAUCUUAAAUAUGAAAAUGUAUUAAUGUUAUACGCUAUUAAAGAUUACAUGUUUUACAAAAUUGUAAACAAUCUAAAAAUUUUGCCUCGCAUAAUUUCUGAUUAAUCCCCGAAUAACUGAUAUUGACUGUAUACAUAUGAAAAUAAUAUUUAGUUUUUUUAUAAGUGGUUAAAGUGUUUUAGUCCAUGUUCUCAAACGCGAACUCCUAACCGAGUAGGCGCUCGGCGGCACAAUUUUUUUCUCAAACAAUUAUGAUGAAAUACAUAUGUUACAUAGUUUGUGGAAAAUGCAUCAAUGGAAAGAGUUCAUUUUGAAAUUUUUCUUGUAGAACUAUAUACUUGUAAGCAGAUGCAGCUACUGAUUUUUCACAUAGCGUGAUGGAACUAACAUCCAAGGUGAUCAGCUGGUUUAAAUUUCAAAAAGAAGAAGGGAUUUGAUCAACAAAAAUGUUAUUAGAAAGACCGGAGAAAGUGAGCUGAAAAAGGUUUCCUACUAUAGGCAUACUCGGACCACAGAAAAAAAAUAUUAAUAGAAAUGUCGAGUUUGUCAAGAUAAUAAAGGUUUUCAAUCCAAGAAAGAAUAUGAUCCAAAAUUUUAUUAAAUGAAAUGUCAAAAGAAACGAGAUGAGAAAGAUUUACAAUUAAAGAUGGAAUCCGACUCAAAAACCAAAAAAAAAAAUAUUAUCGAAGAAAAAAUGCGACAGGUGAAAAACUAUCGUGCGAAAGGUCGAGCGACGUGAGUCCAGAAAGAUUUCCAAUUACAACAAGUCGUUAUUAGCCCAUGAGUCCGUCUGGGUUUAGUAUUGAUAAUAUAACUGUAAAGAAAGAGUUGAGAACCUUGGACUCGUUUCUGAAAUUGACAAGUGUGACCAUUUGCUCUGGGGCCGCAAACACGGCCUCGUAAUUAUAAACGAACAAGAAAAAAAAAAGACAAAGAGUGAUAGAAAUGGUAUUCAUUCCUUUCUGAUAGAAGAAAAGAAGAAGUGUUGAUGGUAUUAUUAGUAUAUAAACACGCUUCCAUGCCCACCUAUAUACACAAUAAUCUACAAAGAAAAAUUCCAAUCAGUUUGACUCAGUACUUUUCACACAUUUUUGGUCCCCGGCGGCUACAUUGAUUACAAGAUCUUUCCAAUCCAAACAAGAAAAAGUUACGAGUGUCUUAUUUUGCUCUAAAUAACAGCAUUUACAAGCUUUUUACAGUUUUUUUCAAAGAGUCUGUUUUGCAUUGUUUCGUGAUCAUCACAUGCACAGUCUUUCGUUUUGUUUUUCGGUAUAUGUUAAAACUUUAGUUUUUUUGCCAGCAAAGUUUUAAUUUGGGUGGUAAAUGUUUUUUCUUCUAAUUAUUAAAGAAGUUCAGAAUUGAGAUUCUUAAAAAGAUUGGUUAGUAAGACUGAUUCCAGCACCACUUGAAGUUCUAAACGUCUCAUGACAAAUAGUCAAAUAUACAGUUAACUGAAAGAAACCAAAGAAAUGCAAGCUAUGGCUAGCUCUCUCAAAAGAUUAUUUUAGCUAUUGGAUCUAACCUGAUGAUUAGGUUGCCUCAUUACAAGCCCUUAGUGUUCACUUAAUUCUUAUUUGGUUUCUAAAGUUAGUGUUCCCGUUCCAUUUUUGCAGAGCAAUUUUCAAGGCAAAACCUAGUUAGUGAUGCAGUUGCUAGAUUUGAGUAUCCAGCAGUGAUGGUAAUCAUCAUAGGAACAGUCAAGGGACAAUCCCUUGACGUACUCCAUCAGCAUAUAACUCGCUCACUUUGCCUCUCAGAAAGAGACCAACAACAAACUAUGAAACCAGGACUAGUUAGCUCAUCAGAGUCGACAACAAUCAAUCUUGACAACUUGUUAGGGAAUCAGUAGGAUAAAUGGGCACAGCUACAUCAGCUUCAUGGAGGUACCAGCAGAGUCAGAAUGGUUAUUACACAUCUUAUGCUAAGGGGAUUGUGUCCAAUAUGAUGCACAACCAAGUAGAAACCACCCUAACAUGAUGCACAACAACAACCAUCUAGAAAACUUGCUUCUCAUCAUCAUCCUUGUUGUAACCAAAACAGAAGUUGGCGUUAAAUCAUAUACAAUGAGACACGAGUUCUUUUAAUACCAAAUACUUGGAUUUCACGAUACAGCUAGCGUCUUGCUCCCUUGAGACACAAGUUUACAUGUUUAAGAGAUGACAGUAACCGGAACAUCAGUGAUUUAGAUAGAUUGUAAGAAUUGGCCUCUCAUUUUAUUGUCCACCCGAUUUCAAAGUGCAACUUCGUUGGUGAGGUCCUCAAGAAAAUUCUCAAAAGUUGAAUAUUCUUAUUUUAUUGGUUAUUUAUAAAUAAAAUAAAUUUUAAUUAAAAACAAAAAAAAAUAGCCAAUAGACCGCAAGUAGUCAAAGAGGAGUUCUGGGGUGAAAACCCAUUGUUGUACAUGAUCUAUUAAGACGACUUUCAGAUCCAUAAAUAUCUAAUUCUGAUGCUUAACAGUGCUAAUUAGCUGAAAAUUCUCUGUAAACAACCGUGGGGUAAAUGAACAAGUUCGUUUUUCGCUGUCCGAAAGAUAAAUACUUUAUUUCGUCCGUGCUCUUACGUUGCAAGUUAUGAGUCAAGGUAGAAGGAGCUUUAAUUUAGACUGUUGAAUUUUGUUAUAAUAAUUUCCUAUUCAGUUAACAAAAAUUCGAUUGUCUAAUAAUACAACCGUGUCCUAAACAAUCUAUGUCCCAACUAACAAAAGGAUUGAGUAAGGAGAUAAGAUAAAAGAAGCCAUUAAGAUCAGAUAAUUGUAGUCUGAGUUUUAGUCGACAUAAUAUUUCCGAACAAUCGUUAUCAUCAUGUCAUUGGCUCUUUCUCAUCCGAACUCCAAAGAGAAAUCAAAUUAUCAUCAGGAAAAAUCAAUUAAAAAGUUGAAAGUGAAGGCUCAGAAGGAUCCAUUGGUAAAAUUUCUAAUCAGAGAUUUACUCAUAAAAUAGGUAGAUUUUCAUCAUCACUGCCUUCACUAGUAACCAGAAAUCGAAGAGAUGAGAAUUUUUCCCAUAAAAGCCAAAAUUGAAAACAGUUUAACGAAACAUUGAAACAAGAAUGUGGAAUGAAAGACGAGAUGUAAUGGCUGGAUCAGCUUUAAAUUGUAAUCGCUGAGUUGGGAGAAGUCGCGGACGGCAAUAUAUAUAAGACGAUGGAGGUAGCUAGGGUUUUACGUUUUGAAAAGAAUUGGGUCGGGCCUGUUGAGACUCCAACUCUUGGAUAUGGGCCUUGUAAAUGUUUCAGUUUUUAAAUCUACUAGCAUGGAGAAAUAUAAGUUUUUUAAAAAAAAUCUUAUAUAUUAUGUAUUAUAAUUAUAAAAAAAAUUACAUAUACAAUUUUACAACAUAUAACUUUAUAUGGUUUAUGCGAAUCAAAUUCACAUCUAACCAAUUUUACUUACACCCUUAUGAAGAUCACAUGUAAGUCUUUCAUCUGUAAAUAUGCAUAAUUAUUUAAUAAAUCGUGUUCUUCAAUAUUCAAAACCCAAAAAAUUAAUAAAUCUUCGUUAAACCAUCAAAUUACUGAAACUUUCACCAAGAAAUUCAAGACUGUGAAUAAAAAUGAAAAAAAUAUGAGAUUGUGAGAGCAAGUGAUGGGAGGAAAACACAGCCUAGUCUAUCGAAAAAAAAGAUUGAGACAAUUAUACAUCUUUGUUGUGUGUGUAUUGCAGAACUUGGUUGUUGUUAUUUUAUCUAUGUAUUGAGAAAAUUGCAAAGCUUGUAACAGUAACCUUAACAAUCAGCCGUCUUCGUAGUUAGUAAUUGGUUUGAUCCAAUGCCUCUUACACUAAAUCCUAGUCUACUUUUGUUUUCCAUUUAUUCUCUUCCAAAACUACAUGAAGUAGUAAUCAGAACAAACUGAUGGAGAAGUUUUACUCUUCUAAGGACAAAUGUGCCUUCUCUUUGCGUUGUUUCCUUCAUAGUUUACUUGGCUUUUCUCCAACGUUACUUACAUGAGUAAUCAGAACAAAUGGAAAAGUUUAAAUUCUUUUGUGAACAAAUUUAAUUUCUAUUUUUGUCAUUUUCAUCUUGGUUCCCAAACCUAAAAGCAUUUCUUUUUGGUUUUGAGAACAAUGAUAUGUAAGUGUAUUUUUGAAGCUCCUUCUUGUGUUCUAAUGACAGUUGAGUUCAAGCCCGUAUGAGAAUACAGAAGUGGAAACAUUCAACUCCUCUCUUAUUACAUCAGGUUCGUUCUUCUUCUCCUUUCUAACUUAUCCAUUCAAAAGAGUUUAGUUAUCCAUUUAAAACAUAGUAAAGAUCUUCUUGAAACUUGGUUUUAAUUUGCUUACACAGUGAAUAAGAACCGACAUAGAGUUAUCUAAGCUCGCGUUUAUGUCAUCGGCUAGUGCAUUUGAGAAAUGGACAAGCUUGACAGGUCUUUUAGGACAGCUUAAGGGAAUCUGAUUGGCUACCAAUUGUUUACUUUUCUGUUGUCGUCUUGUGUAUUUUUCUACAUAUUGUCAACAAAAGAAUAGAGAUAAAGGAAAGCAAACCUUUGAAAACUUCAUCCUCUUUAACAUAUUUGGUUAUCAUUCUUUAUUCAUUUUUUCAUACUAAGCCAAACCACUUUCUUCAACACUCCAGUAACAAUUGUUAUAUCAAAAUGAGAUCUUUUAAACCGGAAUGGGAAAGCCCAUAGACUGAACCGGUAAUAACCAAGCGUCAAGAGAUGUCAUGUUACUACUAGAUGAAGCUUGCUUGACUAUAAGGGGGCAGUUUGAGUCAUUUGGCAGUUACUACAGACUUGUUUGAUCUUUUCUCUGAUGACAUUAAAUCCUUUAUCUAGAAGAACAAAAAAACUUCCAUCAUUAUAACCAAAUGUGAAAACAAAUAUACAAACGUUAAUCAAUCCAAUUCAACUUUGAAAAAUCAUCCAAGCAGACUAGUCAAUAUUGAUGGCGACGGUCUUAUAGAGGCAUUACUUAUCUGUUAAAUAAUACUAUUAACAUUAAUGAGAAUGCAAAAAAUGCUCUGCCUUUUACUUGUAUAAAUACCAGCACUACUUGUGUCUUAUUUCAUCACCUUCACCUUCAACAUCAAACACAUCACAUCUCUCAAAGAGUUUCUUAGUAAUCAAAAUCAAUGGCAGGUAUCAAAGUUUUCGGACACCCAGCUUCCGCUCCCACCAUGAGAGUCCUCCUCACCCUCCACGAGAAAAACCUCGACUUUGAGUUCGUUCAUGUCGACCUCAUGGGAGGUGAGCACAAGAAAGAGGCUUUCCUAGCCCGCAACGUAAGUAUAUCUAUCUGUGUUGUUGUGAGACAGGAUAAACACUCAGAACCGGGCAAAAAAUUAAGCUCCUAUAAUUAAUGUUUAUUUAAUUUUUUUAACUUUUAAAAGUUAAUCAGUAAUAUUUUUGUAAAUUUCAUGAAAAAAAAACAAAACUAUACACAUAAAAUAUUUUGGGUCAUUUCAGUCUAAUUAAUCAAACUUUAAUUUUUGUAUAAAAAUAAUGUAUAUAUAUAAAAAGUUGAACUACUUAACUACUAGGAUUACAUGAAGACAUGGAUUUGAGCCCGGAGCGGCCAUACCGUUUGUCCCCCGAAUUAGCUGCCCGUUUUUGAUGAAUCUGGUCUAAAUCUUGAAUGUUUUGCGUUUGAUUGAUAUUGCAGCCUUUUGGUCAAGUUCCAGCCUUUGAAGAUGGAGACCUCAAGCUCUUUGGUACGAACGUUUUCGCAGAUCAUCUCAAAUAUGAUUUGACAAUAUGCAUAAAAAGAAGAAGAAACAUUCACUAACAUGAUUUGUUUCUUUUGUGUAGAAUCAAGAGCCAUUACUCAAUACAUAGCUCACCGAUACGAAGGCCAAGGAACCAACCUUCUCCCAGCUGACUCCAAGAACAUAGCCCACUAUGCAAUCAUGGCCAUCGGAAUGCAAGUAGAAGCUCACCAGUUCGAGCCAGUGGCUGCAAAGCUUGUUUCUGAACAAGUAUUUAAGCUCAAGAAAGGCUUGACCACAGACCAAGCCGUUGUUGCCGAAGAGGAGGCUAAGUUAGCCAAGGUCCUUGAUGUCUACGAGGCUCGGCUCAAGGAGUUCAAGUACUUGGCUGGUGACACUAGACGUGUACGAGGCUCGGCUCAAGGAGUUCAAGUACUUGGCUGGUGACACUUUUACUUUGACCGAUCUUCACCACAUUCCUACGGUUAAAUACUUGCUUGGAACUCCCACCAAGAAGCUCUUCACCGAGCGUCCACGUGUCAACGAGUGGGUGGCUGAGAUCACCAAGAGGCCAGCUUCCCAGAAGAUCCUUCAGUGAUAAGUUACUAAAAGCUUCUGCUUCAGUCGCAGUAAUAAUGCUCAGAGUUAAUAAGUUACUGCCUCAUUUCCAAUUUCUCAGUACUCUGUUUUUAUUCUCAGUUAUAACUAAGUGUGUGUUCUUGAGAGAUAUUUCUUGAAUCAUAAACUGUCUAAUCUUCAAGCUCUUCUAUAAUAAAAAGAUUAGUUACUUAUUUAAUACAAAGGUUGCAAUGUCUUGACUACAGAGUUACUGAUUAGUGAGCACAAAGACUUUGUUUGAUUAGUCUUUGCAAAUUUUUACUUUCUACCUUUGCAAGCUGACCUAAGACUUUGACUCCAUAAACAAUAGUAAAGAGUAAAGACACAUGAUGGAAAGAGAAAUCUAAAAACAAAGCAUAGCUCAGAUCACUCAAAUUGGAUUUGCUUUUUACCUUAACCCCUUUUAAGACGCUAGGUGAAGCAACCCAUCUCAUCUUUAGUCUCCAUUGUGUUGCUUGACUCAUCCCUCACUUUGACUUUACAGCUACCCAAUGAAUCGAGGGCAGAGACUGAGACAUAUACUUACAGCAUCUGGUCAUCCCAAAGUUAGAAGCUUUACAAUACUCACAUAUUGACUUUACCAAGAAAUAUCAUUUUUAGUUAGUAGAGUUUGUACGUCAUCAUCCCGGCCCAUGGCGUUCAAGGGACCAAAAAAGAAUAAUGGGAGAUCAUAAUAUCGACAUAGAUCCAACGGUCAAGAAUAAUGAUAGCAUUAAGAAGAUAUAAAGAUAUUUGAUAGUACAACAAUAUUUUUUGAAAGCCUAAGUUUCAAAAAAAAAAAAUUGAAAAUAACUACCGAUAUUGUACUAUUUUAUAUUAAUUUAUGAAAUUAGUUUUACUCAUCUCUAAAUAAAUCAUAGUAGGUGAUUAUCUCUCGCUCAUGCACAAGGAUAUAAAUAAUUAUAAAUUAUAAUAAUUUAUUAAAAUUUAAGAUUAAAUUAUUUUGUAAUUUAUAUGUAUAAAAUAGUACUAUGUUAAUUUUUUAGACAUGUGAUUUUGGAUAUAAUAUUAAGUAUGUUUAAUUAUUAUUUAUGUAUAUUGGAUUUUAUUUACUUCUUUAAAAUCGACCAUAGUAAUUUUUUAUUUUCAUUUAGUUUGAUUGUUAUCUCAUAUCUGUAAAUAUAUAUGUUGUUUUGAGAAUCAAAUAAAAAAAAUUAACGUAUUGAUUAAUAAGUUACAUGAAUUAAUAUAAAUAUAAUCUUGUAAACAGUCAGGCAUGUAUAUGAAUUAAAAAAAUAAAAUAAACUGUGACAAUUUAUUAAUAUGUUUAAACAAUUCCAUAAUUUAAAUGUAUAAAAUUAAUAAAAUAUUACUAUAAAUAAUAGCAUAUUAAUAUUUGAGUUAGAUAUUUGAUUUUAGGUAUAAGAAUUUGUAUUAGUCAAGUUAAUAAUUUUGUGGAUUAUAUUGAGUUACAUAUGUUUUUUUAAUGUUAAGAACAUUAGUUUAGUUCUUCACCGUAAAUGCGUAAGAUUCAGAAAAAAAGAAUGUGUAAGUUUACUUUCAUAAUUUUUUGUAUUACUGAUAUUUGUUUUUUAAUAAAGAAAUUCUUAAAGUAAAACUAAAAAUGAUCAAUAUGAAGGUGCAUAAAUGAAAAUAACUAAUAAAUUUUUAAAAGAUCAUGAAUGGAUAUCAAUAUUUUAAAAAAUUAUGUAAAAUAGGUCUAUAGUAAAAAUAAUAUUUUUAGUUUCACUUUCUAAUAUAUGACUUAUUUCUUAAAGUCAAUUUCAAAAGCAACAACAUUAUUUAAUAUUUCUAAAAUAAAUACUUUUUGAGAAAUCAUGUUAUGUAAGUAACUUUCAAAAUUUCUUUAGAUAUUUUCAUCAGUGUAGUACCGUAAUUGAAUAAAAGUUAUAAGAAGUUUGAGUCAUUUGGCAGUUACUACAGACUUGUUUGAUCUUCUCUCUGAUGACAUUGAAUGCUUUAUCUAGAAGGAAAAAAACUUUAUUCCAUAACCAAAUUUAUAAACAAACUUCAUUCAAUCCAAUUUAACUUUAAAAAACCUCUAGAAAAACAAGUCAAUAUUGGUUGCGACGGUCUUGUAGAUGCAUUGUGUAUAAGUUGAAUAAUAUGUAACAUUAAUGAGAAUGCACAAAAAUUCUCUGUUUUUUACUUGUAUAAAUACCAUCACCACUUGUGUCUUAUUUCAUCACAUUCACCUUCAAACAUCAAACAUCACAUCUCUUAAAAGAGUUUCUUUGUAUCAAUGGCAGGUAUCAAAGUUUUCGGACACGCUGCUUCCAUUUCCACCAGAAGAGUCCUCCUCACCCUCCACGAGAAAAACCUCGACUUUGAGCUCGUUCAUGUCGACCUCAAGGACGGUGAGCACAAGACAGAGUCUUUCCUAUCCCACAACGUAAGUAUAUACUUAAUCGUUUCAUUUUAAAUCCGUUUCAUUUUAAAUGUAGUUGUAGAAUUUAAAUUUUAUUUCAUUAUAAAUGACAUUUUAUAUUUUCAGUGCAAAUUUUUGAUGGUUUUUUCACUUUUAAUUCCUAUCUUUCAGCACAUUAAUUUUUAAAAAAUAAAUAAAAUAGUGUACUAAUUAGGGAUAUAAUAGAAAAUUUAAUGAUUUUAUUAAUUUGUGUGAAAGAACCUUAACAACAUAUGAAACGAAACGUAGGGAGUACAUAUAUAUGUUGUUGUAAGACAAGAGUACAAGACCAGCACUCUGAUGAAUCUGGUCUAAAUCUUGAAUGUUUUGCAUUUUUAUUUAUAUUGCAGCCUUUUGGUAAAGUUCCGGCCUUUGAAGAUGGAGACCUCAAGCUCUUCGGUAUGAACGUUUUCAUGAUCUUCAAUCUUAAUCUGAUUUGAAAAUUAUAUGCGUAGGAAGAAGAAACAUACACUAACAUCAUUUGGUUCUUUUGUGUAGAAUCAAGAGCUAUUACUCAGUACAUAGCUCACCGAUACGAAGGCCAAGGAACCAACCUUCUCCAGCCUGACUCCAAGAACCUGGCCCAAUAUGCAAUCAUGGCCAUGGGAAUGCAAGUAGAAGCUCACCAGUUCGACCCACUGGCGUCAAAGCUUGCUUGGGAACAUGUAUUUAAGCUCAUCUAUGGCUUGACCACAGACCAAGCCGUUGUCGCCGAAGAAGAGGCUAAGUUAGCCAAGGUCCUUGAUGUAUACGAGGCUAGGCUCAAGGAGUUCAAGUAUUUGGCUGGUGACACUUUUACUUUGACCGAUCUUCACCACAUUCCUGCGGUUCAAUACUUGCUUGAAACUCCCACCAAGAAGCUUUUCACCGAGCGUCCACAUGUCAACAAGUGGGUGGCUGAGAUCACCAAGAGGCCAGCUUCACAGAAGAUCCUUCAGUGAGGAAUUUCUAAAAGGCUCUGCUUCAGUAACAGUAAUAAUGCUCAGACUAAAUAAGUGGCUGCUUCACUGCCCAAUUUCUCAUUAAUCUGUUUUUCUUUCUCAGUUAUGUGUGUGUGUGUUCUUGAGAGAUCUUUGUUGAAUCAAAAACUAUCUAUCUAAUCUUUAAGCUCUUUUAUAAUAAAAAGGUUAGUUAAUUAAUACAAAGGUUGCAAUGUCUUAACUGCAAUGUCUUAACUGCAGAGUUAUUACUGAGAAUAUUAUACAUUAUACAAAGACUUUUAAUUUUAGUUUGAUUAGUCUUUGCAAGUUCUUAGUGUCUACCUUAUUUUUAAAGGAGCUAAGCUAAGACUUUGAACGUUCUUAUACUUAACAGUCUCCAUGUUUUGUGCCUUUGUGGGAUCUGAAAUUUUAGACUCAAAUUUUAUAAACUACAUUAAAAUCGGCUGAAAGGCUUGACCACAGACCAAGCCGUUGUCGCCGAAGAGGAGGCUAAGUUAGCCAAGGUCCUUAACGUCUACGAGGCACGGCUUUAGGAGUUCAAGUACUUGGCUUUACUUUGACCGAUCUUCACCACAUUCCUGCGGUUCAAUACUUGCUUGAAACUCCCACCAAGAAGCUCCGAGCGUCCACGUGUUAACGAGUGGGUGGCUGAGAUCACCAAGAGGCCAGCCAGCUUCCCAGAAGAUCCUUCAGUGAGACAUUUCUAAAAACUAAAAAGAAAACAAAAUAGUUCUGCUUCAGUUACAGUAAUAAUGCUAAGAGUAAAUAAGUGGCUGCUUCAUUGCCCAAUUCCUCAGUACUCUGUUUUUUUCUCUGUUUUUAUUCUCAGUCAUGUGUGUGUUCUUGAGAGAUCUUUGUUCAAUCAAAAAUUAUCUGUCUAAUCUUCAAGCUCUUUUAUAAUAAAAAAUAUUGGUUACUUAAUUAAUACGAAGGUUGCAAUGUCUUAACUGCAGAGUUAUUACUGAGAAUAUUAUACAUCAUACAAAGACUUCCAGUUUGAGUUUGAUUAGUCUUUUUUUUAUGCACAGUUUGAUUAGUCUUUGCAAGUGUUUUUACUUUCUACCUUAUUUUCUCAGCAAAGAAGCUAAGCUAAGACUUUGAACGUUCUUAUCCUUAAAAGUCUCCAUGCUUUGUGCCUUUGUGGGAUCUCAAAUUUUAGAAUUAAAUCUUAUAAACUAUAUUAAAAAUUUAGGUUAGAUUUUUUAAAAAAAUAUGCCAAAUUUAUUGAAAAUUUUCUAAUUAAUUUUUUCUGUAUUCACAUUUUGAUACGCUGAAGGUAGAACUAAAGAGACCCAAAUGAUGCUAUAAAUUCCCAAACCAUAGUAAGUCAGUACUCUACUGAUGUAUCCAAUAUGCUUUUGACAUCUUGUAUACUGAAAGAAUCAAUUAUUUAGUUGUUAGAUGGUAGAUACAUUUGAAAGCAGGUUAAAAAUGUUCUUCAAUUAACAUUGAUUAUUAUUGAUUUCUGAAAUAUGGAUUAAAAAAAAAAGAAAAAAAAAAAGAGAAAACAAACUGAUGUCUAUGCACAAUACUUUUGCUUUCACCCAUCUUACAACAACAAGCAAAGACAUGAAUAUAGCUAGAAACAGAACACAAAUUCCUAAACGCCGCAGAUCCGAGUAUUCAAACUUGGUUGGUUUGUUGUACCUUUACAGCCUUAAACGCCGGGUGAAGCAACCCGAGCUCGUCUUUCAUCUCCAGCGGAUUGCUAGUCUCGUUCCUCACUCUCUUUACUUUGCGACUAGCCAAAGAUUUAUGAGUGAAACCAUAUAUUUGCAGAAUCUGGUUAUCCCCAAAGUUAAAGGCUCUGUCCAUCUGUUUUAGACACCGUUCAACCGGGUAGUCCCCAAACUUCCCGCAUGGUUUGCAACCGACAAAGUGAGUCACCAAUGGCCACCGGUGGUCACCUAGACCCGGGUGGUAGUUUUCUAUCAUUUCUUCGUAUCGGUCCACAAGUAUUCCCCAGUAACCGUGAAGAUAGUACCCAUUUUCUAGGUAUACCUAUAACAACAAUGCAGCAGCUCAAAUAAGAAUAAAGCAAAACCAUAACAAAAUGCAACUCGCAUUGUGAUCUGUGAUGAUAAAUAUGUGAUGAAGAAACGUUAUAAACAUAACAAGAUGCAACUCACAUUGUGAUAUGCAGUGAUAAAUUAAAACUUUAUGAUGAAACAAAUUAUAAACAUAACAAAAUGCAACUCACAUUGUAAUUUGUGGAUACAAAUUACAAUGCCUAUGUGAUCAGAGACGUUAUAAAACCACAAGAUGCAACUCACAUUGUGAUUUGGAUGAUAAAUUAAAACUUCUUGUGAUGAACAAACGUCAUAAACUGACAAUAUGCAACUCACAUUAUCAUUUGCGAAUACAAAUCCAAUUCCUAUGAGAAUAUGCAACUCACAUAGUGACUUGUAAGUGAAAAAACUCAUACUGAUAUGAUCAAGAGACGCUAUAAACCAACAAGAUGCAACUCACAUUGCAAUUUUAUGAGCGAAAAACCGAUCUUUAUGUAAUCAAGAGAUGCUGUAGAUUUUUAUUGGUUGAACAACUAAGGUAAUAUGUAUCUCAAAUCAAAUUUCUGCUCUUACCUUAUUACCCCAAGUGUCUCGCUGAGUAGCCAACAGAUAAACCAUAGCAGACUGAUCAUCAGCUUCGAAAACCGGCCUACCCUUAAGCUCACGGGUCAAAACCUUACCCGCUUCCUCACGGAUCUUCCCUUUAGGACCCAUAGGAGCCCAAGUGUCAAGCAAAUCAAGCGCCCACUGAUUAUUCCUAAGCAAGAAACUCCCAGUAUUCAACCCAAUCCAAUUCUUGUCAUCAUAAACCAUCUCAUUCCAUCCAUGCAUCACCAAGUUAUAAUCCUUAUACCUCUCCCACGGAAGCUCAAACGCCAUGUCCGUAAACAUGGCAUCACUAUCCAUCCACCACAGAAACUCAAUCUCGGGGUGAGACAGCAAAAGCUUCCUAAUCAACGGCAGCUUCGCCCAAAACCCAGCCAUCUCAGCAUCGAGCAGAGCCAUGUUGUAGAAGAUCUCGAUCCCGUGAAGCCUACAGUAAUCGAUCUUGUUCUUGAUCGACUUCAAGAGGUAAUGGUCUCCCACAGGAUUCUCACACGGCUUCGGAGCAGAACCGGUCACCAAGAGGACACGUGGCUUGUUUGGUCCGAUGAAGUUGGGGAAGCUAGGGUUCUUCCCUAACCAGUCGGAUCUUUGCUCGUCCCAAUCGGAUAUCUUGGGUCCGAGAGUGUACGGUUUAUUCGGGUCGGGUUUCUCUUCUUCUCCUUCGUCAACGAAUAUCUUGUUAAUGUCAAACGUCUCAUAGUUAUUGCUCCCGGCGCCGCCACCGUCGCCGGAAUCUCCUCCUCCGCCGCCGCCGGAUUGUAUUUCUUCGAGUACACGGUGAGGCUCAGCUCGUUUACGAGAUGUUUGGAAAUGCUGACGGAUCUCGUCCAGGUCUUGCUCCGGUGUACCGAACUUACCGGCGCCGAUUGUGCCACGUAGGACGACAACGGUGAGAACGAGGCAGAGAACCGUUACCUUUAAGUGGCGUAAAGCUCUUUGGAUUCUCCGGCACCGGUAAGCUCCUAAACAUCUCUCGAUCAUCUUUAUCCAAUCUUCUUCUUCUUCUUGGUAGAGAGAGAGAAUCUCUCUGUUUAUUAUUAUCUAAUUGAGGUCAAGAGAAGAUCUGAGUUUUUCCAUUAAUGAAAGAUUCGAAUUUGAUUAAUAUUUUUUCGGACACUGUUACUUGUCAAAGCUACUACAAGAGUUUGCGUUCGGACAGUACUACUGUUAGUAACUUUAAGUUGUCUGGUUUUUUACUCGGUUGUGUCGGUUGUGGUUGUGUGCUAGUGUAGUGUUUGUCACACGUGGCGAUAUAUCAGGGUAUGUGACUUGUGCUAUAUAUGGUCCUGACCGUUGAUGCAACAUGGAUCUAGAUAUCGGAGCGCGUUGAAAAGUCAACUCGUUAAUACUGUAGUUCUUUUUUCGUGCAACAGAAAUACUGUAGUUUUUUUCUUAUAAAUAGAAAAAAGGUUGAAAACAAAAGGGAACAUAAAUAGGAAAAACGAAUUCAACAUGUUGGAUAUGGUUAAACAGGGGUUGACCAAAAAAGGGCUAGAGAGGGCUGGGCGCGGAUCAAAUAUAUGAGUUUCUCGAGGUAUUCGCCAUCUAAUCCAUUUUGUUUGAAUAACCGACUAUUCGGUUAUAUUCGAUCCAUAGCUAUUCGAAUAUUCUGUGUCUAGAAUUUCUAGAAUUUCUUUUUGUAUUUUUAACAUAUAUCCGAUUCGAUUAGUACAAAUAAAAUUAAAAUUAAUAAAUAAAUAAUCCUAAAAUUAAGAUAAAUAACAAUUUUUAUUACAAAAAUAAAAAUUUCUUUACUUUUUAAAAUUAUAAUAACUAAUAUAAUAAAUAUAAUAUUAUAAAACUUAUAUAAAAUAUUAUAUUUACAUAUUAUAUUUAUAUGAUUAUUUAUAUAUAUAUAUAUAUAUAACCGAUCGGAUUAGUUAUCCUUCUUAAAAAUAUUAGUAUUUGUGAUUUAUCUCAUUUUUUAUAGAUAUUACAUAUUAAUAUUUGCUUUACUUCAUAGAAUUAUGGAAAUUUAGAUUUUUUUUAUUUGAGUCAAAAUAGAUAAUGAAUCGAACCAAAAUUUAUAGAUAUUUUGUCCAAUCUUAUGUUUAAUUACUAGUUAAAGUUUACUGUACUUCUUUUUUUACUUUAUUUAUUCUCCUGUUUUAGGAAUUGUUUUUUUCAUUUACACCAAAAAGGUUUAUGUUAUAAAAGUCAACUAGGAAGUAACCCUCGCCUUGCGCAGGAUGAAGUUAUUAAUUUUGUUAUUUUUAAGAUGUUAAAAUAUUAUGUCUGUUUAUUUUGGAUAUUAGUUCGGUUUUGGGUUGGUUUUUCGGGUUUUAAUAUCUUCUUAUAUAUAACUAAUUUCUAAAUUCAUAUUUAUUUUUGUUUGUUUGGUUAAAAUGGUUGAGGAUUUUUGGUUUUCUGGUGAUAAACCAAAGUCAAUUAGUAUUUGUUUGGUUUCAUGUUAUCAAAAUUUUAGACAAUCCUGAUGUCAACCAAUAGCUUCAUAUUAUAAUUUCUAAACGAAUUUAUAAUAAAAUCAAAUCUAGAUAAUUGUUAAGAAAAACAAAAGAAAAUUAUAAAGACAAAUCAUUUCGUUACAAUUAGGUUAAUGGUGAAUGAAGAAUUAAAAAUAAUAAUAUUCUAUAUUACAUCUGAAUUAGAAUCAUCACUUACGGUCAGUGGCGGAACUACAACAUGGGUAAGGGGGCAGCUGCUGCCCACCAUAAAAUUUUAAAAUUAGUGUAUUUUUGUACUGAAUUUUUAUAAUGCAAUGGUUGAAAAUUCAAAAUUAUAAAUAUAUUACAGUGUUUUAUAGUUCUGUUCCGGACAACAAUUAUUUAUAGAUCCUCCACUGCUUACGGUGAAUAUUUAGUUAUAUAGGUACUCACUUCAAUGUGCAUAUAAACAUGUAUGUAAAUAUUUUAAAAGUGUUUCACAAAUAUAUAAAGAUAUUGUUAAUUAAUAUUGAAAGAAAUUAUUGUUCAAUAUAACAAAGAAAUAUAAAAUUCUUAAAUAAAAUCUAUUAAAAAUAAAGUCAUUACCAAAUAAUUUUUUUUAUAUAUAAUGAAAAUCAAAUUGUAUACAUAAUAAUACAUAUACAAAUUGGGUUUGCUGAAUUUUAUUCUUACAUAGUGUUACACCUUGGCCCAAUCAGAUUUUAACAUUCAUACAUUAUGCUUCAACAUCUAUAUUAUUAAAACUGAAAUACAUUUGAGAAUUAUUUAGAAACAUGUAUAGUAAUAUACAAAAGGAGUAUAAUGUUGUUUGGAAACAUGGAUAACUGUAUAUUAAGAAAAAUAAUAAUGGCUUUUUGCAAAAUUGAUCUAGAACUCAAAGUUAAACACAAAACUAAUCUCCUUUCUUUUUGGAAAUUAGUUUUGCCCUAUUCACCCCACAAGUUCAUAUAAUUCACGAAAAUGUCAUCAAUUUUUUUUUUUUUCGAAAAUGACAUUUUUACUCUCUCACCCUCGUCAUCUUCAAGUAAUUACAAAAUUGUCAUUGUCAUCAAUACCCCAACCACCAUGAACAACCAAUUUGAAGCUCUUAAUACUCCCAAAAUCGAUUUACCCUUCUUCUUUUUCCAUUCUUAUGAACUAAACACAACAUCUCUCUUACUUUCUCUCCACAUUCAGCUAAAAAACCCAAGAUUUUGAUUCUACAUUUUUUAUGGUUCAUAGAGUCAUAGAAGCUAACGAUUAUGGGUGGAUCACUUUCGUUUGAGAUUAUGUGUGCUUGGAGAAGCCUUAUGUGUGCUAAGGAAGUUAUCUCACCAAUUUAAGGUAUGAAAUCGAGUUUUUUUUCCAGAUCUGUUCGUCCAGACGACUUCCCAGGUAAGUCGUCUGGCUGUAGAAAGACGACUUACCUGGAAGUCGUCUGGUCAAUGCAGAGGUUAUUUUUGCAAUUGACUAUGAAAUAUGUUUUCUGAGACGACUGAAAGUUAAGUCGUCUGCUUUUGUUUGGUUACAAAAAAAUCUCCAAAGAACCUAGGCAACUUACAUGUAAAUCGUCAUAGGUUAGUUUUGCAUUUGACUGGAUUUUGUCGGAAUUUUGACUUUCCUGGACGACUUAUUUUUCAGUCGUCUGGUAGAAAAUUGAAAUAUCAAUAUUUUAUUAAAAUUCGACGACUUACAUGUAAGUCGUCGUAGGUUAGUUUUGCCAUUGAAAAAUAAACUUCAAUAGUUAAUUAUACCCAGACAACUUACAAUUAAGUCGUCCGCCCGACGACUUACAUGUAAGUCGUCCAUAAUUUUAUUCCGAGAUUCUGGUCAAACCUCGUAAAUCCUGGACGACUUACAUGUAAGUCGUCGGACGGACGACUGAAUUGUAAGUCGUCUAUAUAUAAUUAAAUAUUGAAGUUUUUUUUCAAUUGCAAAACUAACCUAUGAUGACUUAAUUGUAAGUCGUCGAGUUUUAAUAAAAUAUUGAUAUUUCAAUUUUUCACCAGAUGACUGAAAUGUAAGUCGUCCAGAAAAGUCAAACUUUUGAAAUAAUUCAGUCAAAUGCAAAACUAAGCUAUGACGACUGAAAUGUAAGUCGUCUAGCCUUUUUGGAGUUUUUUUUUAACCAAACAAAAGUAGACGGCUUAUUUUUCAGUCGUCUCAGAUAACAGAUUUCAAAGUCAAUUGCAAAAAUAACCUCUGCGUUGACCAGACGACUUAUAUUUUAGUCGUCUGGAAGACUCAGAUUGAAGUGAUCUGCGUCGAUCUUUAAUAAACUUUCGUUUUCUUUGUUCUAUGUUUGCUAAUGUGUUUUAUUUUGACUUUUUCAGAUGAUGUGUCAGUUACAUGCAAUGUACGAAGAAUGGUUGUUGAAAGAUGGAUGUUGGAAUAUACAAGUCAACGAAAACUCUCUUUAUGGCAACAUGUCGUGUUAGUGGUUGUCAAUGGAAGAUCAGGGCAAGUGUGAAACAUGGUACUAAAACGUUUUGGGUAACUAAGUUUUACUAAAUUUGACUAAGUUUUUCAACACAAACUUGUAAAAAAUGUGAUAUGAUUUGACUAGUUACUAUUGUUUGUUUCCAUCUCUUAAGUAUUAUUGUUAUAGACAUCAAUGAUGAUUAUUGUUAUGAGUUGGAAGAAGGGUAAAAAUGCUUCUUAAAAUGUUAUAUCAAUAUGAGGCUACCAACAUUCUUGUUUACUAAGAUGGGAAGAAGGUCGUUGAAGUUUAUUAUUGCAUAUGGGAGAUCCAAAGAUAAGAAAAAAGCUAUUGAAGUAUAUUAUUUUAUUGAUUUGUAAAUGUGUAAACACAUAGUUAGCACAUAUAUUACAUCUUGGGAAACAUUAUACUAAUUUUACAAAAAAUUUACAAAUAAAAGAGUAGACAUACAAAUCACAAAACAAACCACAAACAAAACUAUUAUAGAUCUUUCAUCUACAAAGACAAGGUUGAACUCCACUUGAUAUGAAAGAAGACUUCCUGGAAGUCGUCUGGAAGACUUCCUGAAAGUCGUAUGGAAGACUUCUUGAAAGUCGUCUAGCGCAUUGUAUUUUAGACGACUAACAGGUAAGUAGUCCCAGAAGUCUUCUAGAUCUGAAAAACCUGUAUAUCUGAAAAACCUUCAUAUCAAAAAUCGUUCAAAUGGCUUAAAAACAGAGAAAUGAGUGAAAGAUUAGAUAAAUCUACCUUUAAAUGAGUGGAAGAUGAGAGCCAUCUGAUUAAAAACCUCCAAAAAAGAUAGAUUAGUGAGAAAGGCAUGAGACAAAACUGAAAAAUUCAUAUAAAGUUUGGUGUUUUCAAGUCAAAGAGAUUAGAGUGGGUUUGAAGAGUUUUAGUUUGAAAAAAAAAGUAAGAACUUUAUACAAUAUAAAGUUACCAAAUGAAGAAAAAACAGACAUAAAAACUUACCAAAACGGUCAGAUCUGUUAUGAAAUGGAGAGACAUGGGAGAAGACUCCGUCAGAUGACUUUCAGGAAGUCCAGACGACCUCCUGGAAGUCGCCUGGAAGACUUCCUGGAAGUCGUCUAGCGCAUUCUAUUUUAGACGACUAACACGUAAGUUGUACCAUACGUCUUCCACAUCUGAAAAACCUGCAUAUCCAAAUCCAGAUCUGAAAAAUCUGCAUAUCCAAAAACGUUCAAAUGGCUUAAAACAGAGAAAAUUAGUGGAAGAUUAGAUAAAUCUACCAUUAUAAAACACACAAAAAUACAUAUCUAAAAUUGAUAGAUUUACCUUUAAAUGAGUGGAAGAUGAGAACCAUCUGAUUAAAAACAUGCAAAAACAAGAUAAAUUAGUGAAAAAGACAUGAGACAAAAACAAUAAAUUGAUAUAAAGCUUAGUGUUUAUAAGUUCAAAGAGAUUAGAGAGAGGUUGAAGAGUUUUAAAAUGAUGAACAUUACAUUUUUGUUGCAGCCAUUUGAGAGAAUGAAAGAGAAUGUGUAAUUUUUUCUUUAUAUAGGGAGACAAGAAAUCCAAUUAGGUUAAAUAUUUUUGAUUCAGACGACUUCCUAUUCAGGCGACUUCCUAGACGACUUACUUGUAAGUCACCCAGAAGACUUUAAUAUUUUUAGCUGGAAACUAAAAUAGAAGACUUCCUAGACGACUUACAAGUAAGUCAUUUGGUUUAAAUUAUUUAAGCGGGAAAAUAUUUUUUCUUAAAAUUUUAGGCGGGAAUAUUUGGACGACUGAAAUAUAAGUCGUCUGAGUAAAAUUAUUCACCAGAAGACUGAAAUAUAAGUCGUCCACAUCCUAAACAUAACCCCUAAACUUAAUUAUCUAAUUAAACACUUCAUAAAAUCAAAUCAAACUUGAAAAGUGGUUACUAUACACAGAAAUAAAUAAAUAUAGGUGGAAAUUAAUUUUUGAAAAAAGCAUUUCAGCUUUUCCAAAUCUAACCCUGAGAAUACAUACAAUACUACAACAUAUGUUUGCCAAACCCCUAAACUAAAGAAUAUCAUGAUUCACUAUUUCCACUCAUCUAUCUUGAAAACAAAUCAAUUUUAUCAUAUCUUAAUUUAUAUCACUUAAAACUGUUUAUAAUUACAAGAUUUUUAUUUUUCACUCAUCAAAAUAUUUUUUACAAAAUUUAUAAACUAUUUUUAAGAUAAACUGGUACCAGACGACUUACUUGUAAGUCGUCCAGACUACUUCCAACAUCUCAGACGACUCAGACGACUUACUGAGGCUAUAUUCGUAAAAAUGGCUUCUGUUUUUUUGUUUGGUCACAAGAGGCUGAAUUGUAAUUUCACAAGGCUUUUAUGUUAGUUUUGCAUUUGAUUCAAGUUUGGGUAUAGAUUUGGGGUUAAAAUCAAGUUAUGGGUUAGUUUUGGCAAAUUCCCCAAAAAAUAAUGGGCUUAUGCUAUUAAGAAAAAUUGGAAGUCCAUUAUAUUAUGAAAAAUUAUCUAUUUAGGCCAACUUUAAAAUAUACGAAAAUAGUCCAAUCUAAUCUAUAAUAUUAUUUGCGAAGUAAAUUUUAACAACGGAGCUCUCACGUUGAAAGUUAGAACGGUUAAUAUCUAUACUACCCUUAAUGAAUUUUAUAUAUAAUUUAUUAUAUAAUCAAAAACGAAUUUUUAUUAAUAAUAUUUUUUAAAGAUAAUUCCUAUGUAUUUUGUUGUUAUCUUAAAAUAUAUUUUCAAUUAUAAAAUUUAAAAGUAGGAUAUAAAACAAUUUAAAAUAAAUUAAGUGGUUAAAUUCAAUGUUACCCUUAAUGAAUUUUAUAUAUAAUUAAUUACAUAAUUAAAAACGAAAUUUUAUUUAUAAUAUUAGAUUUUUUUUUAAAUAAGAUAAUUCUUAUAAAUUGUGUUGUUAUCUUAAUUUUUUUUUCAAUUAUAAAAGUUAGGAAAAUAACAUAUAAACAAUUCAAAAUUAAAUAUUAAUCAACUAAAUUUGUAUAAAGAUGUUUUUUGAAAAUAUUUCUAAUAUGUGAAUGUUUUCUUUUAAAAUUUUUUCACAAUAAUAAACAUAUAUAUUUUAAUUAAAUUUUUCGUCAUAUAUAUAUAUAUAUAUAAUUUUAUGUUUGAUUUAUUUUUUUGAAAAUAUAAAUAAUAAGUUAUCAUGUUGAUUUUUUAAUUAAUAAAAAAUAAAUUAAUAAAUAUUUUUAAAAUGAUUAAGUCCGCAUGUGCGGGCAAAACACCUAGUUACCUUAAAAUAUCUUUUGUUUAAAAUAAUCAUAAAACAAAAUUUUAAACUUUAUAUACAUAUUUCAAAUCAAAAUAAUAAUUUAAAAUUGAUUUAUAUCAAAAAUUGAUUCAAAAAUAUACAUAUGUUUAAAAAAUAAAUUUUACUAAAAUAUUUUCCAAUAACCAUUAUUAAAAAAAAUGUUUCAAUAUAUAUAAGAAAAAUACAAUACAAAACCCAAUUUUAAAUACCAACUUAAAUUAUGGUUUUUAUAUUUGACAUUAAGUUUUAAAAAUAUAAUAUAUAUGAUUAUUUAUAUGAUGAUAGGUAUAAAAUACUAUUAAAUUAUAUGAUUACUUAUAUAAUGAUACGUAUAAAAUACGAUUAUAUGAUGACACAUAUAUGAUACAUUAUAGUGACGUAUAAAAUAACAACAUAUUUUUCAAAAAAAUACAUUAGUGCGUGCGCACAUAUUAAAAUCUAUUAUAUUUUACAAUUGGGCUUGUGUAAAAUCAAAGAAAACAUAAGAUUCUAAAACAUGUUUGGACAUCAGGGCCCGUAACAAAAUAGUGAUGUACUACUUAAAUCUCAAAAACGAAGACCGAAAGCAUAUAGGGUUUUGUCCUCACCGCAAUAGACCACCUAACUUUGCAAUAUUUGAUAUGUUUAGUCGAUCCUUUUGAAUCAAUCACCACAAGUUAUUUAGGGCCCAUAACAAAAUAGUGAUGUAUUAGAUCUCAAAAACGAAGACUGAAAGCAUAUAGGGUUUUCUUGUAGUGCUCGUCUUCGAUGUUGUGUAUGUGUGUCAUGCGAGUUGUCGUGUGGAGUUGGGGCUCUUGCUUCGCCGGAUUUUGGUAGGUUAUUCUCUUUGCUUUCUUUGUGGUGUUGCUGAUGUGUUCUCUGGUGGUUGCAGCGUGUGGGGCUUCUUGGUGGCGGAGGCGUCGGUCCGCCUCUCCGUGUUCCCCGGUGGUAGCGGGUUGGUGCUUGAGCUACUCCGGUUCGCUAUUGCUCCGUCUUUUGCUCUGGUCAUUGCUCUGCACUUCUCGGAUCGAAUAGUGGUCGGUGAUAGUGGCAUGUUGCGUUCCUCACUCUUCUCAAAUAAUCUCAGCAGCUUUGUGUUCUUAGCUUGUGGUCAGUUACGGUUCAAGUGGGUCACUUGGUGCGUUAGUUGGACAACAAGUUUCAGAUUUUGGCUAUAGUUUUGUCUCUUCAUGAGGAUUUUCCGUCUAUGAUAUGUCAUCUUUAUAAGGGUUAUGUGUGAAGAUGAAGCAAUAAGAAACAAGAUGGUUGGUUAAGGUCUCAAGACAAUGGAGAUACCACUACAAGGGACAAGCAUGCAUGGUUGGUUAAGGUCUCAAGACAAUGGAGAUGCCACUACAAGGGACAAGCAUGCAUGGUGGGUUAAGGUCUCAAGACAAUGGAGAUGCCACUACAAGGGACAAGCAUGUAUGGUGGAUUAAAGUCUCAAGACAAUGGAUUAUUAGUUUAUCAUAUCUCAUCUACCAUUUGCCAUACUUGUAACCCUUAUAUAUAUGGGAUGUUCCCAUAAGCAAAUCAAUUAAGCAAAUAAGAUUCUCCUUAUUUACUCUAUCUCUCUCUACUUUCUAGAUUAAACAUCUCUCUCUCUCUUGUUCUUCACUAUGUUCUUCAAUUUCUAACAUGGUAUCAGAGCAUCCAAGCUCUUGAACACCAAACUGCUUCCGCAAAUUUACUCUAUUCACCUUACUCUUUCACUUGUUUGGUUUACUUUCUUCAUUUCUAGAGAACAUAUCUUGGCUUCCCUUGUUUUCUCUCUUGCCUAGCCUCAGAAAUUCAAAUUUCUCCUUGGCAAAUUUUUUAUUUUUUACCCGCUAGACAAUAGCAAGCAAAGAUGGAGCAGCACAAGCUAGUUAGGAUUCCAGUCAUCCUGAAAGGUCCUAACUACAUUACCUGGUCGAGAUUGACCAGGACAGCUCUUGGAGGAAGAGGUCUAUGGGAGCACAUCACCACAAGUGAGGCCCCAAGACAAAUCACCCAAGGAGAAGAUGGCAAGGAGGUUGUAGUGGUAGAUGAAGGCAAAUGGGGUCAGGAGGAUCUCAUGGUGCUGUCUAUCUUGCAAGGCUCACUUGAUACUCCUAUCAUGGAGUCUUACUCACAUUGUGAGACUGCAAAGAAGCUAUGGGAUACCUUACACAAGGUAUAUGGCAACACUUCAAACCUCACCAGAAUUUUUGAGGUUAAGAGGGCAAUCAACAACUUACAGCAAGAGGAGAUGGACUUCACCAAGCACCUUGGGAAGUACAGCCAGCUGUGGUCUGAACUUGAGAUGCUGAGACCAAGUACCACUGAUCCUAGUACACUAGAAGAGAGGCGUGAGCAAGACAAGGUCUUUGGAUUGCUUCUCACACUCAACCCAAGCUUCAAUGAUGUACUUAAACACAUAUUGAGAGCUAAAGAGCUUCCAAGCUAUGAUGAUGUGUGUGCUCAACUUCGGAAGGAGCUAGGCUCAGAUGGUCUCUUUGGUGGAAAAGGGGAACUGUCUAUGGCAAACAAAGCUGAGAAGAUGGAGAGUGCUUCAGUCAACAAAGCACACUUCAAACCAAGAAGAGGAGGAGACAAGUCUGUGACUUGUGAGCACUGCAAGAAUCUAGGCCACUCCAAAACCAAUUGUUGGAUCCUCCAUCCUCACCUCAGACCUGCUUCAACCAACAGAUACAACCAGGCCAAAGCACAUGAAGCAAGAGCUCAUGAAACCACAGUACCAGGCUCCAUGCGCAUAGGAGAAGAUGGAAGAGCUAUGAUCUCAACCACCCACACUGGUGGAUCCACAUCCCAUGCCAUGUCCCAGCCAUCCCCUGAUGAUGCCUUCAUCCGCAAGUCAGACAUUGAAGCCCUUAUCAAAGCUAUCAAUGCAAACUCUGGUAACAUCAGUGUCAAUGCUUUAAAUUCUAUUCACAGUGCUUCACAUACUACUAGACCUUUGAUCAUCGAUUCGGGAGCUUCUCAUCAUAUGAUUAGGGAUGCUAGACUGAUUAGUGAUGUUAAACCUGCUCUAGGGAGUGUAGUGAUUGCUAAUGGUGAUAGAAUUCCAAUUGAAGGAGUAGGAAACUUGAAACUGUUUGAUAAGGAGUCUCAAGCUUUUUAUAUGCCUACUUUCACAUCCAACUUAUUAUCUGUUAAGAGAGCAACCAAUGAUCUAAAUUGCAAUGUUAUUUUCAGUCCUAAUGAUGUGUGCUUUCAGGAUAUUAAGACCAGGAAGAUGCUGGGAAAGGGUGUGAGCAAGGGAGAGCUUUACUUGCUUGAAAACACCAAGCUUUCAAAUUUAUCUUGUGCUUUCAAUUCUGCUUCUGUGUUAGCUAGUGAUGUUUUAUGGCAUGCUAGAUUAGGUCAUCCUCAUUAUCGUGCCUUAGGACUGAUGUUACCUAAUCUAUCUUUAAAGAGUGGAAGUUGUGAGGCUUGUAUUCUUGGUAAACAUCAGAGAUCUGUUUUCCCUAAUUCUAAGACUAUUUAUGAAAAUUGCUUUGAUCUUGUGCACUCUGAUGUUUGGACAGCACCUUGUAUGUCUAGGGAGAACCAUAAAUAUUUUGUUACAUUCAUAGAUGAAAAAUCAAAAUAUACAUGGCUCACCUUGAUUCAAACUAAAGAUAGAGUUUUAGAAGCUUUUAUUAACUUCCAAAACUAUGUAUCUAACCAUUUCAAUUCCAAGAUCAAAAUUUUUAGGUCUGAUAAUGGCGGAGAAUAUACAAGCACUGCUUUCAAACAUCACUUAGCAAAACAUGGCAUAAUCCAUCAAACAAGUUGCCCAUACACACCACAACAAAAUGGAGUUGCUGAAAGGAAGAAUCGCCAUCUUAUGGAGGUUGCAAGGAGCAUGAUGUUCCAUACCAAUGUUCCAAAGAGGUUCUGGGGAGAUGCUGUGGUCUCAGCAUGUUAUUUGAUCAACAGGAUCCCCACCAAAGUCCUCCAAGAUAACUCUCCCUUUCAGGUAUUAAACAAAAUAAAACCUCCAAUUGAUCACUUGCGUGUUUUUGGGUGUGUGUGCUAUGUCUUGAUACCAGGGGAACAGAGAAACAAGCUUGAAGCCAAGAGUGUCAAAGGCAUGUUCAUAGGAUAUACUCAUGCGCAGAAGGGGUACAAGUGCUACAUACCUGAAUCAAGAAGAGUUAUGGUCUCAAGGGAUGUUAAGUUUGUGGAAUCAAAGGGAUACUAUGAUGAGAAGAGUUGGGAAAGCCUUCAGGAUCUCUCACAAGGAUCUUCAGAUAGGGCAAACAACUUGAGAAUCAUUCUGGAAAACCUAGGCAUCAGCCAGCCUCAAACAAGUGGCGUACCGAGCACUUCACAUAUACCUCCAGUUGUGGAUGAAGCUACAUCAAUUGAAGAAGCAGUCCAUCCUGAUCAUGAGGGGGGAAACCAACCUAAUUUGCAAGUUAUCCAUGAGGAAGCUAUCCCUGAAGAAGAUAUCCAUGACGAAGCUAUCCACGAGGAAGCUAUCCAAGAAGAAGCUAUCCAAGAAGAAGUUGUUAAUGAUCAAGAUGGAAUGCAACAAGAAGUUCAACCAUUAAGGAGGAGUACAAGGGUGAAGAAACCAUCUCAGUGGAUGGACACCAAAGUAUACUUCAACAACAAUGCAGUAGCUCAUCCUAUCCAAGCAACAUGUUCUUUUGCGAGACUAUCUGAAGAGCAUGUAGUCUUCAUCAGCAACCUAGAUCAAGAGUAUGUACCAAAGACUUAUGAAGAAGCCAUGAAGCAUGAAGAGUGGAGAGCGUCAGUUGGGGAUGAAGUUGGUGCCAUGAUCAAGAAUGAUACUUGGUAUGAAACUGAGCUCCCCAAAGGAAAGAAAGCUGUUACAAGCCGUCUACUCUUCACCAUCAAGUACCUUGCCAAUGGGAAACCAGAAAGAAAGAAAACAAGGCUAGUUGCAAGAGGAUACACCCAAGUCUAUGGAGAAGACUAUCUGGAUACAUUUGCACCAGUAGCUAAACUCCACACCAUAAGAAUUCUACUCUCAUUGGCAGUGAACUUGGAAUGGGAUUUAUGGCAGAUGGAUGUCAAAAAUGCUUUUCUUCAAGGAGAGCUGGAGGAUGAGGUUUACAUGAGGCCACCUCCGGGUAUGGAAGACAUGGUCAAGCCAGGGAAUGUCCUAAGGUUGAAGAAAGCAAUAUAUGGGUUAAAACAGUCACCAAGGGCUUGGUACCACAAACUGAGUACAACUCUCAAUGGAAGAGGGUUUGUAAAGUCAGAAGCUGAUCAUACACUCUUCACACUCACAAGCAAGCAAGGAAUUGUGGUGAUUCUUAUUUAUGUAGAUGAUAUUAUCAUCACAGGAAGUGACAAGGAAGGUAUUAUCUCAACCAAAGUCUUUCUUAAGUCUACUUUUGAUAUUAAAGAUUUGGGUGAGCUAAAGUACUUUCUAGGGAUAGAAAUAUGCCGCUCUAAAGAGGGGCUUUUCUUAUCUCAAAGGAAGUACACACUUGAUCUUUUGAAUGAGGCAGGAAAUCUUGGAGCGAAAGUAGCCAAGACUCCACUAGAAGAUGGGUAUAAGGUGCUGCGUGAGGGGGAGAUUGAAGACAAGCCCUAUACUGACGUUAAACACUAUAGAAGAAUUGUAGGAAAGCUGAUAUACCUCACCAUCACCAGGCCUGAUGUAUGCUUUGCAGUUAACCAAGUAAGCCAGAAUAUGCAAGCUCCCAAGAUACACCAUUGGAACAUGGUUGAAAGGAUCCUAAGAUACCUAAGAGAGGCGCCAGGGCAAGGAGUGUGGAUGGGAUGCAACAAAAAUACAGAGAUAGUUGGGUAUUGUGAUGCUGAUUGGGCAGGAGACAGAGUGGAUAGGAGAUCCACUACCGGCUAUUGUACAUUUAUUGGAGGCAAUCUUGUCACUUGGAAGAGCAAGAAACAGAAGAUAGUGUCAUGCUCAAGUGCUGAAGCUGAAUAUAGGGCAAUGAGGAAGCUCACUAGUGAGUUGAUUUGGAUCAGAAACCUACUUCGAGACUUGGGUAUAGAGACAUCAACUCCAAUCACCAUGCAUUGUGAUAAUCAAGCAGCAAUACACAUAGCUUCCAACAGUGUGUUCCAUGAGAGGACUAAACACAUUGAGGUGGAUUGUCAUAAAGUUAGGCAAGCAGUGGAACAAAGGAUCAUCUUACCCUGCUACACAAGAAGUGAGGAUCAACUAGCUGACAUCUUUACCAAGGCUGCAAGCACCAAGGUUUGCGAGUUCAUACAUUCCAAGUUAGGACUCGUAGAUUUUUCAUCACACUAAUCCUCUUAGCCAUGAAGUGUUCUACUCUUUUUCCUUGGCUUGGUUUUUAUCCCAUGAGGUUUUUCCAAGCUAAAGGUUUUAAUGAGGGAAUGCUUCAUGGUUUCCAAGUUUGACCAGUCCCUAUGGUCAAGCUUGGGGGGGAGUGUGAAGAUGAAGCAAUAAGAAACAAGAUGGUUGGUUAAGGUCUCAAGACAAUGGAGAUACCACUACAAGGGACAAGCAUGCAUGGUUGGUUAAGGUCUCAAGACAAUGGAGAUGCCACUACAAGGGACAAGCAUGCAUGGUGGGUUAAGGUCUCAAGACAAUGGAGAUGCCACUACAAGGGACAAGCAUGUAUGGUGGAUUAAAGUCUCAAGACAAUGGAUUAUUAGUUUAUCAUAUCUCAUCUACCAUUUGUCAUACUUGUAACCCUUAUAUAUAUGGGAUGUUCCCAUAAGCAAAUCAAUUAAGCAAAUAAGAUUCUCCUUAUUUACUCUAUCUCUCUACUUUCUAGAUUAAACAUCUCUCUCUCUUGUUCUUCACUAUGUUCUUCAAUUUCUAACAUUAUGGUUAGAUGGAUGUAUACGGUCGUGUGUUGGUUUCCCGCAUUGACCCCUAAACACUAGGUGGACUAUAGAUGAGGUAAUUUCCGGCUUAAACGGCUGAACAACGACUUUAUAGGCUUACAGCUUUUCCUUGUACCGCUGGUGAGUUCAUUUAUCUCGCGCGCCUGCUUUGGGCUAGUGCUUGAAUUCUUCAUUUGGGAGCGUUUUGUGUAGCUGUUGGAAGCUAUAGGAACCAUAGUAUUCAAGGUUAAAGGGUCUUUUUCCGAGUUUAUUCAUCUAGUUUCCGAGUUGGUAGGUCUGAGCCCGUCUCAUUAUCAAUCAUGUUAUCAUUGCGCUUUUUUGCUUUGGUCUAUUACUUUGUUGUUGUUUGUAGCAUUUUUUUUGUUUAACUGUCCGUAGUUGUUCUUGUAUUUUGUUAUUUUUUUUAUUUCUGCGACUGGUUCAAAUUUGUAUCGUCUGUCAAAACUCAAAAAUGUGGUAUAAUAGUUAACAUCUUACGGAAAAAAAAAGGAAUUUACAAAAGGUCACGUGAUGUACCAUGCAUGGAUCAAUGGAUGUAUACACGCACACGUGCCUAACACAACAACAACAGUUAGACGAGGCCAGACCCCAAGUGGUGUUCAUCGAGACGUGUGUAGUAGUGAACCUGUCCGGUUCUUUCCCGUCUAUAAAAGAUUCUUCCCGCGUUCGUGUAACUGGUCAUUGGUCAAACGUUACUGAUUUUACCCACUGAAAUUCAAAAUCAAUGUGUGACUUACAGUUGACUUUUUAUUUCAGCUAAAUGUUUUCAAAAAGAGUAGAGCUUGGCUGAGAUUUUCUUCCAACAAUCCACAUAAUUUUUAUUUAUUUUUCUUUCUUAUCGGUUACGCCUUUGUUGGAGUCAAAACCGGUCACGACGGAAUCAAUGCCUGAAAGUUCCCGGAAAACCAACUCUCGAUCGAUCCUUGAAAACUAGACAUUCCCAGAAAACGGUUAAUCAAGUACAAGACAGUUUUUCGCGGAUGCGAACCGAGGAAUGUCGAGAAGAGGAUCAGUCUGGAUGAGGUCUCGAUCGUAAGCGAGGACCGUCUCAACCGAGGUCACCUCGUUUAACUAUACGGGGAAUUGGAAUCCUUUCGGAAAAACCAACGGCUGUUUCUUAGGAAAAAUCGUAAAAACGUCUAAGUCCCAAAACGGCCCAAAAGGGGCCUGAACCGCGCUAAACGGCCCACUUACGAUUUUAGAACAUGAUCGAGCCUAAGGCUGAUAUGACGGUCUAUUUUUUAUUCACAAGAAAAGAUAAAUGUCAAGUUUCCGAAGAUAAUCAUGAAGGGUGACGAAAAAUGGAAAAGUCCGUCUCGCGACGAAUCCGGCCCAGGAAAAGGUACAGACCGACCUAGAGAGAGUAUAUAAGGAGGGCUUAAGGCGAGGAGCAAGAGAGAGCUUUCUCAGAGCAAACUUAAUAUUUAGAGCAAUUUAGGCAUUUUUUUCCGUUUUUACUAUCGAGCUGCGACUCGACUAGGUUAGAACUUAGGUGGCUAGCCUAGCGAACGCACCGACAGCUCUCGUGGCCUAGGAUCUUACCUGUUGUUCACGCUCAAACGCGAAUUCGGAAAUAAGACAUCUUUGUUCUCUUUUCGCUCUUUUACGAUUUAUUAGUUUCGACUCUUUCAUAUUGAUUGUGUUGUGUGUGACAAACAGAUAAUCGGGACCUUUAGAGAAGGCUAGGUUAACUUGGAUUUCCUCCGAUUAACAAAUCUCGACGGUGUAAAUUCCGGUUCCCACAGCCUUCAAACCUAUUUACCCGUAAAAAGUAUAUAUACAUAUCUCAACAUUGAAUGUCAGUGUUAAAAAAAAACAUUCAAAACACGUGUAUCUAUGUUUAUAUAAUGGUCUAGUAUGCUUAGAUAUAAAAGAAAAAGUUUUGACUACACUGAUUCAUUGUGUUUAUGUGGUAAAGUAAAAAGGUUUGACUUAGUGUAGUCGAUCUCCAGAAAAAGCAAGUAGAAGAAUCUUACCUUCUUAUCUGUUUAUAUAAAUGCAACGUAUUGCACAGGUGGAUCUAACUCUCGGUUUUCUUCUUGAAGAAACUAGUAAAAACCGAAUUAUUAGUUUCUUUUCUUUUCCCAUGGAAUCAUUGUAACCUAGUGAUUAAGAUUUAAAAGCUUUUAUAUCCAGGUUUGGGAUUCAAAUCCAGACUAUACAAUUUUUUUGCAGAUUACGGAAAAUUCAGGUUUCAAGUCUCGUAAAGAACGAUUUAUUAAACAAUUAUACACUUACAAAAGAUCUCCAACAUGGUGCAAGUAAAUCUGGUCAGACGUGAAUCUUAAUAGGACGAUUCAGGUGAUGCAGUUAGGCGUAGAUCUUCAUAAUACAGAUAGUGUUAUCAGUUGUCGAAUCGUAUAUGUAAUAUUUUUCAUAUCAUAAUUGUAAUAUCAUAAUAAAUCAACGUUAAAAAGAAUCAAUGAAAAAAAAAUCAAUUAUAGAAAGUAACAAUUGCCAUAGCAAUGACUUAUGAUGUACAAAUCAUAGCCAUCGAUUACUGUUAAGCUACACUUUAGCCUUAUUUUAUUUUUAUUAAUUGGAAAAACAGAUAUACAACAUCAACCACACAAAAUGAAUAUGGAAUAAGUUUUAAAAUUUUCUCUUACAUUGAAAUGAUAAUUGAACGUGUAUAUAUUGGAAUGGAAAACAUUAAAUUUAAAAUGUGGAUAUAAAGACGGUCAAGUUAUUUUUAUGUUUGACUAGUAAUGUAAUUUAACGCACAAACACAUAAUACAUACUACAUCUGUAGAAUAAAGCUGCAGGUUAUAUAAAUUGACCUUAGGAGUAAUCAUUUACACGAAGUCUCUCUGAUUAUUAUUUUUUUUCGUUUUCUCGAUUUCGUCUCUAUCCUUCUCCUUUCUCUCUAUCGGGAACAAGAGAGGCUGAGAAAAAAUCGUGAGAUAUGGUUGAGACGAGACGUAGCUCUUCCGCUUCCAAGCGUUUCUGUUCUUCUUCUUCAUCCCCUGAACCGUCGUCGUCGUCUCCACGCCCCACCAAGCGAUCUAAAGUCAAGAUCGACGCUGCUAUUGAAUCUGUACGUAGCUCUUGUUCCGAAUCUGAGUUUUUUUUUUGUUUUUAAUUUCGAAUCUGAUGUUUUGAUAACCUAGGCGGCGGCGGCGGAACCGGCGGGGUCUUCGUCGGCGAGCGAGGUUCCGAUUGAGAAUCAAGGACCCGUUUCGGAUCCUGGAUCGGAAUCUGGAGAGCCGGAGCUUGGAUCCUCUGAUCCGCAAGGUGUGGAUGCGGAGAAGCCUGUUUUAACUGAUGUGCCUGUGAUGGAGAUCUCUCCUGAAGCCGACGCUAACCCUGAAGCUGAUGUCUUGGCGACACCUACAGUAGCAGGUUUGAUGUUCUGUCUCAUGCUUUUGUCUAUUUCUUUUUUUUUUCAAGAAAGAAUUAUCCUUUCUAAUGUUUUUUUUUUUUUUUUUUCUAAUGUCUUGAUUGUGGUUUUAGGUGAAGUGGUGGUUUGGACUCUUUUAAUACUUUUUUUUUCUCUUGACUACGUUACUUUUGUUUCUAACUGUCCCAAUGCUUGUUUCUCUGUGAUUUCAGAACCCACACCGUAUCAUGAGGGGCCCUGUAUUCACUGUUGGACGCCGGGGAUGUGAUUUAUCUAUCAAAGACCAAUCUAUGCCCAGCACCCUGUGUGAGCUGAAGCAGUCUGAUGUAAGUACAUCUUAGUUGCCCCCUUUUUUUUUUAUCUCAGUCUCUUAAAAGGACAAAAGCUUCUUUUUUUUCUUACAAUAAUGAUUAUGCAGUACGGAGGUCCAUCUGUUGCAACAUUGGAGAUAACAGGGAACGGAGUUCUCGUUCAGGUGAAUGGCAAGUGUUACCAGAAAAGUACUUGUGUUCAUCUUCGUGGUGGUGACGAGGUCAUCUUCACCAAUUUUGGGAGACAUGCUUACGUAUCCUUUAUGAAGUUGUGUGAAAAUUUAUUAUAUUCGCUUUUAUGCUAUCUAUAAUGUUCUUGUCAUUUAUCAUUAGUCGGAAGACAUUCCAAACUCUUCCAAACUCGGGUCAGGUAGCCAAACUCGGGUCAGGUAGUGUGGUAACAGUCCAAAGCCGACUGAAUCAGCCGAUAGGGCAUAUAAAAAAAUUCAAUGGUUUCUCGGUAACUUUUCUUUAACGGAUUUCUAGAUAUUUCAACCUCUUAAAGAUGAAAAUCUAGCUGCUGCUCCUGAUAGAGCUUCUUCAGUGACUGUAUGUGAAGCUAGAGGUGCACCUCUGAAAGGAGUCCACGUUGAGACAAGAGCAGGAGACUCCUCAGCUACUGAUGGAGCCUCUAUAUUAGCAUCUCUGUCAAAGUACCGCAACUUCCAUCUCCUACCACCAAUUGCCAAAUCUGCUAAAAAGCAGCAGAAUCAGGAGGCUCCUGUGGUACCUUCCAGCUGCAACGAUUGCGUCUCAGAUACCGAGAUGAACGAUGCUGAUAGUAACAAUGAUCAUGCUGAUAUUGCUUCUGUGGAGAAAACUGCUGAUGCCAACGAGAAUCUGAAUGCCGAUGGGAGUGGAUUGGAUCCUUUUCAAGAAGCUGCUGAUGGAAAUGCUCCUGGUUCUGGUUAUGAGAUUAGACCAAUCUUGCGCCUCCUCGGGGAACCUUCUUCAGUUGAUAUAAGGGGCAUCUCCAAACUGCUGGAUGAGAGAAGAGAAGUGCGAGAACUCCUUAAGGAAUAUGAUCUUUCAUCUACCAUAUCAACUAGACGCCAGGCGUUUAAGGAUAGCCUGCGAGAAGGAGUACUCAAUGGUCAAGAUAUAGAUGUUUCUUUGGAGGACUUCCCAUAUUUUCUUAGGUCUUGCUGCUAUAUACAUUAUGUUAUAUCUCUACCAUAUAUUUUUUCCUAUGAUGGUUUUGAUGAUUUAUAGCCUAAACAAUUUGUGAAUUUUUCCUCAGUGCUACGACAAAGGAUGUUUUGAUAGCGUCGAUGUAUGUCCAUAUGGAGGUUGGAAGUAAGUUUGCAAAGUAUGCAUCAGACUUGUCUACUACAUGUCCACGUAUCUUGCUCUCUGGACCAGCAGGUAAUGAGGCUUUACUAUUAGUACUUGGUUUGAGAUGACUAUUAUUCUAACAACGUUUUACCUUAUGAAUUGUAUUUAGGAUCUGAGAUAUAUCAGGAAAUGUUGGCAAAAGCGCUUGCAAAAAGGUUUGGGGCCAAAUUGAUGAUCGUUGACUCUCUUUUGUUGCCCGGGGUAAUAUUCCCUUUUUCCCUUUACUUUCUCUUUAACGUUGUUUUAGUUGUUAAAAUAUUUCAUGUCAAGUUGGUUAUUAUUGGAUAGAAGAUUUUUGAUCCAAAAGCUACACUUUUAAAUAAAAAACCAAAAAAAAAAACAGAAUUUAAUACAUCAAUUUUCUAGAUUAGAUAAUUUUUAAUAUUAAUUAUAAUUUAUAUCUAUUUUAAGAUUUUUAAAUGUUUUUUUAAAAAAUUAACUUUAAAAUUAAAAUUUGUUGGAUGCAUAUUAGUCCGCGGUCUUCAUCUAGUUAUUAAAAUAUUUCAUGUCAAGUUUGUCUUAAGCGGUAUUACUGACUUUUCUUCCCAAAUAGCUUAAGAUGUUAUAUCUGUCAGUGUUUAUCCGUCAUUGAUUUGUGCUGUUUCUGGAUGGCUAUAGGGAUCACCCGCAAAGGAAGCCGAAUCUUCUAAAGACGGUUCUAGGCGUGAGAGGCUCUCUAUGCUUGCUAAACGAGCUGUUCAGGCCGCACAAGCAUUGCAGCAUAAGAAACCAACUUCAAGUGUGGACGCUGAUAUAACAGGUGGCUCAACAUUGAGCUCCCAAGCUUUACCAAAGCAAGAAGUGUCAACAGCAACUUCUAAAAGUUACAUAUUUAAAGCAGGCAUGUUGCUUAACAUUCUUUGGUGUACCAAUCUUCAUCUGUUACUGAACCUGCAUUUUUCUCAUUUUUAGGUGACCGAGUAAAGUAUGUAGGUCCUUCAUCUUCUGCUAUUUCUUCUCUUCAAGGCCCACCGCUUAGGUAUUGUUUACGAUUUUUUCGAAGUCUUUCACAGAUUCAAAACUCAGAUCUAACACUUCUCUUUGGUAUUUAUUAAUAGGGGACCGACCGUAGGUUUCCAGGGGAAAGUACUCCUUGCAUUUGAAGACAACUGCUCAUCAAAAGUUGGGAUUAGAUUCGAUAGGCCUGUACCAGAUGGCAAUGAUCUUGGUGGCCUGUGUGAAGAAGACCAUGGCUUUUUCUGUGCUGGUAUGCUAUUUCCAACUUUGACCCAUCAUAUUAUUUUUACUAAUAUCAUUUUGUGUUUGCAGCUACCUCACUUCGGUUAGAUGGUUCCUCCAGUGAUGAUGCUGACAAACUCGCCGUUAAUGAAGUCUUUGAGGUAUAUAUUUUACUCUCUCAGUUAUGUGGAGUGCUACUCUAUCCACUUGUUGACCACUUGACUUAUUUUAUAGGUCGCACUUAGUGAGAGUGAAGGAGGGUCGUUGAUACUGUUCCUGAAAGAUAUUGAGAAGUCUUUGGUUGGGAACAGUGAUGUGUAUGCAACCUUGAAGAGCAAGUUUGAGAAUUUACCGGAAAAUAUUGUUGUCAUGGCCUCACAAACCCAGUUGGACAGCCGAAAGGAGAAAGUAAGAAACUCAUUUAAAAUCUUCUCUGCUUCUAUUUUGUUUUUACUGUACUGUUAACUAAAUUUUUAUUGUUGUUUUUUCAGUCACAUCCUGGAGGUUUCUUGUUUACCAAGUUUGGUGGCAACCAGACAGCAUUACUAGAUCUUGCAUUCCCGGUAUGGACCUAACUUAACUUAUCUUUGUAUCUUUUUGAGAGGUUGAAACUGAUUUUGAGAUCAUCUUGCAGGAUAAUUUUAGUAAACUGCAUGAUAGGAGCAAAGAAACGCCUAAAUCCAUGAAACAGAUAACUCGGCUGUUUCCUAACAAAAUCUCCAUCCAGUUACCUCAGGUCUGAACCUUCUUCUUACUUUGGUACAUUUGUUAUUUUUUGUUUUCAUUAUCUUAUGCUCUCAAGAGAUAAUAGGAUGAGGCUUUGCUCUCGGACUGGAAGGAGAAGCUUGACCGUGAUACAGAACUUUUGAAGGUUCAGGCUAAUAUAACAAGCAUCCUAUCUGUGAGUAUCUUCUCAACAAGUCCUUCAGCGAUCUAACCGUUCCUAGCUUCUUUUUUUUGUUAAUGUUUUUUGUUAAUAAAUCCCCACAGGUCCUCACUAAAAAUCGUCUGGAUUGUCCUGACCUUGGAACCUUGUCCAUCAAAGAUCAAACCCUUCCAUCUGAAAGUAGGACUCUUAAUAUACCUUUUUUUUUUUUAUGAUUUGAUCUACUCCUUGGUACUAAACAAUUACUGAUAUGUGUGUUCUAGGUGUUGAGAAAGUGGUUGGCUGGGCUUUGAGCCACCAUCUUAUGAACUGCGCAGAACCUACAGUUAAAGACAACAAGCUUGUUAUCUCAGCAGAAAGGUAAGCAUCCUUGUAUAUACUGAAACACUGUAGCUAAAAUCCAGCUUAGAUUUUGCAAAUAACACUUUGGCAUGUGUUGCAGCAUUACAUAUGGCCUGCAGAUGUUACAUGGCGUUCAAGAUGAAAACAAGAGUCUGAAGAAAUCCCUCAAGGUAUUAUUAUGGAACUUCAUAUCUUUUCUUCUAAGUUAGUAAGUUACGGAUCUAAGAGUUGUUCUUUGCUAUGCUGUUUCAGGAUGUUGUGACAGAGAACGAAUUUGAGAAAAAACUCUUAUCAGAUGUCAUUCCCCCUAGCGAUAUAGGUGUGUCCUUUGAUGAUAUUGGGGCUCUUGAGAAUGUGAAAGACACACUGAAGGAGUUGGUGAUGCUUCCUCUUCAAAGACCUGAAUUAUUUGACAAAGGCCAGCUAACUAAGGUACCUUUCAUUGCUUUACGGUUUGUUUCUCUGUCUUUUUCUGGAAGUCAAAUAUAUAAAUUACGUUUUACUGCAGCCUACGAAAGGUAUCCUGUUGUUUGGACCUCCUGGUACCGGGAAGACGAUGCUGGCAAAGGCAGUAGCAACUGAAGCUGGUGCAAACUUCAUCAAUAUCUCAAUGUCCAGCAUUACUUCAAAGGUAUCUCUCCAACAGUGGUCUGAAUCUUUUGUUUAUGCUUUCUUUUGAAGAUUGUAUUUGACCACCUAACAAUUUGAAUGCUUUGUAGUGGUUUGGUGAGGGAGAGAAGUAUGUUAAAGCUGUCUUCUCUUUAGCAAGCAAGAUCGCUCCAAGUGUCAUAUUUGUUGAUGAGGUAUGUUCUGUUUCGCCACUUUGAAGCUAAGCUUUUAUGUAUUUUCUUAAUCUCUGAUGAUUGCUGAAAAAACAUUAUUAUUUAGGUGGAUAGCAUGUUGGGAAGACGUGAGAAUCCAGGAGAACAUGAAGCUAUGCGUAAGAUGAAGAACGAGUUCAUGGUAAACUGGGACGGUUUAAGAACAAAGGAUAGAGAACGAGUUCUGGUACUCGCUGCUACCAACAGACCAUUUGAUCUCGACGAAGCAGUUAUUAGACGGCUUCCCCGGAGGUAAACCUACAUUGUGCUGUGUCUCUUAAUGAAAGAUGAUUCCUCAUGUCGUAACUAUUGCUGAAUUGCAUACUUCUAUGUUUCAGAUUGAUGGUGAAUCUUCCAGAUGCGACUAACAGAUCAAAGAUCUUGAGCGUUAUUCUUUCUAAAGAAGAAAUAUCACCUGAUGUUGAUUUAGAAGCGAUUGCUAAUAUGACAGAUGGUUACUCAGGAAGUGACUUAAAGGUAUGUACUCAUCUCAUUGAAUCUCAAUCUCCUUGGCUUGUAAAAUGCUCACAUUCUCUCAUUUGGUUGCAGAAUCUUUGUGUAACUGCGGCACAUCUUCCAAUUCGAGAAAUACUGGAGAAAGAAAAGAAGGUUAGGUUUCCAACUUAGUGCAUUUACCACUGUUUUAAAAAUCAUUGCCGGCAAAUCAUUGUACGAAAUAACGUUUUUAGAAACAUUGUUAUAGGCGUCUGCCUAAACAAUAAUCCUUUAUAUAACACCUAAUUUCCUCUUAGAGAUACUUUGAACAUUUACUCAUUUACUUGCUAAACUUAUCAACUCAUCCUUCUCUAUAUACUGAGUGUUGUUUUGACUUCAGGAAAAAACCGCAGCUGAGGCUGAGAACCGUCCAACGCCUCCAUUGUAUAGCUGCACAGACAUUCGUCCACUGACAAUGGCAGAUUUCAAGGCUGCACAUGAACAGGUAGCUCGAAAAGAACAAUUGUUUUGUGUGCAUUGUGUUUAUAUAUAGAUGGAAAAAGGACUAAAUGAUCUUAAAUACAUGUAUAGGUAUGUGCUAGUGUGUCUACGGACUCAUCGAACAUGAACGAGCUUCAGCAAUGGAACGAGCUCUAUGGAGAAGGAGGAUCAAGGAAGAAGACGUCCUUGAGCUACUUUAUGUAGAAGAGACUGGAGUGAGAGAGGAGAGAUUUGUUGGUUUUUAAUCUCAUUUUGGUCCUUUGUUUAAUUUAUAAAAAUUUAUGUACAGAAGAGAGAAAAGAGUGUUGUUCGGUUUAUUUUCUAAUUCAUUCUCUUUCUCAACAUAAGAAGCUAAAAACAUUCGCUGUAUAAUCUAAUACAUGCGUAUGUAUAGAGGUUCGGAUGUUUUAAGGAUACAAACAUGCUUCUUGUUUACUUAUUUAAUUAGGCAGAUCUUAAGACCUAAUCUCAACUCUGGGAGAUAGAUAACCAUGGUGAAUGUUCGGUUAGCCGUAGAUGAGUUGUGCAAGUCUUGCAUCCCGAGCAUGCAGAUAGUCUGUGGAUGAUUGGAGAACCGUUCAUUAGUGGUAUAAUGAAGAUGUACGCUUCACCAUUCUUCUACAUGUCUUAAAAUGUCUCGGUAAAUCUUCUGUUUCCGUACAAAGAACAACAAAUUUUGUUUUUUUUUUGGGUUUUGUGGAGAUAGUAGAACAUUUGGAAUCUCCUUGUAUUUGUCGACACGGACGACCAACGAUGAUGAUGCAGUCAAGCUCCUUUUCAUGGUUAACAUUUGAAGGACCCUCGAUUAUAACUACGUUUUGUAAAUAUAAAAUUUAACCCUGUUCUAUUAUAUUAGUCAGUGGCAGAGGUUUCUAAAAAAAAAGUCAGUGGUUACAGCAGGUCGUCAAUCUAUUAUCUAAAUUUAGCUAUAUAUGAAUAGGAAAUGAUAAAUCGAAUUAAACCAUAUCUUGACAAGAAUACCAAAAUCAGUUAUACAAUACCAUCUUUCUUAUUAUAUAAAGCUUGGUUCUUCAAAAUUGCUAAUUAACAUGAAAUUUUUUUCUUUUUUAAAAUUCCUAAACAAGAAAUCUUAUUAUAUAAAGCUUGGUUCUUCAAAGUUGUUAAUUAACAUAACGAUGACACAUGGCAAUUAAAAAUUUAAGAUGGUGACAUGUAUUAAAAUCUAUCAUAAUUAAUAAUAUAAAUAUAAUAAGAUAAUAACACAAAAGAAUUAUUUAAUGGUAAUUUUCCUUUUUAAAUACUUAACAAAGAUAAUAAUAGCAAAAAAUUAUUUGAUGGUUUUUAGUUGACAAUAAUUUUCUUUUUUUUAAUUUUUUUCUUAAUAAUAUAAAUAUAAUAAGAUAAUAACACAAAAGAAUUAUUUAGUUAAAGCUGUCUUCUCUUUAGCAAGAGAUCGCUAAUUAACAUGACGAUGAUACAUGGCAAUUAAAAAUUUAAGAUGAUGACAUGUGUUAAAAUCUAUCAUAAUUAAUAAUAUAAAUAUAAUAAGAGAAUAACACAAAAGAAUUAUUUAAUAGUAAUUUUCCUUUUUUUAAAUACUAAACAAAGAUAAUAAUAGCAAAAAAUUAUUUGAUGGUUUUUAGUUGACAAUAAUUUUCUUUUUUUAAAUUUUUUUCUUUUUUAAAAUUCCUAAACAAGAAAUCUUAUUAUAUAAAGCUUGGUUCUUCAAAGUUGUUAAUUAACAUAACGAUGACACAUGGCAAUUAAAAAUUUAAGAUGGUGACAUGUAUUAAAAUCUAUCAUAAUUAAUAAUAUAAAUAUAAUAAGAUAAUAACACAAAAGAAUUAUUUAAUGGUAAUUUUCCUUUUUAAAUACUUAACAAAGAUAAUAAUAGCAAAAAAUUAUUUGAUGGUUUUUAGUUGACAAUAAUUUUCUUUUUUUUUUUUAAUUUUUUUUCCUUUUUUUAAAUUCCUAAACAAAAAAAUGUAUAAUAAUUUACUUAAUACUAAUUUUUCACUUUUUAAAAUCGUUUUUUAAAAUACUAAAUAAAGAUAACAACAAAAGAUUAUUUGAUAGUUUUUUUAGUUGACAAUAAUUUCAUUUUUAUAAUUUUUUUUUCCUUUUUAAAAUUCCUAAAAGAAAAUGUGUAUAAUUAUUUACUUAAUACUAAUUUUCGUUUUCUAAAAUAAAAAAAAAUAUAAUUGUGAAAAUUAGUUUGAUAGUAAUUAUCCGUUUAUAAAAUCUUCUAAAAAAAAAUUGUUAAAGAGUGUUUAAUUGUAGUUUUCUUUAUUUCUUCUUCAAACCUACAAAAAAAAGUAAAAUAAGUAUUUCAAAUAUUUUCAUAUAAUAAUAGACUAUUAUUUAAAUAGUAAAUUUUCUGUUUAAGAAAUCAUAUUGAAAAAAGGAUUACAAUUUUUUUUUGUAACUAAAAGGAUUACAAUUAUUCACAUCUAUAUAUAAUAUUAAACUCUCCUAUAUUUUAUCACCAAACAUAAUUGCUUAAUAUAUCAUAAUUAAUAAUAUAAGUAUAAUAAGAUAAUAACACAAGAAUUAUUUAAUAGUAAUUUUCCUUUUUUAAAAUUCUAAACAAAGAUAAAAGCAAAAAAAUUAUUUGAUAGUUUUUAGUUGACGAUAAUUUUAUUUUUUCUAUUUUUUUUCCUUUUUACAAUUCUUAAACAAAAAAACAUGUAAAAUAAUUUACUUAAUACUAAUUUUUCUUUUUCUAAAAUCAUAAAGAAAAUAUAAUUAUAAAAAUUUGUUUGAUAGUAAUUAUCCUUUUAUAAAAUCUUCUACACAAUAAAAUUGUUAAAAACUGUUUAGUUGUAGUUUUGUUUUUUCUUCAAAUCUAAACAAAAAAUGUAAAAAAAUUAUUUCAAAUAUUUCCAUAUAAUAAUAAACUUUCUUAUUUAAAUAGUAAAUUUUAUGUUUAAGAAAAUUUUAAUUUUUUUUCAUUUUAAUUUUUACUUUGGUUGAGUUUAGUUUAAAUAUUUAGGUAUGAGUGUUUUCUCCAGCCUUAAAUACAAAGUUGAUAACAAUUUACCUAUCCACCAUAUUAAAAUCAGAAUCUCUCUCAUACAAGAAAAACAUUAGGUGUGGUUUUUUAUUAUAUAACUUUAUAAUUAUCGUAAAAUAUGAUAUUAUUGUGCGUAAGUUAUUGACACAAUUAUGUGUGUUAGUUCCUAUAGACGAUAUAAAAUUGGUUAUUCUGUCAUAGUAUGUCAAUGUCAACAUCAAUUUAUUAUGUUACGUCAAAAACGAUUGAUCAAUGCAGUAUAAACGGUUUAAUAUGGUUAUGCGAGUUAGAUAAUAAUUUUAAAAUAAACAACAAUUGUUAUGAUUUUGAUUGUCAUUAGGGUUUAGUCAAAAAGUUUACUAGACACUUCUUACAAUAAGACUAUGUUUGAAAAAAAUAUAUUUACUAUUUUCUAACUGAAAUUGUUAUUUAAUUUGCUAUCAUGCAUUAUCAAGGAAACAAUGAAUUCAGAAGGUUAUUUAACACUAAAUCAGUUUAAAAUAUUAAAAGGUAAGAAAUUUGAAAAAAGAAUAAUGAACUUAUAGGAAGGGAUAUCUCAUACUUAAUAAAGGUAAUUAAAAAAAAAAUCUUUUAUAAAUUUUUAUUCAAAUUGAUUUUUUAUUAUAUAGGAAAAUACAAUCAAUGUUGUGUGCAUCAUUCUAUUCUUGAAAAGCUUGGAGAUGAACUAUGUGAAGGAAUUAUUAUCGACAUCUUUUAUUUAUAAUGUGCAAGAUUGAAGUAAGAACUAUAAAAUCUCUGAUCAUAAAUUUCAGAUAGGAGUGAUUGAGAGAACAACAACCUCAUAUUUGUGAAAUAACCGUUACCUCAAAUACUCUGUGAAAAAAAUUUGAUUUCAACUACAAAGAUUUUGCUCAACUUAAAGAUAUCAGAAACUAUUGAUUAGAUGAUAAUAUUCAUGCAUUUUAUAUAUAUAACUUUUUGUUACAGAUGUGUAGUUGGUAUAUCAAUAAUAUGAAUAAUCUGAUGUUCAAAUAGUUACUCUAACUUAAUUGUUAAGGAGGUAUUUUUCUAUAAAUAACUGUAGCACUUUUUCUCUAUGAAUUAUUAGUCCAAUUCCAUUAAGCAAUUUCAGUUUUUUUUUUCUACAAAAACUCUAUUUUAUAUAGUGAAAUUGAAAUACAAGCAACAUCAUGAGCUGGACAAGUAGAACUAUUUGAAGAUAUAUAUCGCGCUGUGAAAUGUGAUAAUACUGUUAUUAUCAUGAAAGUCUUUUAUCAAGAGAUAUCCAUGUGUAAUUUUUUUAUCAGCAUAAAAAAGUUUGGAUGUUUAUUUUAACUCUAAUUAGUUGAAGAAAAUUUAAUAUACUAAUUUGUAUUAUUUCUAUUAGUUUCAGCUAUGAUGAUGGUUGCUUGGUUAAUCUUGGCCAUAUGAUUGAAAAUCCUUAAAUGAGUAUUGAAGUUAAUGAAGUUUAUAUAUAUUUAUGUUAACUUAUAUGAGUUAACUAUAUUUAGUUAACAUAAAAUGUUUUUUAAAAAAUAAUUAUUUAUUUAUAUAUUUAUUAGAAUCCUAAAUUCUAUAUUCCUAAAACCUACCCCACCCUCUCAAUUCUAAACCCUUAGUCUAGAUUAGCUAACCUUAGGAUUAUAAGUGUUUUUUCUUUUUAAAAGUGAGAAUAAAAGUGGUAUUAAGAAUGUGAUAUUUUUGGUAAUUUCCCGUAUAAUAUUGUCACUAACUAGAUUGACCUUAUUUAGAUUUUAAUUUUUUUUCAUUUUAAUUUUUACUUUGGUUGAGUUUAGUUUAAAUAUUUAGGUAUGAGUGUUUUCUCCAGCCUUAAAUACAAAGUUGAUAACAAUUUACCUAUCCACCAUGAUUAUAAAUACAAAUACUAAUAGGAAUUUAUGUGUGUAAAUGAGUUUGUAAUUAUAAAAUAAAUAUCUCACAGCUUAUGCAAACACAAAAAAAUCCUAAAUCUAUAAUAAAAUGAUUUAUUAUUUUUAUGUUUUUACUAAAACAUCAAAUAAAACCCGUUGCAACGCACGGGCUUUAUCUAGUAAACUAAUAAACUUACUUUAAUUUUACUCACUAGUAAUGAAUUUAUAUAGUGAUUAAAACUUCUAAAAAUAUUUGAAAUUUAUGAAGUUGCAGUUAAUUUUUUUUUUUUGGAUGUCAAAUGGGUUAUCCACGUCUAAAUAAGCUUGUCCAAAUAAAUAAUAUUGGAUAUUGAUGGUUUUAGUUCAAAUAUUGGAUAAAAUAAGAUAUAGAACAAUUUAUAAUUUAAUAUUAAUCAAGCAAAAACAUUUGUAUAAAGAUGUUUUCUAAAAUAUUAUUCAUAUGUGAGUGUUUUCUUAAAUAAGAUUUUAAUUUUUUGUUUUUGAUAAAAACACUUUAUUUUUAUCCGGGCAUAAUUUUUUUACAAAUAUUUAUUGGUUUAUCUCUUAUUAAAAUAAAAACCAACAUAAUAAGAUAUUAUUUUAUGUACUUAACAACUUUAAAUUAAACAUCAAUUAUUUAUAUAUGAUAUUUUUCAUCAAAAUAUAUAUGUUUAUCAUUGUGUUGAAAUUUUAAAAAAAAAAACACACUCACAUAUUAAAAAUGUCUUAGAAAAUAUCUUUUAAAAAUGUUUUUACUUGAUAAAUAUUUAAAUAUGUAUUGUUUAUAUCUCACUUUUGAACUUUUAUAAUAGAACAAUAUUUUUUUUUCAGAUAACAACACAAUAUAUUUGAUGAAAAUACAUAUAUAUAAGAAUUAUCAUAUUUUUUAAAAUAUGUUUUCAUUUUUGAAAAUUUCAUUUAAUUAAUUUAUAAUCAAUUUUCAAUUAUAACAUAUAAAUCUAGUAAUAUUAACAUAAAAUUUGUUUUUAAUUAUGUUUUAUUUCUAGGUAUUUUGUUCAUACAUGCAUGUAUAAUCAUUUUACAGGAUGAUAGAUUGUUUUUUUAUGAUUUUAAUCAUUUUCAUUCUUUCAAUUUUUUUUGUUUCGAACACCAACUAUAAAAAAAAUUAUUAUUGCUGAUGUAAGAAAAAUAAGAAAGUGUAAUUUCGUCUUUUGAACCAUUAUUGUUUCUUUAAAUUACCUAUUUAAACUAGCAACAAGUAUUUGUUUUGUUUGUCAAAAACUAGCAAUAUGUAUAAACUACCAAUAACAUGCAAAGAUAAAAAAUUAAAAUAAAACAAAUAAAAAUAUUUUAAAAGAAAACUAAGAGCUUAAAUUUGUUUAGAAAAAAAAAUUGAAAUAUAAGUGAAUUAAGAUAAUGGUAAUAUUCUUGGUUACAGGAUAAAUAUAUAGGCAAACUUAUCAUAUUUCAUAAAUUUUAUUUUUUCAUGAAAGAAAAAUUAAUGAUCAUCAUCUGAUAAUAUCAAACAAAACAUUAUGAUCAUUAUAUAUUUCCCUUUCUUUUUGGCAAUUUUAUCAUAAAUAAUUAAUUAGUUAUUCUAUGAUCCAUUAUAAUGAUUAAAUAUAAUUACUUAUUAAGGGUAGUAGAAGAUCUGACCUGAAAACUGAAGAGCUAAAAUAGAAAAAAUAAAAAUAUAUGAUAUUCAUAAACCUUUGCAUCUUUUUUUAAAAAAUUUGAUUACGUACUUACAUACAUAAUUUUGUUAGCUUUUAUUUUGUAGUUUUAUGUUAAUUCCAAUAGUAUACAUAAUGAGAAUGAAUAAUAUAUAUAUAUAUAUAUAUNNNNNNNNNNNNNNNNNNNNNNNNNNNNNNNNNNNNNNNNNNNNNNNNNNNNNNNNNNNNNNNNNNNNNNNNNNNNNNNNNNNNNNNNNNNNNNNNNNNNGAUCUGAGGAUUGUUGGAUCGUAAGUUUUCUUAGUGUGACUGCUUAUUUACUUUUUGAGUUUUAUGGAAUUUCUUCAUGUUCCCUUUUCAUCUUCUGUUCUUUAGGUUGUUUUGCUAUUUUUAAAUUCUGUUAAUUCUUUGUGCGACAUGAUUGAUAGCCCAUUUAUUCUGUGUUUUAUGUGGCAGCAAUUCUCCAUAUAUGAAUCUAUUUAUGACCCUAUCAAAAAAAUGUCGUCUGAUAGAGCACCUGUGCUUAGUGAGCUAUCACCCCUUAGGUAAAAGCUUCUCCACUAAAUCUCGCUGUGGAGCUUAUUGUUUUUGUUUAUCCCAGGUUUUCUCAAGCUUGCCUAAUGUGUAACAGGUAAUAUAGACGCGUCAACAGCUUCACACUUGAUAGAGUUGGUGACCAAGUCCCCCAACUUAACUUCUCUAACACUCUUAUGUUUUCAACUAACCAAUGAAAUAGUCCGGAAUCUUGUUGAGGUAUGGCUUCUAUUCGAUUUUACUGCUAAUUUCUUCUCUCUCUCUUUUAUUGGAUUACUAUCUAUGCUUUUAUACAACAAGGAUAACACCUGCAUGUUACUUCCAGAGUUCUCGAAAACUGAAGUACCUGAAUCUGUCCAGAUCACCUAAAAUCGAUGGUCGUUUUUUGAGGUGCAAAUACAAAAAAUGUUAAAUAGCGCGCAAUUUCAUCCAAAAGUCGUUAUUAUCAUAAUUUCACAUAGUACAAAAAAUAUUGUUGCUGGUAGGGAUUUGGGAAAUAGCUGCAAAGAGAGUCCACUCGAGACUCUAAUAUUGCGCAACUGCGUUAAACUAGAGGAGGUAAAUGUUUUUGAGUUGUUACAUCAGGUCUUGCUUGAUCGAUCCUUACACUCACUGACCUUGAUGUUUCAGAAAGAAGUCUUGGAACUCUGCAACUCAUUACUCAAAGGAAACUUCAAAUUCAUUCGUCACAUUGUAAGUUUUUCUUAGAGAAAAUUAUAUUAGCUUUGUUUGUUUUUAAUCGUCGUCUUAUUGGUUUGCUCACUCUAAUAGGAUGUUUCAAGCAAUAACGGCUUAGUUUCUGAUGAUGGCCGGAGAUCUUACAAACCAAAGUAACUGACUGAUCCUUUCAUUGUUAAACAUCUUACCAACGGCUCAUUGAGUUGUGGUGUGUUGUAGGUUUCCUGUGGAGAAGCUGAAAGAAGAAAGACCAGAUGUGACACUUGUUGCGGAUUUUCCAUUAGAAAGGUCUUCUUCUUCUUCAUUGAUUACUAUCUUAGACUUUUACAGUAAUUUGAUCAGAGAAUACAAAUGCAGGUCAGGGAAGCGUUAUCAUGUCGGGGUUGAAGGGGAUGACGGAGAGCUGAGGGAGAUAGAGAUGAUGGAAGCCAAGAACGAUGAAGAGGAGAAUGAUGAUGAUGACGACUCCUUUGACGAUGAUGAUGAUGAUGACGUUUAGCUUUGAUGAUUGGAGGAGUGGUUAAUCAAUCAAUCGUCAAUAUAUCCGGCACGACCGACAUAUGAAUGUUCUCCCAAAGCUCUUUGCAACGUUGCUAUGAUGAUGUUUCUUCCUACAUCCAAAGCCCCAAUCCUAGUUCCCUUCUUGUUGUUCCGCUACCUUCUCAUUCCUCUUUGUUUCCUGAGUGCCCUUCGACUUCUAUUAGCUGCUGCUCCUUUGAUCGGGCGCUUGGUCAAGCUAUCUAUCUCAUCUGCUUCUUGUAGACACUCUUGUGCGAACUCUUAUUAUGAGUUGGUAUAUGAAGACGUUUUUUGCACUGCAUAUCUUCAAAACCAUCAGCUACUCUUUUCCCAAUCAUUUCUAAAUACAAUUAAAAUACCAAAUUAACAACCAAAAGAACAUUUGAAAAAAAUGUAACCUCAAUUUUAUAAUAAUUUAAAAAAACUUCUUGCUUAUGUGUCAAUCAGUUAUGUAGUUAAUUAGUCAUAUGUAUCAGCUUUACAUUGAAAUUGAAAAACAUGUAGGUCUAAUUCAAUUUUUAUAUCUCACUAGAAACAUUUAAUAUCAAUUAUAUGAUAUCAUAUGAUAUUAACUAAAUUAAUGUGGCUAUUUAUUAUAUAUUAUUUCUUAAAUAAAACCUACGGAAUUACCUAAUGUGAUUAUGAUAUAUAUAGUAAUUAAUGAUUUUAAAUAAUGAAGAUUUGUUAAUAAUUUGUAUGCUUUAUAUCAUUUUUGUUUAAUUCUUUACUAUUAAAAUAGAAUACACAAUUACAUUAAUAAUAUAUUAAAAUUUUAGAUUUUUUUUGUAUAUGUUAUAUUUUGAAUUUUUCAAAACGAGUAUAAAUUACUAAAACUGUUAAAAGUCUCACAUAAACUUUUGUGAUCAAUGUUUAAAUUUUUUUCUAUAAUAAGAUACAAUGAUAAUAAAAUCAUAUAAAUAAAUAAUUUUAUUUUAAUAGGUGUUUAUGUUAAUAUAUAUAUACACUUCACAUCGUUUAAAUUUAAUUAUAUAUUAUAUACGAUAGAUAAGAUUGAUUGUUUUGAUUUAUUUAUUCUAAAAUGAUUGCGAAUAAACAAGAACGGUCAUUUGAUUUAUAUGUGCAAACCAAUUUAUUACAUAAUAGUAACUGAUUUCUUAGUAUGCAGAAAAAUAUAAAAUAAAUAGUUAUUCUGCAUAAGGCCAAAUCUUAACCUAAGUAUGUAUAUCUUUAAUAAUUUUGAAUCUUAAACAUUUUCUAAACCUCAGGCCAAAAUAAAAGAAAGAAAUGAGAAUAAACUCAAAAAUCAAUAUUUAUAUCGAGCAAUAACCAAAAUGACACAAAAAGGAGAAGAAUAUCGAAGAUAGAUAGGAUUGGCACGUGAACGUAAAAUUUUCAUAAUCAUAAUUAGUUUUUAAAUUGCUAAAUCAUGAUAUAAAACCGAUGUGACAUUAAUUUCAUUGUAACCAAAUAGUAGGCAUGAGAUUCUUCGGUCUAAACGUUAUGUUUUUAUACGAUUUAGUAGUAAUUGUUAAGAGGUUAAUAUUGGAUGCAAAGAUUAAUCGAAAAUCAUGGUAAUGUUAGCAGCAUAAAUUUAGCCAAUCACAAUAAAUUUUUGUUUUGCUUUAAUUUUGGCUGAUACGUCUCUCAUAAUUAUUAUACGAAAUCUAUACAUUAAAAUAAUUGAUGUUUAUAUAUAAUUGAUAAAGAUGAAAUAUAUUCACAGUAACGUAAUCUAAAAAUAUAAACGGAGAUGUUUAUUUUCUAAUAUUAUUGUACCGUGUAAUAUGUGGAUUUGAUACAUAUUUGGAAACUCUUAUGUAGCAUAAAUGGACAGAAUAUUUGGAAAAUUAUAUGUUUACCAUAUGGUAUCACUUUUCAUUUUUACCACCACUUUUGAUUUUGUAAUGAAAUAUUUCUUAUUUAUUAUUUUUUUUAAAGCUAAUGGCACAAUCUGUACAAUAGAAAAUUAAGAGCAUGUUUAAUAGAAAUUUUUAGAUAGGAUAAAUAUAAAAACCUUUAAUUAAAGGAAAAAUGAUUGCUGACUACAUGAAGUAUUGGCCAUCACAUGGCUAACCAUGCAAACUAAACAAAUGUAUACUUAGCUACACGAAGUAUGUAUUAUGCAUGACAACAUCCCUCAACUUUAUGAUGUUAUGUAAUUAGCAUCACGAGUUUAAUUUCAUAUCCAAAAAAUGAUUGUAUAUUAGAGACCGUUUAAAUCUCUCGUUACAUCAACUAAAAUGUGGCGUACCUGACGGUAAUUUACCUAAUUAGAUUUUGACAUGUGUUUUAAAAUCAUAAAAAUAUUUUUAACAAAAUCUACUUUACAAAAUCAAUAUGUUUUAUAAAUUUUUAUAAGUAGUGUUUUAACAUUUUUAUUUUACUGUAUUUGAAAACAAUAUAAUUAUAUUAUUUUUAUUUAUGUUAAAUAUAAAGUUAUACUUCCUCUGUUUCAAAAUACAUGAAGUUUUAAGAUUAUGCACAACUAUUAAGAAACUUGUUUUUUAUCUUAAAAAUAUCAUUAAAAUAUAAACUAAAAAUUAUUCAACCAAUCACAAAACAGACUACAAAAUAUCAUUGGCUACACAGUUUUUGAUAAAGUGAAAAAGUGCAUUGAGAUAUGAAAACAUCAUAUAUUUUGAAACAUCAAAAACUCCUUAAAACAUCAUCUAUUUUGAAACGGAGGGAGUAUAAGAUAUUAUUUAAUUAGUUUUUUUAAAUUCUUUUAAUCUGUUUUGGUAUGAAUUUUUAAUAAAAUUUAUGUAAUUCAUUUGAUUAAUUGUGUGAUAUAUACUUAUUUGAUAAAAAAAUACAAUAAAACUUCUUUGAUGUCAAUUUAUUGACUCUAACAAUUUAUUUGUUUAAUAUGAAAUUAUUAAGUUAAUGAAUUAUUUUAUAUAUUUUUUUCAUAAACAAAAAUUCCAUUCAUUUAAACUAAGUAAACCUUUCAUAUUAGAUUCUUAUUCUUUGAUUACUUUUAUUCGUAAAAAUAUAUAAUUAAUAAUUAUAUACGCAAGAUUAUGUUUGGUUUAAUUUGACAUCAAAUAAGUUUUAAACAAAUAAAAUUUUUGAGUUAGUAAAUUGACAGAAAAUAAGUUUUAUAAUUAAAAAAAUUAUCAAAGAAUUAUAUAUCACACAAUUAAUCAAACGAAUUACAAAUUCUUUAGUAAAAGUUCAUAACAAAACAGAUUAAAAUAAUUAAUAAAACAAACAGAGUAAUAAAAAUAAAAAUAAUAUAAUUAUAUAGUUUUAAAAGACACAAAAAUAAAAAUGUUAAAACAUUACUUAUUAAAAGUUCAUAACAAAACAGAUUAAUAUAAAUAAAAUAAUACAAUUAUAUAGUUUUAAAGUACACUAAAAUAAAAAUGUUAAAACACUAUUUAUCAAAAAAUGUUAAAACAUAUUUAUUUUGUAAAUUAGAUUUUGUUAAAAAUAUUCUUACGCUUUUAAAAUGUGGGUCAAAAUCUAAUUUUAUUAAAUUAUAGUCGAAUCGGUCAUAUUUUAAUUGUUGAAACAAGAUAUUUAAACGAUCUCUAACAUCCACAUCAGUUUUUGGAUAAAUGAAAUUAAACUCGUGAUGUUAACUAUAUAACAUUAUAAAGUUGAGGGAUGUUGUCAUGCAUAACAUAUACUUCGUGUGGCUAGGUAUAUAUUAAUUUAGUUUGCAUGGUUAGCCAUGUGGUGACCAAUACUUCACGUAGGUAGCAAUCAUUUUUCCUUAAUUAAAAGCUAAGAGAAAGUUUAUUAUAUUCAGCUAAAAACUACAUCCUAAAAACUCGUCUAUUUAUACUGGAAGAAGAGAAAACUCUUUCAACUUAAGGCUUCAUGGAUUCUCCGACGAGCCCCACCCAAAACUCUAGCUCCGUCCACGCCGAUUCGAUUAUCUCAUCCCUCCUUUCGUUUCCAGAUUCCUCUCCGCUCUCCAUUGCCUCUUCCUUCCGUCGAGAGCUCGAACAAGCUCUCGCCUCUGCUUCAGAUGACGCCUCUGUUCAGGAACGUCUCGUGGAUCGAACACUCCAGCUCGUAUCUCUUCUUCUAGAAUCCACUAAACGGUCCUUCCGCAAGCGAGCUACCACUCACAACUCCAGUGCCUGGUUCCUCCCUCCCGAACUCACCGUCAAGGUAAUCAAACCGACUGAGAGCGUUCAGGAGACGGAGUUUGAUGAGAUAUGUUAUUUGAAUUAGUUUAAGUGGUUGUUCAGGUGUUUUCGAUGGUUGAUACAAAGUCUCUAAUGCGCGCGGCUGCUUGCUGCACCAUGUUCAACAAAUGUGCUAUGGACCGUUUUGCAUACGCUCACGUCGACUUGACUACCGCUACUAGCCAAGUUGACAGUAAGGUUGUGUGUAACUUGAUCCAUAGGGCUGGAAAAGAACUCAGGUAAUCUUUAACGUUGUAACUUGUACUACACUCAUUUGUUAGUUUUUGUAUUUGAAUAGGGUUUUUAUAUUUAUGCUUGUAGAUCACUCAAGCUUGGCAGUCUUGCUCGCACAUAUCCGUCUGAUUGUAAUCCAUCUUUGGUUAACGGACCUUUUCUUUCCACACUAUCCCGUAAUCCUGAUUUUAUUGGGUAUGGCUUGCUUGCUUGCUUGAUUAUCAGUUUUUAAAUUUCAUCCUGUUAUUUUUAUCUGCCCUACAUAUGCUGUUAAAAUAAACAUGUUAGAGUAUGUGUUGGACCCAGAUUUGUACCAAAUCUCUCCUCCAUAUAUUAGUGCGAGUCCAUCAACUUUGACCCUCAUUACAUAUGGAUGUUUUUCUCAGGAAUCACGUUAUUUCUUCACUAAUCUUUAUAAACAAAUACUAUCAAAUAAGUAUGGGUUUUAGGAUCCACAGUAUGGUUUCGUUGGAUAGGAAAUAAUAUAGCAGGGAAGAUAUCCCAAUACAUUCUCAUUUAAUCUUCUUAUUUGGUAUUAUUAUCCUUUUCCAUUCAACCAGGAAUCGCUUGAAAAGCCUAGGGCUUUACAAUAUCAGGUCGAUGAAUUCCUCAUUCGAGGUGUUGUCAGUUUGUUCGAAUCUCACUGAUCUGAGGAUUGUUGGAUUGUGAGUUGUCUUAGAGUGCCUUGCUUAUUUAUUUUGGGACACACAGCCCUCUUUUUUUUUUUUUUUUUGCCUUAUUCUGUGUUUCAUGUGACAGGAACAAUCCUUUUAUGCAUUUAUUUAAGAUUCUGACAGAAAAAUGUCGGCUGAUAGAGUACCUGUUCAUAGAGACCUACCAACUCCCAAGUAAAGAUUCUCCAUUAAUCCGGUGUUGAGCUUAAUGUUUUGUUUACUCCCAGGCUUUCUCAAUGUGUAACAGGUACCAUAAUAGAUACUGUAAAAGGUUCACACUUGAUAAAGUUGGUGACCAACUCCCCCAACUUAACUUCUCUACGGCUCAUUCGUUUUCGACUAACCGAUGAAGUGGCACGUAUUCUUGCUCAGGUAUGUCUUCUGCUCGAUUUUACUGCUAUUUUCUCUCUCUUUUAUUGGAUACCAUCUAUGAUUUUGCAGGGGUGGAUCUCAAUAUUUUUGGGUUCUAAACAUUGUUAAGAAUUUGUUUUGUAAAUUGUUUUAAAAAUAAUUUAGAAAGCUAAAACUAUGUAAAAAAGUCAAAACAAUUUUGGGGGCCAAAACCAAUUUUUCAUUGGCUUGGCCCAAACCCCGGCUUUAGCUUUUACAGAACUUCAAUAGUAUUUUGAUGUUCUCUGCAGAGUUCUCGUACACUGGAGUACCUGAAUUUGUCUAGAUCCCCUACAAUCAAUGGUCGUUUUCUGAGGUGCUAAUGCAAAACUUUUACAGUGCAAUUUCCUCCAAAUGUCCUUAUUGUUAAAAUUUCACAUAACAAGAAAAUAUUGUUGGUAGGGAUGUAAGAAAUAGGUGCAAGGAGAGUCCACUUAAGACUCUAAUAGUGCGCAACUGCCUUAAACUGCAAGAGUUACGUAAAAGACUCAUAACACGUUUUGAGUUGUUUCAUCAGUGUUACUUGAUCGAUCCUUACAUUGAUGUUUCAGAAAGAAGUGUUGGAACUCUGUAACUCACUAAUCAAAGGAAACUUCAAAUCCAUUCGGCACAUUGUAAGUCUUUUUAUAGAAUCAGUGCCCCCCAAAAAAGUAUAAGCUUGGUUUACUCUAAUCUUCGUCUUCUUGGUUUAUUCUAAUAGGAUGUUUCAAAUAAGAGAGGCUUAGUUUCUGAUGAUGGCAAGAGAUCUUACAAACCAAAGUAACUGAGGGACCCUUCAUUGUUUACAUCUUAGCAACUGCUCACUGAGUUGUAUUCCAAAAAAAAUUGUUGUGUGUUGUAGGUUUCCUCUUCAGAAGCUGAAAGAAGAAAGAUCAGAUGUCACCCUUGUGGCGGAUUUUCCAUCACCAUGGUUCGUGUCAGUCGAUUACUACCAUCGUUAAAAAGUUUGAUUAAAGGAAUCCGAGAAAGGAAAAUGAGGGGGGUUUGUGUCUUGUAAAAUGCAGGUCAGUGAAGCAUUGUCCUGUCUGCCAUGAAGAAGAUGACGAAGAGCUGAGGGAGAUAGAGAUGAUGGAAGAUGAUGCCUCAUCCUCGGAUGCCUCAUCCUCGGACGACUCAUCCUCGGACGACGAAUCCUCAGAAGAUGACUUAGGAUGAUGAUACACAAACCAAGAGGACUUGGGACUUGGGAGAGAAUCAUGACGUUUAUCUUUGAUGUUUUGGCUGAAGAAUUUUAAUUUUUUUUUUUUUGAACGAGUAGUAAUUUAAGUCAUGUGCUACAAACAAGCUUAUGUCAGAUUCGGAGAGACUUUCCCAUAGGCUGGACCGUUCGGUAUUAGUCCGGGUAAUUCAGAUUUUCGGAUUUUCGGUGUUAUAUUCAGAAGUACCAUUCGGGUUUUACUAAUUACGGAUCGGUUUCGGUUUGGUUCCUUCCGGGUUCGGUUCGGAUUGGAUGUAACCAAUGUUUAAAAUCGUCCAAAACUAUUUUUUUUUAAACCUUAAAAUUGACAAAAAAGUUUCAAAAUAUAUAAAUUGUUUACAAAUCUAAUUAAAAAUUAGUUAAACUAUCUAAAUUAACUAAAAAAUAUUCAAAAUAACAAUUAAAACAAACUAGAAAAUAUUUUGAAUAUCCUAAAAUAUCUAAAUCAUCUUAAAUAUAUAAAAACAUUAACAUAUUUAACUAAUUUCGGAUAUCUUCGGAUGUCGGUUCGGAUGUCGGUUCGGUUCGGAUUAUAACCAAACACCAAAGUACUAAUCUCAUAAGUCUCGUUCAGAUAUUUUUAUAUAACAGUUUGGAUUUGGUUUUGGUUUUUUGGGUUCGGGUCUAGAUAAGUACUUUGGGUUGAGUUAAAAAUGGUCAGGCCUACUUUUUCACCUGAAGGUGAGAAGGAUAGAGGGCUCGGUUGACUCUAAUCAAAAAUUCGUGGUGCUCUGUAAACAAAGAAACAAACUGUUCGAUAGUCUUAUUGGGCCUAUUAAUGCGUCCAGAAAAGAAAAGCCCAUAUCUCGUCCGAUUGUUGUUGGCGGCUAAGAUUCUAGGAAGGGGGUAGCAGUGUAAAUAAACGGAAAUCGAGGUGGUGUUUUGAUCUCAAACUAGAUAAAGAUAAGGGUAAUACCGUAAAUAAACUGAAAGCGAGAGAUGCGGGCACGUGAGACGAAUUUCUGACUCUCCAAUCGACCUUAUCCACCUUGCGAGACAUCAGAUCCAAGCGCCACGUCAGACUAAGAUCAACGGACGAGAUCUUCCUGGUCGCCUUUAAAGUCAUUACUCUCUGCAACGUUUGUGAGAAGAAAGAAACAUUACUUGCGACCAAAAAUUACAGAUUCUUGAAACUAUUAGUGUUGAUACUUGAUAGAUACCAUGGGCUUACUAGAUCAUCUCUGGGAUGAUACCGUCGCUGGUCCUAGGCCAGAGAACGGCCUUGGCAAGCUUCGGAGACACCAUACCUUCAGUUUCCGGCCUAGCUCCGGUAAUGGUACGCCGUGUUUUUGCUAUCUUGAACCGGUGGCUUAUCAUUUUGUGUAAAUGAAAAUAUAAAAAUAAAUAAAUCUUUAAACGUAAAAAAUAUAUAGAUAGUAUCAUUGGCCUGAUCUUCGAUCUGGUGUUCUUUAGAUCAAUCGGACGGUGGUAGCGUGAGAUCGUACGGUGAAGAAUCGCCGGAGGAGGCCGUGAAAGUGACACGUAGCAUCAUGAUAAUAAAACCACCGGGAUACCAAGGCGGUUCAGCUNNNNNNNNNNNNNNNNCGGUUCAGCUCCGGUUUCACCAGCCGGUUCACCCCCGCCAGUAUCUCCUUUCUCUGGUGAGUUUUAUUAUAUUAGUUACCAUUUUGUUUUGUUCAAAAAAAAAAGUUACCAUUUUGUUUCCAGCAGUAACUAUUUGGUUAGGUGAAAUAGAAAGUGUACUGUACACUCACUGAUUACGUUAAGGGUAAUUUCGUCUAUACGUUAAAAAAAACUUUGACAGGAUUAACAUGUUGACACUGUGACUUAUGUGAUGCAUGCAGCAUGAUCCUUGAUAAGAUGAGAUGUGACACAGUGAACUCCAUCUAUGAUAUCACUGAUUAUUAUUGCCCCUUGAUUGAUAUAUUUGUUAGGUGAGCGUCUAGUCAAAUGUUGUGAUAUGCUUAAAAGACUUGGUCAUAGAUUAGGACCGUAUUCAAAACAUGUUAUGGUUUACUAACGAACUUGGAACCUUUGGGAUGGUUAACGGAGCAAACGCAGGAGGAAAGGAACCCUUUCGGUUUAGGAGAAGGUCGACGUCGGACGCGUUCGAUAAGGGAGCAGGAUCAGAGAAUGGACCAAGGAACUCUCCUCCUACUUACGGCCUGUGAUCUAUAACUCAAAUCUCAAUAGGGAGAGAGAAAAGAAGAAGAGUAGCCCCCAAAACGCUUUCGAUCAAGUGGUCCUUGCAUGCAGAGUUCGUGUUGCUUCCGUUUUGUAGGCCAAAGAGGUUCUCUCUUUUGUGUGCGUGUAUGAGUUUGUUUUGUGUGUUUGUGGUUACGUCUAUGUUUUUGUUUUUGUAUGUCAUCUCGUUUUGGGAAUGCUUCUACGUGUCUGUACAUAUUUUGCUGCAAUGAUAAUAAAAAUGUGUAGAUGCUUAACAUCACUUCUUUUUGGACACCACAGUCUCUUUGGAGGCCAUAUUGAGAGUGACUGCAAAGACACUUUACUCUUUUCUUGAAUUGAUAAAUUAUCUCCAAUCCAAAUUGUCAAAGCCUAGCUUGAAAAAAAGAGGAAAUUGACAAAUGGCCAAUUGUGUUUAGUUGAGGAAGCUUGCAGGGAUUAUGAUGUGGAUAAUGUAAUAGAUAUGAGAUCAUUUAUUUUGAACCAUACAAUAUUCUUUAACAACAUUGAGUUUAGUCCGGCUACCACAGCACAGAGAAAAGCAUGAUAAAGCACCUUCUUCCUUGACACUUUACCUAUCUUUUGUGAGUCAAUGCCUAGUAUGCUGUAAUUGGAUUAGACACAACUGUCCUAGUAGCAUCAAUCAUCAAAUAAAUCCAGUUUCUUCCGAACCAAGGCAUACAUAGAUCACUGAAUUAGUUGCUGAUGUGAUUAAGGAUUGUUCCAACUUAGAAGUGGAUUUUUACUUUUAUGAACAAAUUGUAUAAAUAUUUCAGUCCUUGGAAGAUUUUUCAAACCAGAGAUAGAUAUCACAUAUGAAGUCACACUUUGUUUUGUAAUUACCGCUUUGUUUCUGUUAAUGAUUUGGUUAGGUGAAAUAGUAGUACACUCACUUAUUUCGUUUAGGGGUAGUUUCGUCCAUUUGUUAAAAAUAACACUGAUAGGAUAACAUUUAAGGUUUUGACAAUUCACAGAGUGUGACUUUCUUAUGUGAUGCAUGCAGCAUGCUGCUUGGUAAGAUGAGAUAUAAUAUCAUUGAUUAUUAGUGUUCCUUGAUGCAUGCACCUUGUUAAAUGUUGUCAUAAUAUAACAUAUUGUUUUCGACUUUUCGUGGCUCAUGUCCCCUUGAAAGACUUGUUGUGAUCUUAUUUAUAGUUUUAGAGAUAUAUGGUUGGAAGGAGUCAUAUGUUAUGGUUGUGAAGUGAAUGUAUGAGGUUAUUUUACUAACGAACGUGGAACCUUUGGGAAUAUUAACGGAGCAAACGCAGGAGGAAAGGAACCUUUUCGAUUUAGGAGAAAGUCGACGUCGGACGCGUUCGAUAAGGGAGCAGGAUCAGAGAAUGGACCAAGGAACUCUCCUCCUACUUACGGCCUGUGAUCUCUAACUCAAAUCUCAAAAGAGAGAGAGAAGAAACAGAAUAGCCCCCAAAACGCUUUCGUUUUGACGACACAUCAAAGUGGUCCUUUCCUUGCAUGCAGAGUGCGCGUGUAUGAGUUUGUUUUGUGUGUGUUGUGAAUACGUCUCUGUUUUUACUCUUUUGUUUUUGUACGUCAUCUCGUUUCUACGUGUCUGUACAUUUUUUGCUGCGAUGAUGAUAAUAAAAAUACAUAGAUGCUUAAUAUCAGUUCUUUUUAUCCGUUGAUCCAGUACACUCUUCAGUGUUCUUUGUGUGGACAUAACAGUCCCUUCGGAGGCAAUGUUCAUUUUCUAAAAGAAAAAAAUUAUAAUACUAAAUACUAAAAUAAAUUUCCACAAUGACUGCAGAAAAACACUUUAAACUUUUCCUGAAUUGACACAUUAUCCCCAAUCUAAAAUUUUAAAAACCUAAAUUGGAAAAAGAAGAAAUUGACAAAUGGCCAAGUGUGUUUAGUUGAGGAAGCUUGCAAGGCCUAUGAUGUGGAUAGUGUAAUAUAUAUAGAGAUAUAUGAGAUAACUUAUUUUGAACCAUACAAUAUUCUUUGGCAAAAUUAAGUUUAGUCUGACCAUUGCAUAGGUGAAGCAUCCUUCUUUACAACUAAAAUUAAAGGACCUUCUUCCUUAACACCUUACUAUCUUUUUGUGAGGCAAAGCUAAUAGUUUGAGGUUAAGGUGUUGAAUAACUUAGUAAGCUGUAAAUGGAUUAGACUCACCUGUCCUAUAAUAGCAGUAAUCAUUAAAUAAAUUCAGUUUCUUCCGGUCCAAGACAUAGAUUUGCUGAUAAGAUUAAGUAUUGUUCCAACUUAUAAAUGGGUGUUUACUUUUAUAUAUGAAUAAAUUGUAUCAGUAUUUCCUUUCCAGUCAGUGGGAAAAUUUAUGAAGUCACAAGAGAAAGAAAGAAAAAACAGUAACGCCAAUCGUUAGACAAACAAACAUUGGAAUAUAAACCUAUUCGAGGGAGAAGUAGGCCUUCCAUGUCAUCAGUUACCCCAUCUUCAUCGACAAACCUAAUUUUCUUACACUUGAAGCCUUCCAUGUUAUUAAUAUCAUAUCAUAUGAUUGUGUAUUUGUGUGCUACUGUAAUGUGAUGUUCAUAUGAUUGUAUGUGCGCUAGUGAGUUUGUUGACGAAAGGAGAAGCCUUUCUUACUCUGAGCUAUGGGCAGGACCUACUUAUUCCAACUCUCCUCCACCUACUUCUGUGCCCAUUCCUAAGUUCUCUCUCCGGCAAAGAAGGACGGUUUCUUUAACCUUUCCAUCUCCUGACUCUGCUGUUGAUGUUCUUGAAGUUGCUAAGUCUGCUCCUGUUUCUCCAACCUCAUCUUGUGACGACGACAACCCGUUCCACAGUACUGUCUCUGCUACUAUGACACUGCGCCGCAUGCUUAACCUUGAGACUGCUGACGAAUGAAGAUCAGGAGGGUUUAGGGGAACAUGGAUUAGUUUUAGUUUUCUGCACAUAGUAAUAAUAAGGUGUAAGUCACCAAGCUAGUUUAAAGAACACAGAGGCAGUCUUGACACAUAGCUGGUCAUCAGCUAUUGUGAGUAUAAACAUUCAGGAAACAGAUUGAAACUGCAUAAGGGAGAAGACUUGGUUCUUGGUUAGCAUUUAGCAGCAUAAAGGAUGGCUGGUGAUGCUUUGAGUAUUAGCAUUUGUUCUUUGUCCUUUGUAUAGUUUAUCUUUAGAGCUGUCUUUUUUUUUUCUUCCUUUGGCUUCUUUACUUAAGUGGGUUAGAUAGAAGCUAGGUUUAUGUGUCUACGCUCGAACGCCUCUUGGGAUCUUUGUCUUCUUACCUUUUCUCUCGUAUCUCUUCCCUUGUCCAUAUUUUUUCUAUUAAUCUUUUCUCUUCCGUCUAGUUCAUUUUGUUCAAGCCUUAGAGAUGUAAAUCUUACUACUUUGGUUAAGUGAUCUUCCUCUUCAGCUCUUUUCCUGAUUUUUUUUUUUGUAAAGGAAGAAGGGAAUAGGAAGUUCUAGUAACACUGAUGAGUUUCAUCCAUCUUGAUACCUGAAACACACUAAGUUUCCUUGGAGUUUCUUGAUCCUGCUUAAUCUGCUCACCAGGUAAAUUUUACAGCAAAAUCUCCCAACUAAUGAAUCUGGAUAUGUAGCUUUACACAAGUUUAUGACUUUGUAACAGGGACCUAUAGUAGCUGCUGCUCUGCUCUGCUUUAUUAUGGUUUCUUUGUCUCCUACUAUCUCUGGUUAUGUUUGUUACGCAGUGAUAACUAUUUUCUGCAGUUAAAAAAAAAAAAAACUAUUUUCUGUGUUUGGAACUGUUGUGUGAAGCUUUUUACAAACGUAUGUUUCUUCUUGUCUUUUAGUAGUUUGUGACAGUAGUAGACGUUUUGAGUUUUAAUGUUGAAGAGAAAUGUAUCCCUUGUUCCCUAAAUUAUUAUCAUUCUGUAUAUUUUGAACUUUUAUUUAUUUUUGUAGUGAGAUUUGGCGACUGUACUUGUAGAUUAAAGGCUGUUUUGGGUGUCAAACCAUAUCUGAAAGAUUGAAGCUCAAAUGGGCGUAUGUAGAGUUAAUACAACCAACAUAUGAAUUGAUAAAGCAUUUUACACAACUAAAAAAUCAAACUAUUAAUUAAAAUUUGUUGUUCAUUUUAGGAUUUAUCCAAUUUUCAAUUAUUAAAGAUUACAAACGGACACAAUGAAUUUCCUGAGAAGUAUCUAUCUCUCCUAAUCAUGUACUCUCUUAGUUCCAAAAGAUGUAUGUUUUUUUCUAUAUGGAUUUACCUUUUUAAUUUCAAAUAUAUCCACGUCUAACUAAUGGAAGAUGUCGAUGGUUUCAUCAUAAUUCGAUGGUGAACCAUUCGAUUAAUAUUUUGCCAUAAAGGGUUGGUAUUUGCCGACACUACAAGAAUUUUAAAUUUGGAUAUAAUUUAUCUUGUUUGAGAGUUUGCCAUUAGUCAAACACUCAAAUCAUACUAUUUAUUACGGUAUUAUACUAAAUCUAGAAAGUAUACAAUAAAAUCUGGAAAUUGAUAAACAAGAAACAGAAGAUUAAGGUACACUAAAAGCUAAAGAUUGGAAAAUUAAAGGACCAUCGAAACUAAUUGUUAUUGUAAUUUAUCAAAAAAAAAAAACUAAUUGUUAUUGUUUAGUGUGGAGAUCUCUUGAAAAAAGAAGAGAGGCCAUAGUGCUGGUUACUGUUGAGUGUUGAGAUCUUCACCAAAAGAGAAAAAGGAUAUGAGAAAAAAAAAAAAGAAAAAACUUUCCCUUGUACCAAUGAAACAAAACAGGUCUGAGUACUGAAAAAGUGUGAAUUUGGAAAUCUAUUUCCCACUCCCUUUCACUUCGAUCUCCUUAAGCUCAAACUUGAAAUAAUCCUCCCACUCUCUCUCUCUCUUUCUCUAGGCCUUCCUCUUUCGCCAUUUCGAAAUUGCAGAAACUCGCGCAACUCCGGGGGGUUCUCUUACUCAACUCUCUUCUCUUGUCUCACUGGUUAAAGACUCUCACUUUCUGAUGCCCUAGCCUUCGUAGAUUUGUGGGUUUCUCUUUGACUUUUCUGGGUUUGCUUCAGUUCUCCUGGAGGGAGCCACUAAGAUUAUGCUGCAAGAUUAGGGUUUUCUCGAGAAAGCUGUAAUCUUUGUGCUCUACACUUAAUGGGUAUCUGUUCUUUGGCGAUUUCGAUUGAGUUUUGUGCUUUAGAAAUGAUUUAGCUUUAGGUGUUGGAAGAUCUUGUAAUUCAAAGUUUAGAUUUUUUUUUAGCUUUAGGGUGUGUGUACUGUGAAAUAGAGAAGAAAGUAGUGUAUUGAUUAUCCUCUGGCUAUCCUGGAGAUCUGGGAUUUGUUUCAUCUCUUAUGUCAGAUGAGGACUUUUUACCCAUCUGAUUCUUGUAGUAAAGAAUCACAUCUCAAUUCCUUGAAUCCACAGUCAUGGCUUCAAGUUGAGAGAGGGAAGCUAUCUUCCUCUGCUUCUUCUUCUGCGUAAGUUUCUCUCUCUUUCCUCCUGCUGCUUUCAUUUGGUUAUCUUUAAGCGAUGGAGUUAACCCUUUGCUUUCUUUUGUAGUCCAUUGUGCAGAGAAUCCUUCAUCAAAGUCCCUGAGCCGCAGAUACUGCCUCACUAUAAGCCUCUUGACUAUGUAGAAGUUCUUUCUCAGAUUCAUGAAGAACUUGAGUCUUGCUCUUUAGAGGACAGAUCGAGUCUCUAUCUGUUGCAGUAUCAAGUCUUUAGAGGUCUUGGAGAGACCAAACUCGGACAGAGAAGCCUUAGAUCAGCUUGGCAAGAAGCUACAACUGUCCACGAGAAAGUUGUGUUUGGGUCUUGGUUAAGGUACGAGAAACAAGGAGAGGAAGUCAUCGCCGAGUUGCUUUCUUCUUGCGGUAAGUAUUCAGAAGAGUUUGUGCCGUUGGAUAUUGCAUCUUAUCUCCCGGUUACUUCCCCUGAGGCAGCAUCUGUGAAGGUGAAGCGCCACAUUUCAAGAAACGUUGUGUUUAAGAUAGAACAAGAGAGAAUAGCUUGUGACAGAAGGAAGAUUGCUAGCCUUUCGGCUCCUUUCCACGCCAUGCUCUAUGGGAGCUUCACGGAGUCGCUUCUUGAUGAGAUAGACAUGUCAGAGAACCAUGUAUCCCCCUCAGCUAUGCGUGUUGUAAGAGACUUCAGCGUUGCUAAUGUUCUAAUCGGAGUCUCCAAGAAUCUUUUAAUAGAAGUUUUGGUCUUUGCUAACAAGUUCUGCUGCGAGAGACUCAAAGACGCUUGCGACAGAGAGCUAGCUUCUCUGGUCUCCUCCAUGGAAUGUGCCGUUGAGCUAAUGGACUUUGCGUUAGAAGAGAGCUCCCCGAUCUUAGCUGCGUCGUGUCUGCAAGUGUUCCUUUACGAGUUGCCUGAAAGUUUAACUGAUGAGCGUGUUGUCGAGGCGUUGACUCGUGUCAACAGAUCUCAAGUCUCAACCAUGGCAGGGAAAGCUUCAUUCUCUUUAUACUCUUGUCUAACCGAAGUCUCCAUGCGUUUAGAUCCUCGUUCCGACAGAACAUUGUCUUUCUUGGAGAAAGUGGUUGACUUUGCGGAGAGUGAUCGGCAGAGAAUGUUGGGGUUUCAUCGUUUAGGUUGCACAAGGCUGUUGAGGAAAGAGUACCGUGAAGCAGAAGAAGCAUUCGAAACCGCGUUUAAUCUAGGCCAUGUGUAUUCAGCAACUGGAUUAGCGAGAAUAGGUUACAUCCAAGGCCAUAAGCUUUGGGGCUACGAGAAGCUAACCUCUGUGAUCUCCUCCGUUUCACCUCCUCUCGGAUGGAUGUAUCAAGAAAGGUCUUUAUACUGUGAAGGCGAUAAGAAACUCGAGGAUCUUGAAAAAGCAACUGAGCUGGACCCGACUCUGACGUAUCCUUACAUGUAUAGAGCUGUCAAGUUAAUGUCUGAACAAAACGCUGAGGCUGCGCUCGAGGAGAUCAACAGGAUCUUGGGGUUUAAGCUCGCGUUGGAGUGCUUGGAGAUCAGGUUUUGUCUUUAUCUCGGUAUGGAUGACUAUGAAGCUGCGCUUCGUGAUAUCCAGGCUGCUCUUACUUUGUGUCCGGACUACAGAAUGUUUGAUGGGAAAGUAGCUGCGAGGCAGCUGAGGACGCUGGUCUAUGAGCAUGUGGAGAGCUGGACGACGGCGGAUUGUUGGAUGCAGCUUUAUGAGAAAUGGUCUAACGUUGAUGAUAUUGGUUCUCUUUCUGUGAUCUAUCAGAUGCUUGAAGCUGAUGCUUGUAAAGGUGUUCUCUACUUCAGGCAAUCUUUGCUUCUCCUAAGGUAAACUAAGUUCUCAAUCAGUUUCAUCCUAAGGUGGUAACCAUGAUUCUAAAAACUGGUCUAUGCAUUAUUUUCUUAAAUCCGUUUUAUACUACUCAAAUCAGUUUAAACCAUUAUAAAUCAAUUUAAAAUAGUUUAAAUAUGUUAAAUUAAGUAAUAAUGUUAGUACAAAUCCACAAAUUGGUCUAAUUUAUUUUGUUUUGUACAACUAAUUUUGAUAAUUCAUCAAAAUAAUCUUAGAAUUAAAUCCAAAAACUAAAAUAUAUUUUCUCUAACAUUUGUGGUAACUGAGCAUCUCAUGUUCUUUUGACCAGGUUGAAAUGUCCUGAAGCAGCAAUGCGUAGCUUACAGUUAGCUCGAGAGCACGCCUCUAGUGACCAUGAACGUCUGGUGUAUGAAGGGUGGAUCUUAUAUGACACUGGUCACUGUGAAGAAGGGCUUCAAAAGGCUAAAGAGUCCAUAAGAAUCAAGAGAUCAUUCGAAGCCUACUUCCUCCAAGCUUAUGCCUUAGCAGAGUCUAGCCUUGAUCCGUCUAGUUCUUCAACCGUUGUUUCUCUUCUUGAAGACGCUCUUAAAUGCCCCUCUGAUAGGUUGCGGAAAGGCCAGGUACGCCUCGUUCACCACCACAUAGUCAGGACCAGGCUAUAAGAUAAUUUAAUAAGAAUUUAUAUAAUUUUUUUAUAAAAAAUUUAGAGGUCUCUCUCUAUACAUGUAAAUUUUUCUUAGAAUUUUGGGGAUCUAGGCUAAUGUUUCAUUAGUCUAUGUUCAGGUCCUGCACUUACUGCACUUAGUACGGAUUCAGAGUUGCUUUAUAUUGUUUGUUUUGUUUCUAGGCUCUAAACAAUCUUGGGAGUGUGUAUGUGGAUUGUGAGAAGCUAGACUUAGCUGCAGAUUGUUACAUAAACGCUUUGAAAGUGAGGCACACACGUGCGCACCAAGGCCUAGCUCGAGUCCAUUUCCUUAGAAACGACAAAGCUGCUGCCUAUGAAGAAAUGACCAGACUUAUCGAAAAGGCUCAGAACAAUGCAUCUGCUUACGAGAAAAGAUCAGAGUACUGCGACCGUGAACUCGCCAAGUCUGAUCUUGAAAUGGUCACACGGUUAGACCCUCUCAGGGUUUAUCCUUACCGUUACCGAGCCGCAGGUUUGUCUUUAACUCAGCUCGUACGCUCUGUUUGUUGUUUGGUCAUCUUGCUGAUAGUGUUUGGUGUUUGAUAGUGUUGAUGGAUAGUCGGAAGGAGAAAGAGGCAUUGAGGAGUUAUCACGAGCUAUUGCCUUCAAAGCUGAUCUCCAUCUACUUCACUUAAGGGCGGCUUUCCAUGAGCACAAUGGUGAUGUUAGUAGUGCGUUGCGGGACUGUCGUGCGGCGCUCUCGGUUGAUCCUAACCAUCAAGAGAUGCUCGAGCUUCAUAGCCGUGUUAAUAGCCAUGAACCUUGAGUGUCAAGAAAGCUUGAGAUGAUGGUAAAGUGUGAACAGAUUUGUAUUCAUAGUUGUAAACUUAUAUUCUCUCGUUACUCUUUAUUUAUUUUUGUUAUUGUUUUCCUUAAAAUCGGUAUUAAAUUUUCAACCUAUCAUCUUAAACUUCAAAUUUCUGUGGCCUAAAAAUGUGAAAACAAAAGUACAAACAAUGUGAUAGACAGAAAAGUAAAAGUAAAAACAUCGGAUUUAGCUUUACAAAAUCGAUGCCAAUUUAUCAUAAUUUGACUCCUAUUAUUUAAAUCUAUAAGCCAUAUUUUGUCAAAAAUACAAGUGUAUUUUUAGCAAUGGUAUCUCUCCGUAUAUGUAUAAUCUUUUGUAAAUAUUUUAUAAAUUCAAUAAUGUUGAAAUUUUAACAAUUGAUUAAUUUAUAGAAAACUUGUUAAUUAAUAAAAUAAUAUUUAUUAAUUUUAUAGAGAAAAGUCUUUUAGUUUAUAAUUUUAUGAAAAAUUAAAGAACUUAUUUCUAAAAAUAUUUAGACAAAAUUAAAAUAAUAUUAGCGAUUAUAAUAUAGUAAAUUUCUAUGGCAUAUUGGACUAUCUAGAUGACAUAAUCCUAAGUUCAAAACUUUAAAUCACGGUCUCAAAUAUUUAUGAAGUUGAAAAUGAUACAAUAAUAUGUUUUCGGAUAAUUAAGAGCAAAAACUCAAUUAUAUAAUAUGUGUUGAUAUGGGUUUCAAUAACAUUUUAACUUCAAUAAACAAAAAAAACUUGAGUUAUAUUUUAGUAUACUAUGUUAAGUUAUAUUUUUUUUUCUUUCAAAUCUCUCACAUCUAAAAUAAUAAAAAUUAGAAAAAGACAAAGAUAUAUAGGAAAAGACUGAAAGAUACAUAGAUGAGCAUUUCUAAUAAAAAUAUUUAAAAUAUAUAGAAAAUUAUUAAUAUUUAAAUUAUAUGAGUUUUUUUGAAAAAUGCAUACAAUAUUUUCUCAAGUUAGAUAUUUUAAAGAUUUUAGUGUAGAUUUUUAAAAAUUUAGAAGAUUCAUCCAAUUAAAUAUUGGUAUAAUAGUUUUAUUUCAUUUCAAUUUUAAAUACUCAUGUAAGAAGUUAUUCCUAUUAAAAAUGCUCCCAAAAAGGAAAAUAAACGGUGUUUGACUGUUUUCCUUGUCUUUUUGUUUUUUUGUUCUUGUCACGGAAUCUUAAAUUUACAGAAAAGAACAUUAUCUAUUUUUAGGGAAAUGAAAAUAAAGAAAAUAGCGUGAGUGAGGGAGAGAAAGUGAGAAGACUUUGACUUUGUUUUGAAGCGAGAAACAAGGCGCGGAGAAAUGAAGACGAUGAGAAACAGCUGCUGAAACAUAUCACACACCCAAAUUGCAGAAAAAAAAAUGUUCUUAAUCUUAAUCCACCAAUGAAAUAGUUUUUUUCUUUUGUUCCUCGUUAAAAUUAUUCAAAAAUAAAAUCUCGAUUUUUCGUGUCACCUCUCAAGAUCUGUUUCCUUAAUUAUGAGAUUAAAGGAUAAAUCAAAUUCGAAGCGUUGUUGUUCGAAUCGAUAAUCGCAAUUGGGGGUAUCAGAUCGAAGAAUCGGUUCUGAGCAACGUCGUCUCGAAACGGUGGAACGAUGAACUGGGGAACAUUGCUCAAGGACUUCAAGGAUAAGGUCGGGUUAGCUGACGGCACAACCGCCGGAGACGCUUCCCGUGACCUCAUCCCUCCGCCGUCGUCUCCACCAUCGCCUUCCUCGUCCUCGAGCUACGCCGCGUCUCCUCAACGUGACCUCACUUUAUUAUCUCCCACAAGGUAGGCAAUGAAUUGAUUAAUGUUGGCAUAAGCAGUCAAUCAAUGAGUCACUUGUUUAAUUUAAUAGCCGAGAGAGAUAUAACUUGGAGCUGGAGUUUAGGAGAUACUGGGAAGAGUUCUCUUCCUCCACCUCCGAACAGGUUCGUGCUUUUAUCAUUUGUUCAUUGAUGAUAAUCAUUUAAUUUAUAUAUUGUCACACCAGGAGAAAGAAGCAGCCUUGACUAUGACUGUGAAUACGUUUUGUACCAUAGCGAAGCAGCAUGCCAACAUAGAUCAUUUAGUUACCAUGUAAGCCACCCUCCCCUUUUCUAUCUCUAUGGAUUCAUAUUUUUUAUUCAUAUUGAGCUAUUUGCAGGUUAGUAGAAAUACAUGUAUUCUCCUUUGUCAUUGGGAGAGCAUUUGUGACAGAUAUUGAGAAGUUAAAGAUUAGCAGCAAGACAAGGUCAUUGGAUGUAGAGAAAGUUAUUAAGUUUUUUUCUCAAGUCACCGAGGUUUGCCUCUCCUUGUGAGUAUUAGUGAAUCAGGACAUGUUACCUUCUCUUCUAUUUUAAUCCAUGAUUUUGUUUUUUUUUUCCUGCAGGAAGGUAUAAGUCACGGUGAAAACCUUUUAACUGCUGUUGAAGUCCUUGUAUCUGGGGUACCCUUUUUUACUUUUACUUGUCUUCCUUCUCUUGACCGAAUGAUUGACAACACUUAACUAUGAGUUUUAAGUUUUAGUUGUUUACCAAAAAAAAAAAAAAACUACUCGAGUUUCAAUAUUUGAUAGCUAACUGGUAGUUACCCUCACCAAUUUUGGAGGACGUGGGAAAUAUUUUAGGGUGCUGACUCUUUUAUGGUUUGAAUGCUAUAGACUGUAUUGGUUUAUAUACUCAACCUUUCAUGUGUUUUCUUUUUAGAACAUUGACAAACAAUCUCUACUGGAUUCUGGGAUAUUGGGUUGUCUUAUACACACGCUCAACGCGCUUCUGAUGUAUAGUGUAGCCAGUGAAGGUGAAAAAUCUGUUAGCUUGGAAGAAAAGGUAAAUAUGGCAGAUGUAGUACUCUUUAAGCUAGUCACUUGACGUUCUAUUUCAAUGGUUUUCAAUACAAAUCUGACAUAAGUGUUUCAUCCUUGGUACUGGCCAAAGUGUUUACUCUGCAAUGCCUUAUCUUUGAGACUUUUAACGCAUCCUCAUUCUUGCAGGUGGAGGAAAGCGUUAUCCAUAUCAUGAAAGCACUGGCAAGCCAUCCUUAUGCUGCACAGAGUUUGAUUGAAGAUGACUCCCUUCGGUUGCUUUUCAAAAUGGUUGCCAAUGGUUCCGUUGUGGCUUUCUCUCAAUACAAAGAAGGUCUAGUUUCAUCCCGUAACAUACAGCUUCAAAGACAUGCAAUGCAGGUAAUUUGUUGCUCCCCUGUUCUAAAAAUUGGGCAAUGUGUUUUGAAGCUGAAACAGCUGCGAACUGCACUUUAGUAUGAUCUUUGAAAUUUGAGCGGAUGUUGUGAUGCUGAAAGUUUCAUUAUUGAUUCCCUUUGGUGUCUCGUUCAGAUUCUUGGGCAGCUUCUUGUCAAUGAUAAUGGGAGCACAGCAAGCUACAUACGCAAACACUAUCUGGUAUGCCAGUGGAUUCUGUAGAUAGCCUCUAUGUGGUAUACCGGUUCUUGUAUCAUGUAUCGUAAGAUGUAACCCUGAACAUAGGCCAAUCAUAUCGAGCUUAUCUUCAAACUAUCUGAGGUCUCUGUGAUAAGAAAUUUGGUUAUCAGGAGAAUUUAGUGAAUUUUACUAGUAGAGCCUGAGACUCAAACUAAUGAUAAGUAUUGGUUUUGUGCAUAUACUUUAGUUUGCAAUCUUGGCAGUGCCCUAUAUAUCUGCAGUCUGGUAUUUAAGAAGGUCUCUUUUGUGUGCUUAUAGUUAUUUUACCAUUCCACAAUAUUCCUUUUCUUAAAUUAAGGUGUUUAUAUGAAUGCGUGUCCUUGUUUUUUCUGUGAACUUUAAGAUGAAGGAGAUCAGUAAAAAGUGUCACUGGUAGAUCUUGUAACUAAGUACCACUUUUUGGAUUCUGUUUAGUGUGAAAAAGUGGGCGUAUGAAACGUUGCUUUCCUGAUUUUAAUUUUGCUUGCUCUAUUUUACGUCUUCGGAAGUAAUUCUUUGGCUAAAUUCUCCUGCAGGUAAAGGCUCUCCUAAUGGCUAUCAAAGAUUUUGAUCCAGAUUGUGGGGACUCAGCCUAUACAAUGGGCAUUGUGGAUUUGUUACUUGAAUGUGUGGAACUAUCGUACAGACCUGGUAAUUUGGCUUAGAGAAAUACACAAGAACUCAAAAUAUGUCAAUGCCUGUGGAAAAUGUAGCUGGAUAGUAUAAACAUUAGGCAGUCAUCUUCUUGCUUGUGGAUUUUGUAUAACGGCUCUGAGUAUGGUUGCUGAUCUUUUUCAAAUUUGAAUAUGUAGAAAAUGGUGGGGUCAGGCUAAAGGAGGACAUACGAAAUGCACACGGUUACCAUUUUCUUGUACAGUUUGCCCUGGUUCUAUCUUCCAUGCCGAAAAAUAUGGUUUCUGCCUCCAGUCAUUUAUCUCAACACCAAAAUAGUGGGUUGGAUGACUCUGAACUACAGUCACCCCAUUCAGUGAAUAGUAGGCAAAAUGAUGAGUUUGGAUCACAAAGUUUCUCCCCUUCACUAUCAAGAUUGCUUGAUGUUCUUGUCACCUUGGCGCAGACUGGUCCCAUUGAGUUAUCUGGAGGAAGUACCUCACUACUGCCUCAAACAAACCCCACUGGGUAUGAUGAAACAUGGGAACAAGGAAGUGGUAAAGUAAAAGACCUUGAAGCUGUCCAAAUGUUGCAAGACAUCUUUCUGAAAGCAGAAAACAAGGAUCUUCAGGCUGAAGUGUUGAACCGAAUGUUUAAGAUAUUCUCAAGCCAUAUGGAAAACUAUAAAAUGUGCCAAGAAUUAAGGACUGUUCCACUUCUCGUGCUGAACAUGGGUGAAUUUCCUUCCUCACUGCAAGAGAUAAUCCUCAAAAUUCUUGAAUAUGCUGUCACAGUUGUAAAUUGUGUUCCAGAGCAAGAGCUGUUGUCACUUUGUUUCUUGCUUCAACAGCCAAUCAAUUCCGAGUUGAAACAUACCAUACUUUCGUUCUUUGUAAAGCUGACAUCUUUUGAUGUGCAGUACAAGAAAGUCCUAUGUGAAGUUGGUGUUUUGGAAGUCUUACAAGAUGAGCUGAGGCAGCACAAGCUUCUCAUGGGUCCAGAUCUGUAUAGUGGUGUUUCCAAUCAUUUGAAUCGGUUACCUAGUUCGCCUAGCUUCAAACAACACCUAGAUAAUAAGGAUGCCAUCAUUUCAUCACCAAAGCUAAUAGAAUCUGGUUCAGGAAUGUUACCUAUCUUUGAAGUUGAAAGCACUAUAACGGUUGGUUGGGAGUGUAUGGUCUCUUUACUAAAGAAAUCUGAAGCUAAUCAGGAAGCUUUUCGUUCUGCCAAUGGUGUGGCCGUUAUUCUUCCAUUGUUGAUCUCUGAUGACCAUCGUACUGGCGUUUUGAGAAUUUUGUCAUGCUUAAUCACGGAAGACGCUAAUCAGGUAAGUUUACAUUACAGUAAAAUGUAUCUUGAUUAUUCCUGUUUUACCGUUUAUCUGAUGAAUUAAUCAAAUGAGUUAUAUUAGUUUGGCUAGGUGUUUUAUUCUUUAGAUUAUGCCGCCACUAGUGAGGUUUCUGUUGUUUCGGUAUCAGAAAUCCUCUGGUGUCUUGUAAAGAGUAACUCGUAUCUUACCAUCCAAUCAGGUCCAUCAUGAAGAGUUACAUGCUGUUAUCGACGUGUUGAAGAGUGGAGUGGUCACUGGAAUCUCUGGGCAUCAAUACAAGCUUCAUCACGAAGCCAUAUGUGAUACCAUGGGUUCUCUGUGGCGUAUUCUUGCGGUUAAUGGCUCUGCUCAAAGAGUGUUUGGUGAAUCCACUGGUUUCUCUCUUCUACUGACCACCCUUCACACGUCCCCGGAAGAAGCAUGCAGGGAUGAGUCUCAUUUGAUGGUUCACAUCAAAUUGUUCAAACAUGUAUUGCGCCUCAUGACAUCUGCAGUGUGUGAGAAUGCUGUGAAUAGGAUGAAACUGCACAAUGUCAUUAUAUCUCAGACAUUUUAUGAUAUUUUCGUGGAGUCAGGUUUGAUGUGUGUUGAUCUGGAAAGACAGGUGAUACAACUGUUGUUAGAACUUGCACUUGAAGUUUUGCUUCCACCUUUUUUGACAUCAGAAUCUAUGGCCUCACCUGAGAUGGCAGAAAGUGAAAAAGCUAGCUUUCUUGUAAAAACCCCAUCUGGGCAAUUUAGUCCUGACAAGCAGAGGAUAUAUAAUGCAGGUGCUAUCAGAGUUCUGAUCCGUUCACUGUUGUUUUUUAGUCCAAAAAUCCAGUUGGAAUUUCUGAAUCUUCUGGAAAGGCUUGCACGUGCCACCCCAUUCAACCAGGAAAAUCUCACGUCAGCUGGUAAGGUCUUAUGUCUUAGAGUUCCUUGGGCUUAUAUUGUAAUUAGCUAAGUCAACUUUUAAAUCUUGUUGUGCACUCUUGUCGUCUUUACCUGUGAUAUGAAUUAUUAUUGAGCAGGUUGCGUGGAACUUCUGCUGGAGAUUAUCCACCCAUUUCUUCCGGGUUCAUCUCCAUUUCUUUCUCAUGUUUUAAAGAUUGUUGAAGUUCUUGGGGCGUAUAGGUAGUUAACAUAGCUAAAAUCUAAUACAUAGUCUUAAUGUGACUAAAUUUGUUUCGAGGCUGAUCUUAUUCGGUGUUAUUCUGGUGCAGAUUGUCCCCUUCUGAGCUCAAAAUGCUUUGUAGAUAUGGUCUGCAAAUGAGGGUUAAGAAUUCAGGUCAGGCGAUAGUUGGUAUGAUGGAAAAGCUAAUUCUCAUGGAAGACACAGGAUUGGAACAUGUUUCGCUGGCUCCUUUUGUAGAGAUGGACAUGAAAAAAACUGGGCAUGCUUCUGUUCAGGUGUCCCUGGGAGAAAGAUCUUGGCCUCCUGCUGCUGGUUAUUCAUUUGUUUGUUGGUUCCAGUCUCGUAAUUUUUUUGCAACCCAAGGAAAAGCAGCAGGAGAGUAUGAAGCUGGUGGUUCAUCAAAGACGCAGGUUUUGAGUGGGCAGCAAAGUGAACAAAAUGUUUUCCGGAUAUUUUCUAUCGGUGCAAGUAACGAAAGUCCAUUCUAUGCGGAACUUUAUUUUCAAGAGGAUGAUAUUCUGACCCUUGCCACUAGCAGUUCAAAUUCUUUGUCAUUUUCUGGAUUGGAAAUUGAGGAGGGCAAGUGGCAUCACCUUGCUGUUGUCCAUAGUAAGCCUAAUGCUCUUGCCGGACUCUUCCAAGCUAGCAUCGCAUAUGUUUACAUUGACGGAAAACUAAGGCACAUGGGUAAAUUGGGUUAUUCUCCUUCACCUGUUGGAAAAUCAUUGCAAGUAACAAUUGGAACUCCAGCUACUUGUGCCAGGGUAAGCGAUUUGACGUGGAAAAUACGCUCAUGCUAUCUUUUCGAGGAGGUGCUUUCAUCAGGCUGCAUUGGUUUCAUGUAUAUUCUCGGUAGAGGGUAUAAAGGUCUCUUUCAGGAUGCAUAUCUCUUACGUUUCAUGCCUAAUCAGGCUUGUGGUGGGGGCAGCAUGGCUAUCCUUGACUCGUUAGUCACUGACAUGUUGUCAUCGUCCAAUAGCCAAAAAUUUGAGGAAAGUAACAGACAAGGGGAUUCCAAGGCAGAUGGUAGUGGGAUUGUAUGGGAUCUCGAGAGGUUAGGAAAUCUUUCUUAUCAGUUAGCUGGUAAGAAACUUAUUUUUUCAUUUGAUGGAACAUGCUCAGAGUUCAUGCACGCGGCUGGAAAUUUUAUCCUCCUCAAUUUGGUUGACCCAUUGUCCGCUGCUGCUUCUCCUAUUGGAGGUAUACAAUGAUCCCAUAUAACUGUAGUUUAUAUUUUACAUUUUUCCGUUUUAGUCUCAGUUGUGUUUCAUUCUACGUUUCUCAAUUAUAUAGGAAUACCUCGUUUUGGGCGCCUGGUGGGAAAUGCAAGUAUCUGCAGACAAAAUGUGAUUGGCAACACUAUCCGCCAUGUGGGAGGAAUGGCUGUUGUAAUUGCACUUGUUGAGGCUGCCGAAUCUAGAGAUAUGUUACAUAUGGCUCUUUCAUUGCUUGCCUGUGCCCUUCAUCAGAAUUCACAGAAUGUGAAGGAUAUGGAAACAUACAAGGGCUAUCAUUUACUAGCUCUGUUUUUACGUCCCAAGAUGGCGCUUUUUGACAUGCAAUGUUUGGAGGUAUUUUUCCAGAUUUCUGCAUGCGAAGCGUUCUUUUCAGAGCCAAAAAAAUUGGAGAGGGGACAGAGUACCAUUAGCAUGUCACCUACGAAGAAUAUACCUGAAAACAACUAUGAGGAUAUUAGUGUGUCAAAGUUUCAAUAUGAAACUUCUUCAGUUGGAUCUCAUGGAUAUAUGGAUGAUUUUUCAGGGCCCAAAGAUUCUUUUAGUCAGUUAUCUGAGCUAGAAAUUGGAGAUAUUCCUGUUGAAACUUCAAACUGCAUCGUCUUAUCUAAUGCAGACAUGGUGGAACAUGUACUCCUGGACUGGACUCUCUGGGUGACAGCCCCUGUUUCCAUCCAGAUCGCCUUACUUGGUUUUCUGGAGAAUCUGGUCUCAAUGCUUCGGUACAGGAGUCACAAUCUUACAAUCCUGCGCCGAAUCAACCUGGUAGAACAGUUGUUAGUAACACUUCAACGAGGGGAUGUGGAAGUUCUUGUCCUAGAAAAAAUAGUUGUUCUUCUUGGAUGCAUCUUAGAAGAUAGAUUCCUUACUUCUGAGCUUGAAAAUGUGGUUAGGUUUGUGAUUAUGACAUUUAAUCCACCUGAAAUAAAGUCUCGAAACUCACCAAGGCGAGAGUCAAUGGGAAAGCAUGUAAUUGUGAGAAACUUGCUUUUGGAAAUGCUUAUUGAUCUCCAGGUAACCAUAAAAGCAGAAGAACUGUUGGAGCAGUGGCAUAAGAUGGUCUCAUCAAAAUUAAUAACGUACUUCCUCGAUGAAGCUGUGCAUCCUACUAGUAUGAGAUGGAUCAUGACUCUACUCGGUGUUUGUCUCACUUCUUCCCCAAACUUUUCUCUUAAGUUUGUUACAAAUGGAGGUUAUCAGGGGCUAACACGGGUACUUCAAAGCUUUUAUGAUUCCCCAGACAUAUAUUACAUUUUGUUCUGCUUGAUAUUUGGGAAACCUGUUUAUCCAAGACUACCCGAGGUCCGGAUGUUGGACUUCCAUGCACUAGUGCCGAAUGAUGGAAGCCGUGUAGAGUUGAAGUUUUUAGAUCUGUUGGAUUCAGUGGUUGCCAUGGCUAAAUCUACUUUUGACAGAUUGAUCAUGCAAUCAAUGAUUGCCCACCACUCUGGAAACCUUUCCCAGGCGAGCGCUAGCUUUGUAGCUAAGCUUGUCGAGGGAAAUGUCGAUAUGACAGGGGAGCUUCAAGGAGAUGCUUUAAUGCAUAAAACAUACGCGGCACGGUUGAUGGGUGGCGAAGCAUCAGCUCCUGCUACUGCGACAUCUAUUAUCCGUUUCAUGGUUGAUCUUGCAAAGAUGUGCCCUCCAUUUUCAGCUGUUUGCAGAAGCGCAGAAUUUCUCCAACAUUGUGCUGAUCUUUACUUUUCAUGUGUCAGGUUUGCAUCACGUGCCUAUUAAGUAUAUAUAUAUAUUGAGUACCAUGUAAUUAACGUAGAUGUUUACACACAUUUGUUAUUCCGGAUUCAAAUUAUGUUUCUCCAUCCCGAUUUAUGACAUAGAUGCAACAGAUACAGGAUUUUGUUUUUUGGUGUUGUAGUUAGAUAUGACCUGAAAGAUAUUUUGCAAAUUUUGACCAAAAGUUGGGUUGUGUUGUAGGGCUGCUCAUGCUGUGAAGAUGGCCAAACAGCUCUCAAUGAAAACAGAGGAGCAGUGUAUAAGUGGUGGGGAUGAUAGCAGCGCACAAGGCGUUUUCUCUAACUUGCCUCAAGACCUGGACCAAUCCACAAAAACCUCCAUCAGUGCUGAAAGCUACCCUCAAGAGCAGGUCAGUGUGAGUUCUGAAGGCAUGCCUUUACCUUCAGAUUAUGUGGUUACUGAUAAGGUGGAGAAGAUUCUUACAACACCGUCAGGGGCUUCAGCAAAAUCAUUUCAAGAUCGUGAGUAUGUUAAGAAACUGGAUGGUGAUCGUGUUAGCCCUGUAUCAGCUUCCAGUGAACUGGAAUUUCGAGACUGUAAAGGUAAAUCAAGUCAAAUUCAGCCAACAGAUUCUCAGAGUUCUGAAUCCUUCUCGAUGCUGGAGUCUCCCGUUGUAUCUGAAAAAUCAAGUCGCAAAGGUCCAUUCACUUCUUCGCCAUCUCCGCUUCCAUCGCAUAUCUCAGUUAGUGAGUUUGAUGCAUCUUCAGAUCACAAGUCAGGUUCACAAGGUUUAUCUGCUGCCCAUACAUUGUUUAAAAUUAGCCCAAAACUUCUCCUCGAAACUGAUGAAUCGGGGUAUGGUGGUGGGCCGUGUUCUGCCGGAGCAAGUGCGGUGCUGGAUUUUAUGGCAGAGAUAUGUGCCGACUUAAUGACUGAGCAGAUGAAAGCGGUACAGACUUUGGAAAGCAUUUUAGAAAUGAUUCCUUUAUAUGUGGAUCCUGAAUGUGUUCUAGUAUUCCAAGGCUUAUGCCUUAGCAGAGUCAUGAACUAUCUUGAGAGGCGUCUCGUGCGUGAUGAUGAAGAGGAUGACAAAAAACUAGACAAAAGAAAAUGGUCUGCAAACUUGGAUGCAUUUUGCUGGAUGAUUGUGGAUCGUGUCUAUAUGGGCGCUUUUCCUCUGCCAACUGGAGUCCUUAGAACCCUCGAGUUCUUGUUAUCAAUCCUGCAAUUAGCUAACAAAGAUGGUAGGGUUGAAGAAUUCACUUCUUCAGGAAAAGGUCUGUUAUCCAUUGGAAGAGCAACCAAGCAACUAGAUGCAUAUGUUCACUCAAUCCUGAAGAACACAAAUAGAGCAAUACUGUAUUGCUUCCUACCAUCGUUCUUGACAACUAUUGGAGAGAAGAACCUGCUUUCACGUCUGGGCUUGCUUGUUGAAUCUAACGAGAGGCACCCCUCAGAUGAGGAAUCUGGAAUUGAUAUCUCAACAGUUCUUCAGUUGUUGGUUGCAAACAAGAAUAUCAUAUUAUGCCCAAGCAAUCUUGACACAGAUUUGAAUUGCUGUCUGUGUGUGAAUUUAAUCUCUCUGCUCCAUGACCAGAGGAAGAAUGUGCAAAACAUGGCAUCUAACAUUGUCAAACAUAUGCUGGUUCACCGAAGGUCUGCUUCUGAGGAUUUGCUUGUCAGAAAACCACAUCGAGGACAAACCCUCGAUGUACUACACGGAGGUUUUGAUAGAUUGCUGACUGGAAAUCUUCCAGAAUUUUCUAAGUGGCUUGAGAGCUCAGAAGAAACUGUAAAGAAAGUAUUGGAUCAUGGUGCUGUGGUUAUGUGGACUCAGUACAUAGCUGGCUCGGCAAAAUUUCCUGAUGUUAGGAUGAAAGGCAUGGAUGGCCGCCGUACGAGAGAGAUGGGAAGAAAAUCACGAGAUAUUUCUAAGUUAGACGUGAAACGCUGGGAGCAGUUAAAUGAGCGAAGACAUGCACUUGACAUAGUGCGUGAUACAAUGUCCACUGAGCUUAGAAUUGUCCGGCAAAACAAAUAUGGUUCGAUACUUCAUGCCGAGAGUGAGUGGCAAAAUCAUCUCCAACAGCUUAUACACGAGCGUGGUAUAUUCCCGUUGCGUGUUUCCCAGGGAUCUGGAGAUCUUGAAUGGCAACUCUGUCCUAUCGAAGGUCCAUACAGAAUGCGGAAAAAGCUUGAACGAUGUAGCCUGAAAGUUGAUAGCAUCCGUAAGUUACUAGAAGGGAAGUUGGAACUUGAAGAAAUUGAACUACCCAAACCGAAAAACGAAGAUGGCAUAGUUAUUUUUGAUAAGGAUUGUGAGCCAGAUUUCCUGCUAAGUGAACUUUAUAGCGAGUCCUUUUUCGAAGAAGCUGAUGCUCUUAAGGAUAUUCCUUCUGCUAGAAAUGGAUGGGAUAACGAUGGAGGCAGUAGUUCAAGUGAAACGAGUCUUCAUAACGCUCUUGAUUUUAGUGCCAAGUCUAGUGGUACAAUAUCUGUUCUAAUCAGCGAAAAUACAGAUGAAAAAUCAGAGACUGGAUCUCCAAGAGGGUCAUCUUCUGGUAAUAUGGAUGAAACAAGAGAUGUGGAGGAAGAAUCAGAGAAGGAACUGAACGACGAUGGUGAGUAUUUGAUCAGACCAUAUCUGGAACAUCUUGAAAAGAUUAGGUUCCGAUACAAUUGUGAGAGAGUUGUUGGUUUAGACAAACAUGAUGGGAUUUUCCUGAUAGGGGAACUAUGCCUAUAUGUUAUAGAGAAUUUUUACAUUGACGAUCAUGGCUGUAUCUGUGAGAAGGAAUGUGAAGACGAAUUAUCCGUUAUCGAUCAGGCGUUGGGUGUGAAAAAAAAUGUCACCGAAGGCUUGGAGUUCCAGUCCAAGUCUAGCCCACUAUGGAGUACAAAUAUGAAAACCGGAGCAGUAGGGGCAAGAGCAUGGGCAUAUGGCGGUGGGGCUUGGGGGAAGGAAAAAGUGCGUGUGACCGGUAACUUGCCACAUCCUUGGCGUAGGUGGAAGUUGGAUAGUAUUCAUGAAAUUUUGAAACGUGAUUACGAGCUGCGUCCAGUUGCUGUUGAGUUAUUUAGCAUGGAUGGAUGUACUGAUCUCCUUGUGUUCCACAAGAAAGAGAGGGAAGAAGUCUUUAGAAACCUGAUUGCCAUGAAUCUUCCAAGGAACCGCAUGUAUGUCAUCUCUUUUUUUUUUUUUUCUCAAUCAAGAACUGAGCACUAUGCAGCUUACUUCUCCACAAGGCCCUCCAAAAUCUUGAAGCUGCUUGUUUAUUAUGUUUGCCAUUUUUUUCUUUAUUGCAGGCUGGAUACAACCAUAUCAGGAUCAGGGAAACAGGAAAGUAAAGAGGGUAGUCGUCUUUUCAAGUUAAUGGCAAAGUCUUUCACCAAAAGAUGGCAAAGUGGAGAGAUCAGCAAUUUUCAAUACCUAAUGCAUCUCAACACCCUAGCCGGACGUGGAUACAGUGAUCUCACACAGUAUCCGGUAUUUCCAUGGAUUCUAGCGGAUUAUGAUAGCGAGAGUCUUGAUUUGUCAGAUCCAAUGUGUUUCCGGAAGUUUGACAAACCAAUGGGUUGCCAGACGCCUGAAGGAGAAGAAGAAUUUAGGAAACGGUUUGUGAUGUGCCUCUUAAUCUUUGUCUAAUGGUACUUAUGAUUGAUUGUGUCUUCAUCAAGUCAUAACUGGAUUAUAUUUUUUCCUUUCUACUUUCUCAUUUCAGAUAUGACAGCUGGGAUGAUCCAGAGGUGCCAAAGUUUCAUUAUGGUUCUCACUAUUCAAGUGCAGGCAUUGUUCUCUAUUACCUCAUUCGCCUCCCACCGUUCAGUGCUGAAAACCAGAAGCUCCAGGGUGGUCAUUUUGAUCAUGCUGAUAGACUUUUCAAUAGUAUUAAAGAGACUUGGCUAAGUGCAUCUGGGAAAGGAAAUACAUCAGAUGUGAAAGAACUAAUUCCUGAGUUCUUCUACAUGCCCGAAUUCUUAGAAAAUAGAUUUAACCUUGAUUUCGGUGAAAAACAGUCGGGAGAAAAGGUAAGGUUAAGUAGUUCUAAUGGUGCUUGUAUAUGUACCUUUUAGCUUCUCCGUUCGUGAGCAAGUUCCUUGUUAAAUUUCAGGUGGGUAAUGUCUUUUUACCUCCUUGGGCUAGAGGGAGUGUUCGUGAAUUCAUCCGCAAGCACAGAGAAGCGUUGGAGUCUGAUUAUGUUUCAGAGAAUCUGCAUCAUUGGAUAGAUCUCAUCUUUGGGUACAAACAGCGAGGAAAGGUACAUUACAUGUUCUCCUUCUGGAUCAUUUGCUUCGUGAAAUAUUGAAUCUUACAUGUUCUCAUUAUUUUCAGGCUGCAGAAAAAGCAGUGAAUGUUUUCUAUCACUAUACCUAUGAGGGGAAUGUGGAUGUAGAUGCAGUUACGGAUCCUGCCAUGAAAGCAUCGAUACUAGCGCAGAUUAAUCAUUUCGGACAAACGCCUAAGCAACUGUUUCAGAAACCUCAUGUUAAAAGAAGAACAGACAGAAAAAUCCCUCUGCACCCUCUGAAACACUCGACGCAUCUAGUUCCUCGAGAUAUACGUAAAUGCUCAUCGUCUAUAAACCAGAUCAUCACUUUCCAUGACAAGUUGCUUGUUGCCGCCUCAAACUGUUUCCUGAAACCGAGAGGCUAUAGGAAGUACAUAAGAUGGGGUUUCCCAGACAGGAGCUUGCGAUUCAUGAGCUAUGAUCAGGACAAGCUCUUAUCCACACAUGAAAAUCUCCACGAAGGCAACCAGAUCGAGUGUGCUGGUGUUAGCCACGAUGGGCGCGUUGUCGUCACUGGAGCAGACGAUGGUCUACUCUCUGUGUGGAGAGUCAGCAAGGAUGGUCCGCGUGGCUCACGGCGUUUACGGUUAGAGAAAUCCCUUUGUGCACACACAGCCAAAGUCACUUGUCUACGUGUAAGCCAACCUUACAUGAUGAUUGUGAGCGGUUCAGAUGAUUGUACAGUUAUCAUAUGGGAUCUCAGCUCAUAUAAUUUUGUGAGGCAGCUCCCUGAGUUUCCAGUUCCUGUUUCCGCAAUCUACAUAAAUGACCUAUCAGGAGAAAUCAUAACUGCUGCUGGAACUUUACUCGCGGUAUGGAGCAUCAAUGGAGAUUGCCUUGCUGUGGUUAACACAUCAUCACAGUCACCAUCUGAUUUUAUAGUAUCAGUAACAGGCUCAACGUUUUCUGAUUGGCUGGAAACAAAAUGGUAUGUGACUGGUCAUCAAAGCGGGUCGCUUAAAGUGUGGCAGAUGGUGCAUUGCACUGAUCCGGUCGGUGCUGAGAUCAAAUCUGCUAGCAACAGAACAGGAUGGACAAAUCUUGUGCCGGAAUACAAGUUGCUUCCACACAAGGAGUUGGAUUGCCAUAAGCAACCGAUCACAGCUCUGCAUCUCACGGCCGACCUGAAGCAAUUGCUGAGUGGAGAUUCGGGUGGACGUUUGAUUUCAUGGACAGUUCCAGACCAGAUACUAAAAGCUUCACUCAAAAAUGCUCUCAUAGCUCAGAAUCUUAAGCAUCAUCAUCUAGAAGCUAGGAUUGGAAUCUAAAGCAAUCACUAAUGGUAGAUGAAAAUCAGAAUGUAAGACCUCAGGACAAACGGUUGGCUUUGUGUGAAUCUCUUACCUCAAGUAUUGAUUCUACCUCUUCUGUUUUGCAGGUUUACUGUUUUCUUAAAUCGAAAAAUUGUGAAGCAACAAAGGGAUGGAGAAACUGGUACAAUAACUUACAGGCUUUUGUAUUGAGAAUUUGUGUAGAUAGAGCUAAUAGGCAAUUUAUGUAAAUUAAUAGUACAGUCCCAUCUCUAAAUUCUCAGAUGAAAAUUUUGUAACCAUUUUAAUGUUUUUUGUUUGUAGCUUAGGAACUUCUAACUUGAACAAUGGCUUCAACAUUAAUGGUGAUAUUUCUGUUUUUAAACUGUAAACCAGACAACAGUUUCAUGUUUUUCUGUUUUUAAACUGUAAACCAGACGACAGUUUCAGGUAAUGGAGUCAGUGAAUGACCUUGCACAGCACAGGUAAUGAAGGACUUAUCAGCUCUUGUGAUUGACCAGAACAUACUUCAUAACACUUUUUUGGUUUAAACAAUUUAUCUCACUAGAGCUCUCUCAACGAAAUGAAUACAAUUAACAUAGCAAAUGUAUGUCUCUGAAGUUCCAAGCAACUUCAAGUUGAUAGGGGUAUAUGCCCUGAAAAAUCUCUCUCUGUGUUCGGUGAAAAUCCAAGAAAACUCUUGCGAAACUCUAUCAAAGAGCCAAUAACGAUCCAAAUAUGAUUUGACACCAAAUCUAUAUAAUUCUGGUGAAAAUAAGCUCUUGUAGCGAUUCUAUUGAUGAUGGAAAACUAGUAACUCUUAGUCUGGAUUUAUAGUGUUAGCAAGCUAUAAAUAAAUUAGUAUGUGAACUCGGAUCUAAGAGUAUUCACAACGGUUAGCACAGUAAUAUACAUAUCUAUUCUAUUAAAAUAGAAGUCAUGAAUUUUUCCAUGUGUGAUUUUUUUAAUUUGGACUAUCCUUUAAAUUUUUUAUUAAAUGUAUUUUAUUAAAACUAGUAACACAUACACAUAGAAUCUAUUCUACUAAAAUAGAAGUAAUGACUUUUUUCAUGUGUGAUUUUUUUUUAAUUUGGACAAUCCUUUAAUUUUUUUAUUAAAUGUAUUUUAUUAAUAACACGUAGAAUCUUUGAACUACUUUAAUCAUAAUAUAUUCUUAUAUCUUUUUAUUUUAGAUAUAAAAAUAUAUAUAUUUUUAAAAAAAUCUAACAAAUCUGUUUGAAAAUAUAUAAAUAAGAUCUUAAUUUUAAAAAAAUAUAUGUACAUAUUUUCACUAAUUUUGUAACUAGUUAUGAAAUAUUAUAUAUAUAUAUAUAUGUCAAUAUCAAUAAAGUUUAAUUAUAUACCAUAUAAAAUAAAUAAAAUGAUUAUUUCGAUUUAUUUACCAAAAACAUGAUUGUAAAUAAACAAAAGAUAUUGGUUUUGAUUUCUGUGUUUACUCUAAUGUAUAUAUUUUUUAUGCAUACAAAUUAUUUUUUUUGUUUUUUGAAACUCAAUCUCUUUAGAUGCAUGGUGUUCUUCUCUAUUACAUUUGAAGCGUAAAUCAUUUUUUAAUAAUCUAAAAUCAUUUUUGAUAUAUAUUACUAAUGAAAUCCAUAUCCCCUAUAUAUUAUUUGAUGAUCAUUUAAAAAAUUGUAACAUCAAUUUUGUAUUAAUUACAAAACGAAGUUGCUGAGGUGUUAUCUCCAAAUUUCUUCUUAAUGCUUAUAUGGUACCCUUACAAUGAUUUUGGAUAAACCUUCGUCUUAUUUAUUUUUCCGUAGAUAAAUUUAUUAGCAUUACAUUAACUAAAACAGUCCACGAUUAUAAUAGAAGACGUUUAUAUUAAAGUUUUAUCUAACGUUUAUAUUUUAACAGAUUGUUAUAAAAUGGAUUAUCCCUUAUUUUAAAAGUAAAUCUAUUUCAUAAUAUAAGGUUGAGUAAAACUCAACCAUUUAAAUGAAAUGAUAUAUAAAACUCAACAUAACUUGCAAGAACAAAUCUGGUUGUAUAGCCCUUCUGACGGUUAUUCAAAUUUUCUUCACCAUUAGAAUUAAUGUAUUAUGAGCGCCUGUUAACUACUAAUUAAGUAUAAUUCAAAGGAGAAAUUACCUACACCGAAUAGAAUAGUAGAACAUCCUGUUUUAUGGUAAAAUUGGUAUCUUCCUUUUACAAACACAUCUAUAUUUCACAAACCGAGCAUUAACAAAACUUUCACUGGUGAUUUCUUUUUUCAUAGAUACCAAAUUCAGUCUAAACCUAAAGCAUAAAAACAGAACCAUGAACCUCGGUCUUUCACUUUUGAUGUUCUUCAAGUCGAGAUUAUAAUCAAUUGUUACACAUAAAUAAUCAAGGUAUGUUUUCAAAGGUUCAUUGUUAGUAGGUCCAUGACAUUUUUUGAUGAGAGAAUCUCUAUAUCAUUUGAAUACUAUAGUCUAUUGAACUAUCAAGUAUCCAUUUUAAAUAUAUACUCGACAGUUAACUAUAAACCGUGCAAUUAACGAGUUAUUUCAGUUUUUCUCUAUUUGUGGUCGGUUAAUAGUCUACAUUAUUUCAAUUGAACUGACGGAUACACAAUGCACAAUUUGGUCGGUAUAAUAAUAGUCUUAGAUGCGAUAUGUAAAUUAGCGUGAUACACAAAUGAAGAAUCAGUCUCAUAUGGUAAGUUUACUUUAAUUGUUUCUCCGUUUAUAACAAUGUAAAUACACUAUUAAUACUUGGCAUAUGGUACGUGAAACUUUGUCACCAAUUAUAUUGUUUCUUACGAAUAUUUUUUCUUGAUAUACAAUUUGGUAUAGGUGCAAUAUGGUAAGAUGAUAUUAAAUGUUUCUAUCGCAUAGUUUAAGAAACUAAGAUAGUUUGUCACCAAGUCUAUAUUUCAGCCAUAAAUUUUCUUAUAUAGCAUACAAAAUCUUAUUAUGCGAUAUUUUCAAGUUGCCAAAUAUGUAAUUACAUAUUUAUUGAUAUUUUACAGAAAUAUUUUUUCGUUGACAAUAAAAAGAUAUGGUUUAUAUUUUCAAAUCUAACUAAUAACCUAGCUCCUAAAAUUACCGACGAUAUAGAGGUAUAAAUCAUCACAUCUCUAAUUCUUACGAUUAAAGGAAACAAUAAUGGCCAGUAUGAAUUAUGUUGCCGAUUUGAGACCAUUCAAAAUGAUGGGGAAUAAUAGGGUUAAAGUAAUCCGACUGUGGAAACGGUACUCAGCUACUGCUGGUGAGAAAAUGUAUGGUCCUGACGUUAGGUCCUUAGAGCAACAUUAUCGGGCGGCCCUUGGCCCGUCCCGAACACUAUUUGGGCUAAAAAGAAAAUCAAAAAGAAAAGAUUUUGUUUGGUCCGGGUCUUAAUUAAGGUCUUUUUUGACGCGUCCCGUGAGCAACGUGGCAGCACAGGAGAGGGAGAUGUAAACGAAGUCGAUGAAACCUAUUCCGUGUGUUUCUCCUCUUUUGUCGAAACUGAAGCGAAAUCGAUUCACCGCUGUCGAUCUGAUUCGCCUCAAUCCGCUUCUCCUCGAUCCGUUUCUCUUCGCUCUGUUUCCUCUCCGACAUCGAUUCAGUCCACCUCCGAACAGUUUCCUUUGGACAUCGAUUCAGAGUCGACCCAAACUUGGGAAGGUAUGUGUCUAACCUCCUUUGUAAUUUUGAGAAACCGAGUAGGGGUGUGUAGAUUCAAUGGUUGUUUGUUGUUUGGUUGUUUGUUGAUUAAAUGAUUGAUUUGAUUCGCUCUUCUCGUUCGUUGUUUGAUAUGCUCCGCUCUUGUGAUUGAAGUGGUUGUGAACGGAAUAGAUAUAUAAAAAUGUAUUGAUUCGUUGGUUCUUUGAUGCUUGCAAAAACUUUAAGAUUGAAUGGCUGUGAAUGAAAACUCGUAUAGAUUGAUCGAUAAUUCGUAUAGCUUCUAAGCUCGGGUCUUCUGUAUAUAUUUGAUGUAAUGGUUGUUUCAUAAUUAAUAUUCGUAUAGCUUUAUUGAAAAUUCGUAUAGCUUCUCUACCUUUCAAAAUCGGAUAGGUUGAUAGAAUUCUUUGGUCUGUUAUCAGUUAAAAUUUGAAGUAUUUUAAACAACUUAGAAUUAUGGUUUACAUCUCUUCACUCUUUACUCAACUAGAGUGACACCUCCUUAAUUUCACUCUUUAGUCUAGUAGACUCACACUUCUUUACGUCUUUACUGAACUAGACAAACUAGUUCUACUGUCGUCGUUACUUGAAACCGUAGAUAGGUUAGUAAUAAGUUCAGAUUAGACAUAUAUGGUUUAUGGUUAGUCUUUAUGUAGAAACUUAAUACUCUUCACCAGCUAAUAUUAAACUCCCAUCUCAAUCCCCUUAAAUAUACACACCUGCCUUCUCUCUUCUAUCCAUCUCCUAAUCUACAACUCUCUCUCAAAUAUUUAUCUUGUAAAAGUCGUAUGGGUUCAAGAAAUUUUCAAAGUCAGUCCUCUAGUUACGUAGGACUGCUUAACAGUCAACAAGGAAGUCGUGUGAAUGAAAACUUUCCAUAUGAAAGUUUUCAUUCAACUGUCAACUUUGGAGAAUCGGAGAUCCCUCCCUUUAGUUCACAACAAGCUGAACAGACGCCAGUAGACACAUCAGUGGACCGUAAUGCUAGACGCAAAUGGGGCCCAGCUGAUGACGCGGUUCUAAUCUCUGCUUGGCUUAACACUUCGAAGGAUGCCGUUGUUGGAAAUGAGCAGAAGUUGGGGGCCUUCUGGAAACGGGUUGGAGAUUAUUAUGCUGCAAGUCCUCAUGGGCAACAGGAGGGUGAAAAGAGAGGGGAUCUUACUUGUAAGAAGAGAUGGCACAGAAUAAACGAUCAAGUUACAAAGUUCUGUGCGGCUUACUCCGCGGCAGAGAGACAAAUUGGGAGUGGUGAGAGUGACACUGAUGUUCUAAAGAAGGCUCACGACAUCUUCUACUCAGAUCAGCAAAGCAAGUUUACACUUGAGCAUGCUUGGUGCGUGUUGCGCUUUGAACAAAAAUGGCUUAGCCUAAACACUCCUAAAGCCACUCACACUUCAAAGAGGAAGGAUGGUGAGACAGAUACAAGCGCCGCUGUCCCUGAUCACGAAAUCCGGCCUGAAGGUUGCAAGGCGGCUAAACAAAAAAGGUCGACUGUUCAAGGCAAGUCUGUUGCUUUCUAUGAUUUAAAUAAAAUGUUUCUCUUAUUUUAUUUAUGCAUUUUGUAAUUUUUUUCCACUCCUUUGUAUUUUAAUUUUCAUGUUCUACGUAUUUUAAUUUUCAACUUUUCUUUAUAAUGUCAUAAGUUAUUCGAUAAUUUGUAUUCAAUUAAUAAAAAAAAAAUUAAUUCACUAAGGGACUUUCAUAAGUCCCACCAAUAAUCUAAUUUCUAAGGGAAAAUCCCUAAAUAUGACCUUAACUCACAAAUAACCUUAAAAUAUUCAAAGGGCCAAAAAAUCAAGUCCCACCUAUAAUGUUGCUCUUAUGCGAUAGGUGAUCUUUUGACUUAAAAAAACUUUAAAAAAAGAAUCAUCCCAACAAUACAGUACACAAAUUACAUAAUUAACAAAAAAGACAUUAUUGUAUUUUGGCCAAAAAAAUUAAUUCGAUCAAAUAUAUAAAUUUUAAUUUUCUAAACAACAUAUUUUAAAUAAUUCUUAUAUAAACUCAUCAUGCGCAAGACGCAAAUCUUAUCCUAUUUUUUAAAUAAAAGGUGAUUUCAAGGUUUUAUGCAAAUAUCAUAUCCAAUAACCUUUGAUUUGUAAAAUUUUUUAUAAAUACCAUAUUCAAUAAGGGAGGGUUUGGAUAAAAUCUAAUUUUUUUUAUAAAAUACCUAAUCCAAUAAGCCUCUUUAAUCCUUCAUAGAAGGUCUAACUACCACCGGGAAGUUUUAUAAACAUUGAUAUAUAAUAUAAUUCAAACUACAGAUUGAUAUGAAGAAGAGUAUAAACACGGUAUAUAUGUUAACUAAGAAAAAACAUGAUCAUAUUAUACUUGAUCAAACUGCUUUCAUCACAUGACGCAAUAAAAUACAUGAAAGGGGAACAGUAAGCACACUACUAGCCCACUCAACGUUAGCCCAAACUUCUUCAUCACCAUUCCGCUUCUCAAACGCAAUCAAAGCACACCAAAUAUUCGUCUUCUCAUGGCGAAGACGAGCAUUAUACACAAACUCGUCCCAAAUUAUCAAGAGUUUCCCACCGUAGUUAGCCAUUUCAAUAUGACCACUACCAGCUCGGCAAUGCCUCUCCAGUACCGACAAACCGUUGACCCUUCUCGAGCCAUUAUGCUUCAUACCGUACCAAAUAAAAUUUGUACCAGUGUAACAGUACCUUACAUAGUCUACCACAACACUAGACUCAAACAUGCGUGCUACAACUUCCCAUGUACCUUCUAUGGUAUCAUAAACAUCAUACACAUCCCAAUUGUUGCUUGAAAUAUAGAUCUUUUUCCCCAUCACUUCCACUUUCCUAAGUGUAGAAACACGUAGGAAGCCAGGGUCAGGUAAAGAUUCCCAAGUUUGAGUGUUUGUAUCGUAAACCUCACCCCAAUUCUUGGAUUCAUCUUCGCUACAACCUCCCAUAACGUAUAUUUUCCCAUCAAGGACACAAGCAAUGGGAUCCUCUCGAGCCACAGUCAUCAUUUUGGGGACUUUUCGCCAGAUGCCAGUUCCUAAUGUAGUGACCGACAGAUCGAAAGAUGGAUUACAGUAUCGAUUGAUUGCGUAGCACUCUGAACCAACCUUACACAUGAACGUUGGUGGACGACGACAAUAAGAAGAGGGUAUUGGUACUAACAGAGCAUUCCCGGUAGACUCUUCCUUCUUCUCCAAGUCAUUGGUUAGGGCUUGGUUAGGUUUUAACCAGAGACUGAACCAGGAAGGACUAGGACUUUUAGUGGGAUAAUGAAAACCGACAAGAAGGAUUUUUUCACAUGUUUUUUGAAGAAACCUAGUAUCUUUGAGCUUGGACGAUGAGAUGAGAGAGGCAAAGGUCUUGCUGACUAGAGAGAGUUUAGGGUAGUACGAUGGUGAUAUCCGCGCCAUGCAGUUCAGAAGGAUGUCAUUUGGAAGAGAAAAUAACGAAAGAGAUGGAUUCAAAUUCUUCUUCUUUUUCUCUGAUGGUUCAGAUUCGGAGUUCAUAGCUGCAGAGGCGGCCGUUGUACCACAAGUAGAGGGAGUUUUGUAAAACUAGGGUUAUACUAAAACAUUAUAUAAGUGCUAGAUUUUUUAUGCUAAGGCUCUGAUUGGGGUUUGGCUUUAACAGCUUUGAUUUAAUUUUAAAGGUUUUUAUGUUUUUUUAUUCAUUAAUAGCAUAAUCCUUAUACACUAAGGAAGAAACAUUGUAAUAAAUAUGUUCACACUACAAUAGACACGUGACAGUUUCACAGCGAUUUGAAAAUGAACAUACUGACAUGUCACGUGUAGAGAGAUUCUCAACCAAACUCUACAUAAAUGUGUUCACACUAUGUAUUUUACGUUUUGUUUUUAAAUAUAAAACUCACAUGUAAAAUUCCAAUAAAAUUCACACUAUCCAGAUUUUUCGAUUUGAAUCGAAAGUCAAUUAUACAUAGAUUAUACAGAUAGGCUGAGCAAAAUAUUUGUAAAUUUUAUAUUCGAUUUGUUAUUCAUUUUGAUUCAAACUUAAACAAAAAAUCAGGAUAUUUGUAGUCCUACGAAACCAUAAAACACUAAAAUGCAAUAUCUGUAAAAAAAAUGAAGCAAAUCACAAAUACUAAUAUUUUUAGGAACAAAUGUACAAUUUGAUCCAUUAUAUGCAUAUAUACAUAUAUUUAAAGAAUUAUAAAUGUAUAUAUUAUAGUUUAUAUAAUUUUUACAAUAAUUUUAUGUAUUAAAUUUAUUAUAUUAGGCAUUAGAAUUUAAAAAGUUAAAUAAUAAUUUAUUUUUGUAAUGAAAUAUUAUUAUUUUAUAUUAUUUUUAGAUUUUUUAUUUAUUUUCAAAAUUUUAUUUUAUUUACGGAUCAAAACCGGAUAUCCAUAAGAAAAUUUUAAAAUUUCCGGAUAUCUGAGACAUCAAUAUUCGGGUGGCUACAUAUCGAAUCGAUACUAGUACCUCCAAAUACUUGGAUAUCAGAUCCGUGUCAACCCCUAUUUACGGAUACAAUUUUAUUUUCUUUAUAUAAAAGAAAAUUCACUAAUUUCUAGGGUUAUUUUUUUAGUUAGUUUUAUUUUAAAAUUUUUAUCUUUCAUGUGUUAUUUUGAAUAAAAAAUAUCUUUAUAUAUUUACCAACCGCUUUUAUAUACUUUACAUACACAUACAUGUGGACAUUGACGUGAGUACCUAUAUAACUAAAUAUUCACAACAACUGAAGUAUUUAAUUCUCUUGGAAGUUGAAAUAUUUCUUUUUAAAUGAUUCUUUCACUAUCCACCAAAUUGUAGUGAAAUGAUUUAUUUUAAUAAUUUUAUUUUCUUUUUAUUGAAUUAUUAUAUUUUAUAAUAUGAAAUCAUUGGUUCGACGUAAGGACUAUCUAAAAUUCAUAUAACCUGAAACCAAACAGAUAAUAAUAAUUUUUUCAUAUAACCUAAAACCAAACAGAUAAUAAUAAUUUUUUCAUAUAACCUAAAACCAAACAGAUAAUAAUAAUUUUUUCAUAUAACCUAAAACCAAACAGAUAAUAAUAAUUUUUUCAUAUAACCUAAAACCAAACAGAUAAUAAUAAUUUUUUCAUAUAACCUAAAACCAAACAGAUAAUAAUAAUUUUUGGUUAGCACCCUGAUAAUCACAUUCUGCGCAAGGCGCGGGUUUUACCUAGUUGUAUAUUUAUAAUGAAACAUUUCAAAUAUUGUUUACUGUUUUUAUGGUUUUGAUUAUUAAUUUUUUUUUCAAUAUUUAAAAUAGUACUAACAGUUUUAACAUUCAAAAUUUCUACAGCCAAAAGCCUAAAUUAAGAGUGUAAAGCGCAAGUUCAUACCAAUCGAACCCUAAAUUUUAUUUGACGUCUUUUACGCUAAAUUUUUUUUUAGAAAAAAAAGGAAAGCUACCUUUUUGGUUCAAAAAUGUACUUCCUUUUUGGUUAAAAAAUACUUACUUCACAUAGGCACAAAGUUUUUAGUUUGGUUCAAAUAGUCUUUGUAGAGUAUAUUGUUUUUUUAAUUGAUGGCAAAAAAAAAAAGCUCCUAUUGCGCCAAACUAUAACUUUAUUAACUUGAACAUACAAAAUGAGAUACAAUAUGUGUAUGUUAAUCAAAGAGCUGGGUAAACACAAAAGAAUAUAAAAUUCCUUUAUUAGCUAAUUGACAGAGUUGCGGGAUUGUGAUUUUUGUUUGACAAAAAUCAAUGUUAAGCAUCUGAAUUUAGACUCCCACAACUUGAUAUGGUUAAUAUCCACAAAUGAUCCAUGUAAGAUCUUAGCCAGGAGCUGACAAGACCCCUUCUAAGGAAAGGCAACCACGUUGAAACCCAUGCAUGAUGCCAUUGUGUUUGUGUAUACUGCAUACCUAUUAACAAAUUGCUACGCUUCAAUGCUUGGCGAGGCAUCCGGUAUUUUUUUUCUAAUAUGAAAUGAUUAUUAGAAGAGGGGGGAGGGGGGGGGCAGUAAUGUUAUUAGGUGGCGAGAAGGAGGGGUAAUAUAGUCAAUUUAGUGUUUCUGACUUUCAAGAUAGUGAUUACGAACGAAUCUGUCAUCAAUCAAAUCCAAGGAGGAGGAGAAAGGUAAAUGAGCUUUGUUCUCCUGAGCUUGAUUUUUCAGAUGAGGAAUUGAUUAGGGUUUGUUCUACUGUGUGUGUGGUGUAGUUUUGAAUCGAAAUAUGGCUGGGAGAGCUUCGAUCCCUGCUCGCAACUCUGCCCUCAUCGCCAUGAUCGCCGAUGAGGUAUAACCAAAUUAAAUCAUCGCUUUGAUUCAUUAGAUCAAUGUUAAUGCUUGGUUUGGAUCUCUGAGAUGUGAUCUGAACUGUAUCAAAGCGUAGAGAGUUAGUUAGUUAGUUAGUUAGUUGGUUUGCGAAAGUUGGAAUCUUUCUGUUAAGUGAAAUAAUUUUGAAGAUAGUUUGACCUUACUUGUCUCUAAAAUGGUUGAUGUUUGUGUACACAGGACACCGUUGUUGGCUUCUUGAUGGCUGGAGUUGGUAAUGUUGACAUCAGGAGGAAGACUAACUACCUCAUCGUCGACUCAAGUACGCUUUCUUUUUUCUAUUACUGUAGAAUUGUAUUAUUAAUUGAUUUUUCCUUUGUCUUUUAGAGACAACUGUGAGGCAAAUUGAGGAUGCUUUCAAGGAAUUCUCAUCCAGAGAUGAUAUUGCUAUCAUCCUCAUCAGCCAAUAUGUAAGUGCUUUCUUCCAAAUCCAGUAUACUUGCACUGUUAUAUUUACAAAACAUUAACGGCUGUGCCUGUGUGGUGUUAUUUGUGUCGUUAUCAGUGAGGUCAUGGCUUGCUUCACCUUUUAAAUAAUGGAUCAAAGUUACUGUUAUUGUAGGGUAGUUUUUGUUAUCUUGUUCCCAUUAGCUGUGUGACUGAACAUAUGAUGAGGCCACUUUGCAUCAGCCUUUUAAGACAUACUAUUCACGAGUUUGAAAUUGAUUGAGCUCAUAACUUAUUCAAAGUCUGUUUCUUUCUUUAGUGUCAAAAAAAACAUGAUGAGAAAAUAUGGCAUAUGCGUGUAGGUUGCCAAUAUGAUCAGGUUCUUGGUGGAUAGCUACAACAAGCCAGUUCCUGCAAUCCUGGAGAUCCCUUCCAAGGACCAUCCCUAUGAUCCUGCUCAUGACUCUGUUCUCUCCCGUGUCAAGUACCUCUUCUCUGCUGAAUCUGUGUCACAGCGUUAAAACAUUUACACAUUCUGCAAAGCUCGCCUGAGCUUUUAUAUCAUUUGACAUUCUUGUAUUUCUCAGUUUUCAAUAAUGUCUAUCUCUUGGUUUUUGUUUGGAAAUGGAUGUUAUAUCAGUAAGAAGCAAUGAUAACACCAUCUGG